GCGAAAGGUUCUAGUAACUAUCAAUUUGGUGGAAACGAGACCCAAAUCAAUCCAUCUUGCGAACAACGCGGUUCGAAACUCUGCAAUUCUUUUUAUUUUUUUUUGAUAUUUUUAUUUUACUUAGGAGCACUCAAGAAGUAACCAUAGGAAAUUUGAGCUUAAACAAGUGAAAGACUUGGCCUGUGGAAUUUUUUGAAGAUUGCGAAAAAUAUAAAAAAACAUUAGGAGGUGAAAACUCAAACUUCAGGAGCGAAUUUGGGGAUUCUAAAAUUAUCGAACCCACCUCUAGCGGAGAUAGACAGAUCCAAAAAUUUGUUGUGAUCGAUUCUGAUAUAUGGAACGUCAAUAUCGGAGUUCGUAUGCGAAAGUUAUGGCUGUUUUACGAACGGACUCCGAAUUAGAGGACAAAACGGUCCGGAAGUGGGAAAAAUUUGUGGUGGUGGCUAGAAAUUGAUGGAAACGGUGGGAAAAAACACACAAACUGGACUCUAACAAGACCAAAUCAGUAACAAGACCUCGACCAGGACACAAACUCAACACUACGGACUCUGAAACUGAAAUAUGCAAAGGUUAUGGCGCGGAUGGGUUGUAGGACAUAAAAAUAAUUUGGCACUAGACUUAUGGGAGGAACACAAGGACACUCAAAACUAAGGGUAGAUGUGAACCUAACGGUACGUCUCAAGCUUUGAUUACCACUUGAGGAGAACAAGGCCCGAUCUUCCGAAAGGUUCUGGUUACUAUCGAUUUGGUGGAAACGAGACACAAAUCAAUCCAGUUUGCGAACAACACGAUUCGAAACCCUACAAUUCUUUUUUUUGAUAUUUUUCUUUUAAUUAGGAGCACUCAAGAAGUAACCACAAGAAAUUUGAGCUUAAACAAGUGAAGGACGUGGCCUUUGGAAUUUUUUGAAGAUUGCGAAAAAUAUGAAAAUAAAGUUUAGGAGGUGAAAACUCAAAUUUUCAGAGGCGAGUUUGGGAAUUCUAAAUUUGUCGCACCCGCCUAUGGCGGGGAUAGACAAAUCCAAAAAUUUUUCUGAUCGACUUUGAUAUAUGGAACGUCAAAAUCGGAGUUCGUAGGCGAAAGUUAUGGCUGUUUUACGAACGGACUCUGAAUUAGAGGACAAAACGGUGCGGAAGUGGGAAAAAAUUGCGGUGGUGGCUAGAAAUUGAUGGAAACGGUGGGAAAAACACACAAACUGGACUCUAACAAGACCAAAUUAGUAACAAGACCUCGACCAAGACACAAACUCAACACUACGGACUAUGAAACUCAAAUAUGCAAAGGUUAUGGCGCGGAUGGGUUGUAGGACAUGAAAACAAUUUGGCACUAGACUUAUGGGACGAACGCAAGGACACUCGAAACUAAGGGUAGAUGUGAACCUAACGGUACGUCUGAAGCUUUGAUUACCACUUGAGGAGAACAAGGCCCGAUCUUCCGAAAGGUUCUGGUAACUAUCGAUUUCAUGGAAACGAGACACAAAUUAAUCCAGUUUGCGAACAACACGAUUCGAAACCCUGCAAUUCUUUUUAUUUUUUUGAUAUUUUUCUUUUACUUAGGAGCACUCAAGAAGUAACCACAGGAAAUUUGAGCUUAAACAAGUGAAGGACGUGGCCUGUGGAAUUUUUUGAAGAUUGCGAAAAAUAUGAAAAUAAAGUUUAGGAGGUGAAAACUCAAAUUUUCAGAGGCGAGUUUGGGAAUUCUAAAUUUGUCGCACCCGCCUAUGGUGGGGCUAGACAGAUCCAAAAAUUUUUCUGAUCGAUUUUGAUAUAUGAAACGUCAAAAUCAGAGUUCGUAGGCGAAAGUUAUGGCUGUUUUACGAACGGACUCUGAAUUAGAGGACAAAACGGUCCGGAAGUGGGAAAAUUUUGUGGUGGUGGCUAUAAAUUGAUGGAAACGGUGGGAAGAAACACACAAAUUGGACUCUAACAAGACCUAACCAGUAACAAGAUCUCGACCAGGACACAAACUCAACACUACAGACUCUGAAACUGAAAUAUGCAAAGGCUAUGGCGCGGAUGGGUUGUAGGACAUGAAAACAAUAUAGCACUAGACUUAUGGGACGAACACAAGGACACUCGAAACUAAGUAUAGAUGUGAACCUAACGGUACGUCUGAAGCUUUGAUUAACACUUGAGGAGAACAAGUGUGGCCCGAUCUUCCGAAAGGUUCUAGUAACUAUCAAUUUGGUGGAAACGAGACCCAAAUCAAUCCAUCUUGCGAACAACGCGGUUCGAAACCCUGCAAUUCUUUUUAUUUUUUUUGAUAUUUUUCUUUUACUUAGGAGCACUCAAGAAGUAACCAUAGGAAACUUCAGCUUAAACAAGUGAAAGACUUGGCCUGUGGAAUUUUUUGAAGAUUGCGAAAAAUAUAAAAAAACUUUAGGAGGUGAAAACUCAAACUUUAGGAGCGAAUUUGGGGAUUCUAAAAUUAUUGAACCCACCUCUAGCGGAGAUAGACAGAUCUAAAAAUUUGUUGUGAUCGAUUUUGAUAUAUGGAACGUCAAUAUCGGAGUUCAUAUGCGAAAGUUAUGGCUGUUUUACGAACGGACUCCAAAUUAGAGGACAAACGGAAGUGGGAAAAAUUUGUGGUGGUGGCUAGAAAUUGAUGGAAACGGUGGGAAAAAACACACAAACUGGACUCUAACAAGACCAAAUCAGUAACAAGACCUCGACCAGGACAGAAACUCAACACUACGGACUCUGAAACUGAAAUAUGCAAAGGUUAUGGCGCGGAUGGGUUGUAGGACAUGAAAACAAUUUGGCACUAGACUUAUGGGAGGAACACAAGGACACUCGAAACUAAGGGUAGAUGUGAACCUAACAGUACGUCUGAAGCUUUGAUUACCACUUGAGGAGAACAAGGCCCGAUCUUCCGAAAGCUUCCGGUAACUAUCGAUUUGGUGGAAACGGGACACAAAUCAAUCCAGUUUGCGAACAACACGAUUCGAAACCCUGCAAUUCUUUUUUUUGAUAUUUUUCUUUUACUUAAGAGCACUGAAGAAGUAACCACAAGAAAUUUGAGCUUAAACAAGUGAACGACGUGGCCUGUGGAAUUUUUUGAAGAUUGCGAAAAAUAUGAAAAUAAAGUUUAGGAGGUGAAAACUCAAAUUUUCAGAGGCGAGUUUGGGAAUUCUAAAUUCGUCGCACCCGCCUAUGGCUGGGAUAGACAGAUCCAAAAUUUUUUCUGAUCGAUUUUGAUAUAUGGAACGUCAAAAUCGGAGUUCGUAGGCGAAAGUUAUGGCUGUUUUACGAACGGACUACGAAUUAGGGGACAAAACAGUCCGGAAGUAGGAAAAUUUUGCGGUGGUGGCUAUAAAUUGAUGGAAAGGGUGGGAAGAAACACACAAAUUGGACUCUAACAAGAUCUAACCAGUAACAUGAUCUCGACUAGGACACAAACUCAACACUACGGGCUCUGAAACUGAAAUAUGCAAAGGCUGUGGCGCGGAUGGGGUGUAGGACAUGAAAACAAUAUAGCACUAGGCUUAUGGGACGAACACAAGGACACUCGAAACUAAGGAUAGAUAUGAACCUAACGGUACGUCUGGAGCUUUGAUUAACACUUGAGGAGAACAAGUGUGGCCCGAUCUUCCGAAAGGUUCUAGUAACUAUCAGUUUUGUGGAAACGAGACCCAAAUCAAUCCAUCUUGCGAACAACACGGUUCGAAACUAUGCAAUUUUUUUUUUGAUAUUUUUCUUUUACUUAGGAGCACUCAAGAAGUAACCAUAGGAAAUUUGAGCUUAAACAAGUGAAAGACUUGGCCUGUGAAAUUUUUUGAAGAUUACGAAGAAUAUAAAAAAACUUUAGGAGGUGAAAACUCAAACUUCAGGGGCGAAUUUGGGGAUUCUAAAAUUAUCGAACCCACCUCUAGCAAAGAUAGACAGAUCCAAAAAUUUGUUCUGAUCGAUUUUGAUAUAUGGAACGUCAAUAUCGGAGUUCCUAUGCGAAAGUUAUGGCUGUUUUACGAACGGACUCUGAAUUAGAGGACAAAACGGUCCGGAAGUGGGAAAAUUUUACGGUGGUGGCUAUAAAUUGAUGGAAACGGUGGGAAGAAACACACAAAUUGGACUCUAACAAGACCUAACCAGUAACACUGAAACUGAAAUAUGUAAAGGCUAUGGCGCGGAUGGGUUGUAGGACAUGAAAACAAUAUAGCACUAGACUUAUGGGACGGACAUAAGGACACUCGAAACUAAGGAUAGAUAUGAACCUAACGGUACGUCUGAAGCUUUGAUUAACACUUGAGGAGAACAAGUGUGGCCCGAUCUUCCGAAAGGUUCUAGUAACUAUCAAUUUGGUGGAAACGAGACCCAAAUCAAUCCAUCUUGCGAACAACGCGAUUCGAAACCCUGCAAUUCUUUUUAUUUUUUUUGAUAUUUUUCUUUUACUUAGGAGCACUCAAGAAGUAACCAUAGGAAAUUUGAGCUUAAACAAGUGAAGGACGUGGCCUGUGGAAUUUUUUGAAGAUUGCGAAAAAUAUAAAAAAACUUUAGGAGGUGAAGACUCAAACUUCAGGGGCGAAUUUGGGGAUUCUAAAAUUAUCGAACCCACCUCUAGCAGAGAUAGACAGAUCCAAAAAUUUGUUCUGAUCGAUUUUGAUAUAUGGAACGUCAAUAUCGGAGUUCGUAUGCGAAAGUUAUGACUGUUUUACGAACGGACUCCGAAUUAGAGGACAAAACGGUCCGGAAGUGGGAAAAAUUUGUGGUGGUGGCUAGAAAUUGAUGGAAACGGUGGGAAAAAACACACAAACUGGACUCUAACAAGACCAAAUCAGUAACAAGACCUCGACCAGGACACAAACUCAACACUACGGAAUCUGAAACUGAAAUAUGCAAAGGUUAUGGCGCGGAUGGGUUGUAGGACAUGAAAACAAUUUGGCACUAGACUUAUGGGAGGAACACAAGGACACUCGAAACUAAGGGUAGAUGUGAACCUAACAGUACGUCUGAAGCUUUGAUUACCACUUGAGGAGAACAAGGCCCGAUCUUCCGAAAGGUUCUUUUAACUAUCGAUUUCGUGGAAACGAGACACAAAUCAAUCCAGUUUGCGAACAACACGAUUCGAAACCCUACAAUUCUUUUUUUUGAUAUUUUUCUUUUACUUAGGAGCACUGAAGAAGUAACCACAAGAAAUUUGAGCUUAAACAAGUGAAGGACGUGGCCUGUGGAAUUUUUUGAAGAUUGCGAAAAAUAUGAAAAUAAAGUUUAGGAGGUGAAAACUCAAAUUUUCAGAGGCGAGUUUGGGAAUUCUAAAUUCGUCGCACCCGCCAAUGGCUGGGAUAGAUAGAUCCAAAAAUUUUUCUGAUCGAUUUUGAUAUAUGGAACGUCAAAAUCGGAGUUCGUAGGCGAAAGUUAUGGCUGUUUUACGAACGGACUCCGAAUUAGGGGACAAAACAGUCCGGAAGUGGGAAAAUUUUGCGGUGGUGGCUAUAAAUUGAUGGAAAGGGUGGGAAGAAACACACAAAUUGGACUCUAACAAGACCUAACCAGUAACAAGAUCUCGACCAGGUCACAAACUCAACACUACGGACUCUGAAACUGAAAUAUGCAAAGGCUAUGGCGCGGAUGGGUUGUAGGACAUGAAAACAAUAUAGCACUAGACUUAUGGGACGAACACAAGGACACUCGAAACUAAGGAUAGAUAUGAACCUAACGGUACGUCUGAAGCUUUGAUUAACAUUUGAGGAGAACAAGUGUGGCCCGAUCUUCCGAAAGGUUCUAGUAACUAUCAAUUUUGUGGAAACGAGACCCAAAUCAAUCCAUCUUGCGAACAACACGGUUCGAAACUAUGCAAUUUUUUUUUUGAUAUUUUUCUUUUACUUAGGAGCACUCAAGAAGUAACCAUAGGAAAUUUGAGCUUAAACAAGUGAAAGACUUGGCCUGUGAAAUUUUUUGAAGAUUACGAAGAAUAUAAAAAAACUUUAGGAGGUGAAAACUCAAACUUCAGGGGCGAAUUUGGGGAUUCUAAAAUUAUCGAACCCACCUCUAGCAAAGAUAGACAGAUCCAAAAAUUUGUUCUGAUCGAUUUUGAUAUAUGGAACGUCAAUAUCGGAGUUCCUAUGCGAAAGUUAUGGCUGUUUUACGAACGGACUCUGAAUUAGAGGACAAAACGGUCCGGAAGUGGGAAAAUUUUACGGUGGUGGCUAUAAAUUGAUGGAAACGGUGGGAAAAAACACACAAACUGGACUCUAACAAGACCAAAUCAGUAACAAGACCUCGACCAGGACACAAACUCAACACUACGGACUCUGAAACUGAAAUAUGCAAAGGUUAUGGCGCGGAUGGGUUGUAGGACAUGAAAACAAUUUGGCACUAGACUUAUGGGACGAACACAAGGACACUCGAAACUAAGGGUAGAUGUCAACCUAACGGUACGUCUGAAGCUUUGAUUACCACUUGAGGAGAACAAGGCCCGAUCUUCCGAAAGGUUCUGGUAACUAUCGAUUUGGUGGAAACGAGACACAAAUCAAUCCAGUUUGCGAACAACACGAUUCGAAACCUUGCAAUUCUUUUUUUUUUGAUAUUUUUCCUUUUACUUAGGAGCACUGAAGAAGUAACCACAAGAAAUUUGAGCUUAAACAAGUGAAGGACGUGGCCUGUGGAAUUUUUUGAAGAUUGCGAAAAAUAUGAAAAUAAAGUUUAGGAGGUGAAAACUCAAAUUUUCAGAGGCGAGUUUAGGAAUUCUAAAUUUGUCGCACCCGCCUAUGGCAGGGAUAGACAGAUCCAAAAAUUUUUCUGAUCGAUUUUGAUAUAUGGAACGUCAAAAUCGGAGUUCGUAGGCGAAAGUUAUGGCUCUUUUACGAACGGACUCAGAAUUAGAGGACAAAACGGUCCGGAAGUGGGAAAAAUUUGCGGUGGCGGCUAGAAAUUGAUGGAAACGGUGGGAAAAACACACAAACUGGACUCUAACAAGACCAAAUUAGUAACAAGACCUCGACCAGGACACAAACUCAACACUACGGACUAUGAAACGGAAAUAUGCAAAGGUUAUGGCGCGGAUGGGUUGUAGGACAUGAAAACAAUUUGGCACUAGACUUAUGGGACGAACACAAGGACACUCGAAACUAAGGGUAGAUGUGAACCUAACGGUACGUCUGAAGCUUUGAUUACCACUUGAGGAGAACAAGGCCCGAUCUUCCGAAAGGGUCUGGUAACUAUCGAUUUGGUGGAAACGAGACACAAAUUAAUCCAGUUUGCGAACAACACGAUUCGAAACCCGGCAAUUCUUUUUAUUUUUUUUGAUAUUUUUCUUUUACUUAGGAGCACUCAAGAAGUAACCACAAGAAAUUUGAGCUUAAACAAGUGAAGGACGUGGCCUGUGGAAUUUUUUGAAGAUUGCGAAAAAUAUGAAAAUAAAGUUUAGGAGGUGAAAACUCAAAUUUUUCAGAGGCGAGUUUGGGAAUUCUAAAUUUGUCGCACCCGCCUAUGGUGGGGAUAGACAGAUCCAAAAAAUUUUCUGAUCGAUUUUGAUAUAUGGAACGUCAAAAUCAGAGUUCGUAGGCCAAAGUUAUGGCUGUUUUACGAACGGACUCUGAAUUAGAGGACAAAACGGUCCGGAAGUGGGAAAAUUUUACGGUGGUGGCUAUAAAUUGAUGGAAACGGUGGGAAGAAACACACAAAUUGGACUCUAACAAGACCUAACCAGUAACAAGAUCUCGACCAGGACACAAACUCAACACUACGGACUCUGAAACUGAAAUAUGCAAAGGCUAUGGCGCGGAUGGGUUGUAGGACAUGAAAACAAUAUAGCACUAGACUUAUGGGACGAACACAAGGACACUCGAAACUAAGGAUAGAUAUGAACCUAACGGUACGUCUGAAGCUUUGAUUAACACUUGAGGAGAACAAGUAUGGCCCGAUCUUCCGAAACGUUCUAGUAACUAUCAAUUUGGUGGAAACGAGACCCAAAUCAAUCCAUCUUGCGAACAACGCGGUUCGAAACCCUGCAAAUCUUUUUAUUUAUUUUUUUUGAUAUUUUUAUUUUACUUAGGAGCACUCAAGAAGUAACCAUAGAAAUUUUGAGCUUAAACAAGUGAAAGACUUGGCCUGUGGAAUUUUUUGAAGAUUGCGAAAAAUAAAAAAAACUUUAGGAGGUGAAAACUCAAAUUUCAGGGGCGAAUUUGGGGAUUCUAAAAUUAUCGAACCCACCUCUAGCGGAGAUAGACAGAUCCAAAAAUUUGUUCUGAUCGAUUAUGAUAUAUGGAACGUCAAUAUCGGAGUUCGUAUGCGAAAGUUAUGACUGUUUUACGAACGGACUCCGAAUUAGAGGACAAAACGGUCCGGAAGUGGGAAAAAUUUGUGGUGGUGGCUAGAAAUUGAUGGAAACGGUGGGAAAAAACACACAAACUGGACUCUAACAAGACCAAAUCAGUAACAAGACCUCGACCAGGACACAAACUCAACACUACGGAAUCUGAAACUGAAAUAUGCAAAGGUUAUGGCGCGGAUGGGUUGUAGGACAUGAAAACAAUUUGGCACUAGACUUAUGGGAGGAACACAAGGACACUCGAAACUAAGGGUAGAUGUGAACCUAACAGUACGUCUGAAGCUUUGAUUACCACUUGAGGAGAACAAGGCCCGAUCUUCCGAAAGGUUCUUUUAACUAUCGAUUUCGUGGAAACGAGACACAAAUCAAUCCAGUUUGCGAACAACACGAUUCGAAACCCUACAAUUCUUUUUUUUGAUAUUUUUCUUUUACUUAGGAGCACUGAAGAAGUAACCACAAGAAAUUUGAGCUUAAACAAGUGAAGGACGUGGCCUGUGGAAUUUUUUGAAGAUUGCGAAAAAUAUGAAAAUAAAGUUUAGGAGGUGAAAACUCAAAUUUUCAGAGGCGAGUUUGGGAAUUCUAAAUUCGUCGCACCCGCCAAUGGCUGGGAUAGAUAGAUCCAAAAAUUUUUCUGAUCGAUUUUGAUAUAUGGAACGUCAAAAUCGGAGUUCGUAGGCGAAAGUUAUGGCUGUUUUACGAACGGACUCCGAAUUAGGGGACAAAACAGUCCGGAAGUGGGAAAAUUUUGCGGUGGUGGCUAUAAAUUGAUGGAAAGGGUGGGAAGAAACACACAAAUUGGACUCUAACAAGACCUAACCAGUAACAAGAUCUCGACCAGGUCACAAACUCAACACUACGGACUCUGAAACUGAAAUAUGCAAAGGCUAUGGCGCGGAUGGGUUGUAGGACAUGAAAACAAUAUAGCACUAGACUUAUGGGACGAACACAAGGACACUCGAAACUAAGGAUAGAUAUGAACCUAACGGUACGUCUGAAGCUUUGAUUAACACUUGAGGAGAACAAGUAUGGCCCGAUCUUCCGAAACGUUCUAGUAACUAUCAAUUUGGUGGAAACGAGACCCAAAUCAAUCCAUCUUGCGAACAACGCGGUUCGAAACCCUGCAAAUCUUUUUAUUUAUUUUUUCUGAUAUUUUUAUUUUACUUAGGAGCACUCAAGAAGUAACCAUAGAAAUUUUGAGCUUAAACAAGUGAAAGACUUGGCCUGUGGAAUUUUUUGAAGAUUGCGAAAAAUAAAAAAAACUUUAGGAGGUGAAAACUCAAAUUUCAGGGGCGAAUUUGGGGAUUCUAAAAUUAUCGAACCCACCUCUAGCGGAGAUAGACAGAUCCAAAAAUUUGUUCUGAUCGAUUAUGAUAUAUGGAACGUCAAAAUCGGAAUUCGUAUGCGACAGUUAUGGCUGUUUUACGAACGGACUCCGAAUUAGAGGACAAACAGUCCGGAAGUGGGAAACAUUUGCGGCGGUGCCUAUAAAUUGAUGGAAACGGUGGGAAGAAACACACAAAUUUGACUCUAACAAGACCUAGCCAGUAACACUGAAACUGAAAUAUGCAAAGGUUAUGGCGCGGAUGGGUUGUAGGACAUGAAAACAAUAUAGCACUAGACUUAUGGGAUGAACAUAAAGACACUCGAAACUAAGGAUAGAUAUGAACCUAACGGUACGUCUGAAGCUUUGAUUAACACUUGAGGAGAACAAGUGUGGCCCGAUCUUCCGAAAGGUUCUAGUAACUAUCAAUUUGGUGGAAACGAGACCCAAAUCAAUCCAUCUUGCGAACAACGCGGUUCGAAACCCUGCAAUUCUAUUUUUUUUUUGAUAUUUGUCUUUUACUUAGGAGCACUCAAGAAGUAACCAUAGGAAAUUUGAGCUUAAACAAGUGAAAGACUUGGCCUGUGGAAUUUUUUUAAGAUUGUGAAAAAUAUAAAAAAACUUUAGGAGAUGAAAACUCAAACUUCAGGGGCGAAUUUGGGGAUUCUAAAAUUAUCGAACCCACCUCUAGUGGAGAUAGACAGAUCCAAAAAUUUGUUCUGAUCGAUUUUGAUAUAUGGAACGUCAAUAUCGGAGUUCGUAUGCGAAAGUUAUGGCUGUUUUACGAACGGACUCCGAAUUAGAGGACAAAACGGUCCGGAAGUGGGAAAAAUUUGUGGUGGUGGCUAGAAAUUAAUGGAAACGGUGGGAAAAAACACACAAACUGGACUCUAACAAGACCAAAUCAGUAACAAGACCUCGACCAGGACACAAACUCAACACUACGGACUCUAAAACUGAAAUAUGCAAAGGUUAUGGCGCGGAUGGGUUGUAGGACAUGAAAACAAUUUGGCACUAGACUUAUGGGACGAACACAAGGACACUCGAAACUAAGGAUAGAUGUGAACCUAACGGUACGUCUGAAGCUUUGAUUACCACAUGAGGAGAACAAGGCCCGAUCUUCCGAAAGGUUCUGGUAACUAUCGAUUUGGUGGAAACGAGACACAAAUCAAUCCAGUUUGCGAACAACACGAUUCGAAACCCUGCAAUUCUUUUUUUUGAUAUUUUUCUUUUACUUAGGAGCACUCAAGAAGUAACCACAGGAAAUUUGAGCUUGAACAAGUGAAGGACGUGGCCUGUGGAAUUUUUUGAAGAUUGCGAAAAUAUGAAAAGAAAGUUUAGGAGGUGAAAACUCAAAUUUUCAGAGGCGAGUUUAGGAAUUCUAAAUUUGUCGCACCUGCCUAUGGCGGGGAUAGACAGAUCCAAAAAUUUUUCUGAUCGAUUUUGAUAUAUGGAACGUCAAAAUCGGAGUUUGUAGGCGAAAGUUAUGGCUGUUUUAUGAACGGACUCUGAAUUAGAGGACAAAACGGUCCGGAAGUGGGAAAAAUUUGCGGUGGUGGCUAGAAAUUGAUGGAAACGGUGGGAAAAACACACAAACUGGACUCUAACAAGACCAAAUUAGUAACAAGACCUUGACCAGGACACAAACUCAACACUACGGACUAUGAAACUGAAAUAUGCAAAGGUUAUGGCGCGGAUGGGUUGUAGGACAUGAAAACAAUUUGGCACUAGACUUAUGGGACGAACACAAGGACACUCGAAACUAAGGGUAGAUGUGAACCUAAUGGUACGUCUGAAGCUUUGAUUACCACUUGAGGAGAACAAGGCCCGAUCUUGCGAAAGGUUCUGGUAACUAUCGAUUUGGUGGAAACGAGACACAAAUUAAUCCAGUUUGCGAACAACACGAUUCGAAACCCUACAAUUCUUUUUAUUUUUUUGAUAUUUUUAUUUUACUUAGGAGCACUCAAGAAGUAACCACAAGAAAUUUGAGCUUAAACAAGUGAAGGACGUGGCCUGUGGAAUUUUUUGAAGAUUGCGAAAAAUAUAAAAAUAAAGUUUAGGAGGUGAAAACUCAAAUUUUCAGAGGCGAGUUUGGGAAUUCUAAAUUUGUCGCACCCGCCUAUGGUGGGGAUAGACAGAUCCAAAAAUUUUUCUGAUCAAUUUUGAUAUAUGGAACGUUAAAAUCAGUGUUCGUAGGCGAAAGUUAUGGCUGUUUUACGAACGGACUCUGAAUUAGAGGACAAAACGGUCCGGAAGUGGGAAAAAUUUGCGGUGGUGGCUAGAAAUUGAUGGAAACGGUGGGAAAAACACACAAACUGGACUCUAACAAGACCAAAUUAGUAACAAGACCUCGACCAGGACACAAACUCAACACUACGGACUAUGAAACUGAAAUAUGCAAAGGUUAUGGAGCGGAUGGGUUGUAGGACAUGAAAACAAUUUGGCACUAGACUUAUGGGACGAACACAAGGACACUCGAAACUAAGGGUAGAUGUGAACCUAACGGUGCGUCUGAAGCUUUGAUUACCACUUGAGGAGAACAAGGCCCGAUCUUCCGAAAGGUUUUGGUAACUAUCGAUUUGGUGGAAACAAGACACAAAUUAAUCCAGUUUGCGAACAACACGAUUAGAAACCCUGCAAUUCUUUUUAUUUUUUUUAUUUGAUAUUUUUGUUUUACUUAGGAGCACCGAACAAGUAGCCACAGGAAAUUUGAGCUUAAACAAGUGAAAGACGUUGCCUGUGGAAUUUUUUUAGAUUGCGAAAAAUAUGAAAAUAAACUUUAGGAGGUGAAAACUCAAAUUUAAAGGCAAAUUUGGGGAUUCUAAAAUUAUCAAACCCGCCUCUAGCAGAGAUAAACAGAUCCAAAAAUUUGUUCUGAUCGAUUUUGAUAUAUGGAACGUCAAAAUCGGAAUUCGUAUGCGAAAGUUAUGGUUGUUUUACGAACGGACUCCGAAUUAGAGGACAAAACAGUCCGGAAGUGGGAAACAUUUGCGGCGGUGGCUAUAAAUUGAUGGCAACGGUGGGAAGAAACACACAAAUUGGACUCUAACAAGACCUAACCAGUAACAAGAUCUCGACCAGGACACAAACUCAACACUACGGACACUGAAACUGAAAUAUAGGCUAUGGCGCGGAUGGGUUGUAGGACAUGAAAACAAUAUAGCACUAGACUUAUGGGACGAACACAAGGACACUCGAAACUAAGGAUAGAUAUGAACCUAACGGUACGUCUGAAGCUUUGAUUAACACUUGAGGAGAACAAGUGUGGCCCGAUCUUCCGAAACGUUCUAGUAACUAUCAAUUUGGUGGAAACGAGACCCAAAUCAAUCCAUCUUGCGAACAACGCGGUUCGAAACCCUGCAAUUCUUUUUAUUUUUAUUUUGAUAUUUUUCUUUUACUUAGGAGCACUCAAGAAGUAACCAUAGGAAAUUUGAGCUUAAACAAGUGAAAGACUUGGCCCGUGGAAUUUUUUGAAGAUUGCGAAAAAUAUAAAAAAAACUUUUGGAGUUGAAAACUCAAAUUUUAGAGGCAAAUUUGGGGAUUCUAAAAUUGUCAAACGCGCACACGGCGGGGAUAGACAGAUCCAAAAGUUUGUUCUGAUCGAUUUUGAUAUAUGGAACGUCAAAAUCGGAGUUCGUAUGCGAAAAUUUUGUCUGUUUUACGAACGGACAACGAAUUAGAGGACAAAACAGUCCGGUAGUGGGAAAAAUUUGCGCGGUGGCUAUAAAUUGAUGGAAAUGGUGGGAAGAAACACACAAAUUGGACUCUAACAAGACCUAACCAGUAACAAGAUCUCGACCAGGACCCAAACUCAAAACUACGGACUCUGAAACUGAAAUAUGCAAAGGCUAUGGCGCGGAUGGGUUGUAGGACAUAAAAACAAUAUAGCAUUAGACUUAUGGGACAAACACAAGGACACUCGAAACUAAGGAUAGAUUUGAAAAUAACAGUACGUCUGAACCUUUGAUUAACACUUGAGGAGAACAAGUGUGGCCCGAUCUUCCGAAAGGUUCUAGUAACUAUCAAUUUGGUGGAAACGAGACCCAAAUCAAUCCACCUUGCGAACAACGCGGUUCGAAACUCUGCAAUUCUUUUUAUUUUUUUUUUAUAUUUUUCUUUUACUUAGGAGCACUCAAGAAGUAACCACCGGAAAUUUGAGCUUAAACAAGUAAAAGACGUGGCCUGUGGAAAUUUUUGAAGAUUGCAAAAAAUAUAGAAAAAAAUUUAGGAGGUGAAAACUCAAACUUCAGGGGCGAAUUUGGGGAUUCUAAAAUUAUCGAACCCGCCCUUAGCGGAAAUAGACAGAUCCAAAAAUUUGUUCUGAUCGAUUUUGAUAUAUGGAACGUCAAAAUCGGAGUUCGUAUGCGAAAGUUAUGGCUGUUCUACGAACGGACUCCGAAUUAGAGGACAAAACGGUCCGGAAGUGGGAAAAAUUUACGGUGGUGGCUAGAAAUUGAUGGAAACGGUGGGAAAAAACACACAAACUAGACUCUAACAACACCAAAUCAGUAACAAGACCUCGACCAGGACACAAACUCAACACUACGGACUCUAAAACUAAAAUAUGCAAAGGUUAUGGCGCGGAUGGGUUGUAGGACAUAAAAACAAUAUGGCACUGGAUUUAUGGGACGAACACAAGGACACACGAAACUAAGGGUAGAUGUGAACCUAACGGUACGUCUGAAGCUUUGAUUACCACUUGAGGAGAACAAGGCCCGAUCUUCCGAAAGGUUCUGUUAACUAUCGAUUUGGUGGAAACGAGACACAAAUCAAUCCAGUUUGCGAACAACACGAUUCGAAACCCUGCAAUUCUUUUUAUUUUUUUGAUAUUUUUCUUUUACUUAGGAGCACACAAGAAGUAAGCACAGGAAAUUUGAGCUUAAACAAGUGAGGGACGUGGCCUGUGGAAUUUUUUGAAGAUUGUGAAAAAUAUGAAAAUAAAGUUUAGGAGCUGAAAACUCAAAUUUUCAGAGGCGAGUUUGGGGAUUCUAAAUUUGUCGCACCCGCCUAUGGUGGGGAUAGAUAGAUCCAAAAAUUUUUCUGAUCGAUUAUGAUAUAUGGAAUGUCAAAAUCGGAGUUCGUAGGCGAAAGUUAUGGCUGUUUUACGAACGGACUCUGAAUUAGAGGACAAAACGGUCCGGAAGUGGGAAAAAUUUGCGGUGGUGGCUAGAAAUUGAUGGAAACGGUGGGAAAAAAUACACAAACUGGACUCAAACAAGACCUAACCAGUAACAAGACCUCGACCAGGACACAAACUCAAAACUACGGAUUCUGAAACUAAAAUAUGCAAACGCUAUGGCGCAGAUGAGUUGUAGGACAUGAAAACAAUAUGGAACUAGGCUUAUGAGACGAACACAAGGACACUCGAAACUAAGGGUAGAUGUGAACCUAACGGUAUGUCUGAUGCUUUGAUUUCCACUUGAGGAGAACAAGUGUGGCCCGAUCUUCCGAAAGGUUCUGGUAACUAUCGAUUUGGUAGAAACGAGACACAAAUCAAUCCAGCUUACGAACAACACGAUUCGAAACCCUACAAUUCUUAUUUUUUGAUAUUUUUCUUUUACUUAGGAGCACUCAAGAAGUAAGCAUAGGAAAUUUGAGCUUAAACAAGUGAAAUACGUGACCUGUGGAAACUUUUGAAUAUUGCGAAAAAUAUAGAAAAAAAUUUAGGAGGUGAAAACUCAAACUUCAGGGGCGAAUUUGGGGAUUCUAAAAUUAUCGAACCCGCCCUUAACGGAAAUAGACAGAUCCAAAAAUUUGUUCUGAUCGAUUUUGAUAUAUGGAACGUCAAAAUCGGAGUUCGUAUACGAAAGUUAUGGCUGUUCUACGAACGGACUCUGAAUUAGAGGACAAAACGGUCCGGAAGUGGGAAAAAUUUACGGUGGUGGCUAGAAAUUGAUGGAAACGGUGGGAAAAAACACACAAACUGGACUCUAACAACACCAAAUCAGUAACAAGACCUCGACCAGGACACAAACUCAACACUACGGACUCUAAAACUAAAAUAUGCAAAGGUUAUGGCGCGGAUGGGUUGUAGGACAUAAAAACAAUAUGGCACUGGAUUUAUGGGACGAACACAAGGACACACGAAACUAAGGGUAGAUGUGAACCUAACGGUACGUCUGAAGCUUUGAUUACCACUUGAGGAGAACAAGGCCCGAUCUUCCGAAAGGUUCUGUUAACUAUCGAUUUGGUGGAAACGAGACACAAAUCAAUCCAGUUUGCGAACAACACGAUUCGAAACCCUGCAAUUCUUUUUAUUUUUUUGAUAUUUUUCUUUUACUUAGGAGCACACAAGAAGUAAGCACAGGAAAUUUGAGCUUAAACAAGUGAGGGACGUGGCCUGUGGAAUUUUUUGAAGAUUGUGAAAAAUAUGAAAAUAAAGUUUAGGAGCUGAAAACUCAAAUUUUCAGAGGCGAGUUUGGGGAUUCUAAAUUUGUCGCACCCGCCUAUGGUGGGGAUAGAUAGAUCCAAAAAUUUUUCUGAUCGAUUAUGAUAUAUGGAAUGUCAAAAUCGGAGUUCGUAGGCGAAAGUUAUGGCUGUUUUACGAACGGACUCUGAAUUAGAGGACAAAACGGUCCGGAAGUGGGAAAAAUUUGCGGUGGUGGCUAGAAAUUGAUGGAAACGGUGGGAAAAAAUACACAAACUGGACUCAAACAAGACCUAACCAGUAACAAGACCUCGACCAGGACACAAACUCAAAACUACGGAUUCUGAAACUAAAAUAUGCAAACGCUAUGGCGCAGAUGAGUUGUAGGACAUGAAAACAAUAUGGAACUAGGCUUAUGAGACGAACACAAGGACACUCGAAACUAAGGGUAGAUGUGAACCUAACGGUAUGUCCGAUGCUUUGAUUUCCACUUGAGGAGAACAAGUGUGGCCCGAUCUUCCGAAAGGUUCUGGUAACUAUCGAUUUGGUAGAAACGAGACACAAAUCAAUCCAGCUUACGAACAACACGAUUCGAAACCCUACAAUUCUUAUUUUUUGAUAUUUUUCUUUUACUUAGGAGCACUCAAGAAGUAAGCAUAGGAAAUUUGAGCUUAAACAAGUGAAAUACGUGACCUGUGGAAACUUUUGAAUAUUGCGAAAAAUAUAGAAAAAAAUUUAGGAGGUGAAAACUCAAACUUCAGGGGCGAAUUUGGGGAUUCUAAAAUUAUCGAACCCGCCCUUAACGGAAAUAGACAGAUCCAAAAAUUUGUUCUGAUCGAUUUUGAUAUAUGGAACGUCAAAAUCGGAGUUCGUAUACGAAAGUUAUGGCUGUUCUACGAACGGACUCUGAAUUAGAGGACAAAACGGUCCGGAAGUGGGAAAAAUUUACGGUGGUGGCUAGAAAUUGAUGGAAACGGUGGGAAAAAACACACAAACUGGACUCUAACAACACCAAAUCAGUAACAAGACCUCGACCAGGACACAAACUCAACACUACGGACUCUAAAACUAAAAUAUGCAAAGGUUAUGGCGCGGAUGGGUUGUAGGACAUAAAAACAAUAUGGCACUGGAUUUAUGGGACGAACACAAGGACACACGAAACUAAGGGUAGAUGUGAACCUAACGGUACGUCUGAAGCUUUGAUUACCACUUGAGGAGAACAAGGCCCGAUCUUCCGAAAGGUUCUGUUAACUAUCGAUUUGGUGGAAACGAGACACAAAUCAAUCCAGUUUGCGAACAACACGAUUCGAAACCCUGCAAUUCUUUUUAUUUUUUUGAUAUUUUUCUUUUACUUAGGAGCACACAAGAAGUAAGCACAGGAAAUUUGAGCUUAAACAAGUGAGGGACGUGGCCUGUGGAAUUUUUUGAAGAUUGUGAAAAAUAUGAAAAUAAAGUUUAGGAGCUGAAAACUCAAAUUUUCAGAGGCGAGUUUGGGGAUUCUAAAUUUGUCGCACCCGCCUAUGGUGGGGAUAGAUAGAUCCAAAAAUUUUUCUGAUCGAUUAUGAUAUAUGGAAUGUCAAAAUCGGAGUUCGUAGGCGAAAGUUAUGGCUGUUUUACGAACGGACUCUGAAUUAGAGGACAAAACGGUCCGGAAGUGGGAAAAAUUUACGGUGGUGGCUAGAAAUUGAUGGAAACGGUGGGAAAAAACACACAAACUGGACUCAAACAAGACCUAACCAGUAACAAGACCUCGACCAGGACACAAACUCAAAACUACGGAUUCUGAAACUAAAAUAUGCAAACGCUAUGGCGCAGAUGAGUUGUAGGACAUGAAAACAAUAUGGAACUAGGCUUAUGAGACGAACACAAGGACACUCGAAACUAAGGGUAGAUGUGAACCUAACGGUAUGUCUGAUGCUUUGAUUUCCACUUGAGGAGAACAAGUGUGGCCCGAUCUUCCGAAAGGUUCUGGUAACUAUCGAUUUGGUGGAAACGAGACACAAAUCAAUCCAGCUUACGAACAACACGAUUCGAAACCCUACAAUUCUUAUUUUUUGAUAUUUUUCUUUUACUUAGGAGCUCUCAAGAAGUAAGCAUAGGAAAUUUGAGCUUAAACAAGUGAAAUACGUGACCUGUGGAAACUUUUGAAUAUUGCGAAAAAUAUGAAAAAAACUUUUGGAGGUGAAAACUCAAACUUUAGAGGCGAAUUUGGGGAUUCUAAAAUUGUCAAACCCGCACACGGUGGGGAUAGACAGAUCCAAAAAUUUGGUUUGAUCGAUUUUGAUAUAUAGAACGUCAAAAUCGGAGUUCGUAUGCGAAAAUUAUGGCUGUUUUACGAACGGACACCGAAUUAGAGGACAAAACAGUCCGGUAGUGGGAAAAAUUUGCGCGGGUGGCUAUAAAUUGAUGGAAACGGUGGGAAGAAACAUACAAAUUGGACUCUAACAACACCUAACCAGUAACAAGAUCUCGACCAGGACACAAACUCAACACUACGGACUCUGAAACGGAAAUAUGCAAAGGCUAUGGCGCGGAUGGGUUGUAGGACAUAAAAACAAUAUAGCACUAGACUUAUGGGACGAACACAAGGACACUCGAAACAAAGGAUAGAUGUGAACCUAACGGUACGUCUGAAGCUUUGAUUACCACUUGAGGAGAACAAGUGUGGCCCGAUCUUCCGAAAGGUUCUGGUAACUAUCGAUUUGGUGGAAACGAGACCCAAAUCAAUCCACCUUGCGAACAACGCGGUUCGAAACCCUACAAUUCUUUUUUUUUUUAUUUUACUUAGGAGCACUCAAGAAGUAACCACAGGAAAUUUGAGCUUAAACAAGUGAAAGUCGUGGCCUGUGGAAAUUUUUGAAGAUUGCGAAAAAUAUAAAAAAACUUUAGGAGGUGAAAACUCAAUCUUCAGGGGCGAAUUUGGGGAUUCUAAAAUCAUCGAACCCGCCUCUAGCAGAGAUACAUAGAUCCAAAAAUUUGUUCUGAUCGAUUUUGAUAUAUGGAACGUCAAAAUCGGAGUUCGUAUGCGAAAGUUAUGGCUGUUUUACGAACGGACUCCGAAUUAGAGGACAAAACGGUCCGGAAGUGGUAAAAAUGUGCGGUGGUGGCUAGAAAUUAAUGGAAACGGUGGGAUAAAACACACAAACUGGACUCUGACAACACCAAAUCAGUAACAAGACCUCGACCAGGACACAAACUCAACACUACGGACUCUAAAACUGAAAUAUGCAAAGGUUAUGGCGUAGAUGGGUUGUAGGACGUGAAAACAAUAUGGCACUUGACUUAUGGGACGAACACAAGGACACUCGAAACUAAGGGUAGAUGUGAACCUAACGGUACGUCUGAAGCUUUGAUUACCACUUGUGGAGAACAAGGCCCGAUCUUCUGAAAGGUUCUGGUAACUAUCGAUUUGGUGGAAACGAGACACAAAUCAAUCCAGUUUGCGAACAACACAAUUCGAAACCCUGCAAUUCUUUUUAUUUUUUUUGAUAUUUUUCUUUUACUUAGGAGCACACAAGAAGUAAGCACAGGAAAUUUGAGCUUAAACAAGUGAAGGACGUGGCCUGUGGAAUUUUUUGAAGAUUGCGAAAACUAUGAAAAUAAAGUUUAGGAGGUGAAAACUCAAAUUUUCAGAGGCGAGUUUGGGGAUUCUAAAUUUGUCGCACCCGCCUAUGGCGGGGAUAGACAGAUCCAAAAAUUUUUCUGAUUGAUUUUGAUACAUGGAACGUCAAAAUUGGAGUUCGUAGGCGAAAGUUAUCGCUGUUUUACGAACGGACUCUGAAUUAGAGGACAAAACGGUCCGGAAGUGGGAAAAAUUUGCGGUGGUGGCUAGAAAUUGAUGGAAGCGGUGGGAAAAAACACACAAACUUGACUCAAACAAGACCUAAUCAGUAACAAGACCUCGACCAGGACACAAACUCAAAACUACGGAUUCUGAAACUGAAAUAUGCAAAGGCUAUGGCGCGGAUGGGUUGUAGGACAUGAAAACAAUAUGACACUAGACUUAUGAGACGAAUACAAGAACACUCGAAACUAAGGGUAGAUGUGAACCUAAUGGUAUGUCUGGUGCUUUGAUUACCACUUGAGGAGAACAAGUGUGGCCCGAUCUUCCGAAAGGUUCUGGUAACUAUCGAUUUGGUGGAAACGAGACACAAAUCAAUCCAGCUUACGAACAACACGAUUCGAAACCCUGCAAUUAUUCUUUUUUAAUAUUUUUCUUUUACUUAGAAGCACUCAAGAAGUAAGCACAGGAAAUUUGAGCUUAAACAAGUGAAAAACGUGACCUGUGGAAACUUUUGAAAAUUGCGAAAAAUAUGAAAAAAAUAUUUGGAGGUGAAAACUCAAACUUUAGAGGCGAAUUUGGGAAUUCUAAAAUUGUCAAACCCGCAUACGGUGGGGAUAGACAGAUCCAAAAAUUUGGUUUGAUCGAUUUUGAUAUAUGGAACAUCAAAAUCGGAGUUCGUAUGCGAAAAUUAUGGCUGUUUUACGAACGGACACCGAAUUAGAGGACAAAACAGUCUGGUACUGGGAAAAAUUGGCGCGGUGGCUAUAAAUUGAUGGAAACGGUGGGAAGAAACACACAAAUUGGACUCUAACAAGACCUAACCAGUAACAAGACCUCGACCAGGACACAAACUCAACACUACGGACUCUGAAACUGAAAUAUGCAAAGGCUAUCGCGCGGAUGGGUUGUAGGACAUGAAAACAAUAUAGCACUAGACUUAUGGGACGAACACAAGGACACUCGAAACUAAGGAUAGAUGUGAACCUAACGUUACAUGUGAAGCUUUGAUUAACACUUGAGGAGAACAAGUGUGGCCCGAUCUUCCAAAAGGUUCUAGUAACUACCAAUUUGGUGGAAACAAGACCCAAAUCAAUCUACCUUGCGAACAACGCGGUUCAAAACCCUGCAAUUAUUUUUACUUUUAUUAUGAUAUUUUUAUUUUACUUAGGAGCACUCAAGAAGUAACCACAGGAAAUUUGAGCUUAAACAAGUGAAAGACGUGGCCUGUGGAAAUUUUUGAAGAUUGCAAAAAAUAUAAAAAAAACAUUAGGAGCUGAAAACUCAAAAUUCAAGGGCAAAUUUGGGGUUUCUAAAUUUAUCGAACCCGCCUCUAGCGGAGAUAGACAGAUCCAAAAAUUUGUUCUGAUCGAUUUUGAUAUAUGAAACGUCAAAAUUGGAGUUCGUAUGCGAAAGUUAUGGCUAUUUUACGAGCGGACUUCGAAUUAGAGGACAAAACGGUCCGGAAGUGGGAAAAAUUUGCGGUGGUGGCUAGAAAUUGAUGGAAACUGUGGGAACAAACACACAAACUGGACUCUAACAAGACCUAACCAGUAACAAGAUCUCGACCAGGACACAAACUCAAAACUACGGGUUCUGAAACUGAAAUAUGCAAAGGCUAUGGCGCGGAUGGGUUGUAGGACAUGAAAACAAUAUGGCACUGGACUUAUGAGACGAACACAAGGACACUCAAAACUAAGGGUAGAUGUGAACCUAACGGUAUGUCUGAUGCUUUGAUUACCACUUGAGGAGAACAAGUGUGGCCCGAUCUUCCGAAUGGUUCUGGUAACUAUCGAUUUGGUGGAAACGAGACACAAAUCAAACCAGUUUGCGAACAACACGAUUCGAAACCCUGCAGUUCUUUUUAUUUUUUUUGAUAUUUUUCUUUUACUUAGGAGCACUCAAGAAGUAACCACAGGAAAUUUGAGCUUAAACAAGUGAAGGACGUGGCCUGUGGAAUUUUUUGAAGAUUGCGAAAAAUAUGAAAAUAAAGUUUAGGAGGUGAAAACUCAAAUUGUCAGAGGUGAGUUUGGGAAUUCUAAAUUUGUCGCACCCGCCUAUGGCGGGGAUAGACAGAUCCAAAAAUUUUUCUGAUCGAUUUUGAUAUAUGGAACGUCAAAAUCGGAGUUCGUAGGCGAAAGUUAUCGCUGUUUUACGAACGGACUCUGAAUUAGAGGACAAAACGGUCCGGAAGUGGGAAAAAUUUGCGGUGGUGGCUAGAAAUUGAUGGAAGCGAUGGGAAAAAACACACAAACUUGACUCAAACAAGACCUAAUCAGUAACAAGACCUCGACCAGGACACAAACUCAAAACUACGGAUUCUGAAACUGAAAUAUGCAAAGGCUAUGGCGCGGAUGGGUUGUAGGACAUGAAAACAAUAUGGCACUGGACUUAUGAGACGAACACAAGAACACUCGAAACUAAGGGUAGAUGUGAACCUAAUGGUAUGUCUGGUGCUUUGAUUACCACUUGAGGAGAACAAGUGUGGCCCGAUCUUCCGAAAGGUUCUGGUAACUAUCGAUUUGGUGGAAACGAGACAAAAAUCAAUUCAGCUUACGAACAACACGAUUCGAAACCCUACAAUUCUUUUUAUUUUUAUUUUGAUAUUUUUCUUUUACUUAGGAGCACUCAAGAAGUAAGCACAGUGUUGACGGUCCUUAAGUACUAAAAUUAAUAAUCAAAUAAACAUGGAAAAGGAUCAAUAUGAAACAAAUAUCUAGAAUUAGGGUUUUAUCUGACAGAAUUCCACGAGCUUUGGUGUUUAUCUAUUUCUGCAGGGGGUUAUCAGAGAAUAUGGAGAGAAGGCCCACAUGUCAUGUUUACAACGAGAUAAUUACGUGCCGCGCAAUUUUCCUCAAUCUAGAAGAGUCCAGAAGCCACGGGAACGAACGAGAGCACGAUCGGGCUCGGGGUCAGGGCGGCCGCCCACCCCCCUUGGGUGCCCGCCCAGGUUUGGAACCCAAUAGGGACUCUGCUUCGGGACUACGCUCCACCGACCUAAAGGAUCAAUCUAAACCAUACAAUCAAUGUCGGUUUGAUCUGACGGCCCAAAUUCACUUGAAGGGACUAUAAAACCAAGGCCUACCCCCCUAGAGAGGAGAAGAGAAGAAAUCAUUAUUCAGAGGUAGCCAUCAAAGUUAGGGUUUAGAGCUUCUCUCCCAUAGAGAAUUAGAAUUAGCUACUCCCUAAUCCUUCAAGUUUAGAGGUUUGAUUAGAUAGCAAUUAGAGAAGUAGAGCACUACGCUCUGGAUUCGAUCUUCGGUAAUAAAGAUUGGUAUUAUUCAUAUCUUUCUCUAAUUCUUUGUUCUAAUUGCAUUACGUCUCUAAUUAUUAUGUUCUUAGUUUGCUCUAGUUCUAUAUUUGAUAUGGUUCUAAUUGAUAAUGAGUUUAUGUAUAAGUUUGCAAUGCGCUUAGCUCUUGAUGCGAGGGAGUUAGGUGAUAGAUCACAUGUGAGCGUGGUGCUUAGAUGUUAUUUAUCUGCAAAUGUAUCCUAUUGGCCGGGUCGUGUGGUAGUUCGCGAUAGUGACAGCUUCGUUGAUUCUUAUAUAGUCCACCCUCCGUUGAUAGGACAGGCAGAACCGGUAUUGUGGAGUAAGUCAUGCGACGCUCUGAUUUACUUUAUCAAUGUUCCUUAUACAUGAAUGAAGAGUCUUUUAUGCUAUAUAUGAUCUUGUAGAUAACUAGAGUAGAUUAUGACUUAGUAGUUAGUAGAUAACUUAGAAUCCAUUCUCUAGCUAAUCCGACAUCACCUACAUAUAUGAGGAGUAGUCUAUUUUCUAAUCGCUGUGUUAUCUACCCAUGAACUUAUAAUUCAUUAUCAUUAUCUUUAUGGUUUACCCCCUGCUAAAGUAAGUGAGUGUGUGACGAGUUUCUCAUUAGUAAUCAUGUUCUUGCAAGUUUAUCUCUAGUCUAUGCCUUGAUAGAUUUUGCCCCUUACUUUAAUUUCAUCCCUUGAGCAAAAUUAUAAAUAACGAUACCUGGAAUACUUAUCCUGGUGAAAUGCUACAAUGAGGUGUUUUAUCUGUACGCUUGCGGAUAGAAUAGAUUAUUUUCUAGAGAGCCUUUACAUUUAUAAAUACCUUUUGUACACUCCAGCACCAUGCUGGGGAUGACAACCUAGUAUCUAAGUGGUGUUAGCUAGUGUCAACAAGCAUUUCUGGCGCCGUUGCCGGGGAGUCUCAUGAAUAAGUCAUAAAGGUGUACAAAAGGGUAAUACUUAGGAAAGCUAGAAAAUCAGUCAAGGUUAUUCAUAUAAAAUAUUAGACUAGACUAUAGAGAAAUAAUUGCAUAAAAACAGCUACUAAGUGAGAGAUCAUAACAAGGCACCUCAGCUUUGGCAGGUUCACCCUGUUGUUUUUUUAUGUUUAUAUUUUUAUACAGGGUAUAUCAGGAUUGACUUUGGGUACAUUCAACUCUUCAUCAUCAGAACCAAAGCAAUCAAGAGAAGAAGAAGAUAGCUAUGAAUUGCUGAAGCUAUGGCACAAAAGACCUUGCAAGAAUUCUCUGCUCCAAGUCUUGAGAACAUUCCAACUGGUCCAAGAAUUGCAGUAGAAGAAGGAGUACCCGAGUUUGAGCUCAAGUCAAGCCUCAUCAAUUUGGUACAAGCUACACAAUUCAGUGGAAAGGCACAUAAAGAUGCUAGUGCACACUUGCAGAAUUUCUUAGAGAUUGGAAGCACAAUCCACAUCAACGGAGUUGACAAAGACGUCAUACUGCUUCGCCUUUUUCCAUUCUCACUAGAAGGAAAAGCGAGGAAGUGGUUCUACACUCAUCAAGAUAACAUCAACAACUGGACGAACUUGUCAGAUGCCUUUCUAUCAAAGUUUUUCCCUAUAGGCAAAACAACUGCCUUAAGAGGAAAUAUUGUCAGUUUCCAAUAGCAGAAGACAGAAGCCAUUUCAGAAGCAUGUGAGCGUUUUCAAAGAUACAUAUCAGAUUGUCCUCACCAUGGAAUGGCCACAUGGUUACUUAUGCAGACCUUCUACAAUGGAUUAACCCAGAAGGUUCGAGAGUGCCUAGAUGCAUCUGCUAAAGGAUCAUUCUUGGAGCUUACAACUGGAAAAGCAGAGAUAGUUUUGGAUAAGAUAGCAGAAAAUCAAAGCUGGUUCCAAGAUAAAGCUCAACAAUGUCAUCAAACUGAAGAAAUACCAGAAGAAGUAAAUGCAUUAUCAACUAAGAUGGAAACUUUGCUCCAUUGGAUUGACCAGAGGGCCAAGUUCAAAGAAGAUCAAAGUGCCAUGGAGACAGCAUACAAAUAUCAACCAACUUCGAGUCAACCCAAUAGCAAAGGUAUGAAUUUAGGUAAUACUUUCAAGCAACUUUCAUUAAAAGAGAUAAUUGCUCAACAAACCAAAAUUAAUGAUGAAGUUAAACAAAGGCUAGAUACAAAUGAAUCAUCUCUAAAAGAUAUACACAAUAAAAUGGAUUUUCUACUAACUGCCUUUGAUGAGCAAAACACUCUUAAUAAAAGGGUAGAGCUUAAAUUAAUAAAGAUAGCUGCUGCACUGCCUGUUGCUACUAACAUUGAGCAGGUAAAGAACAUAACUACUAGAGGAGGCAAAGCAACCAGAGAUCCCCCAUACCCAAAAGAGAAACAAAGAACGUCAGCACCAGUGCAACCAGCAGUGAUAGAAGAAGAAAGCCCAGUUGAAGCAGAAGAUCUGCUGCAACCACCAAGAAAUGGAGAAAUGAGGAAAGAUUUUUACGACACCAACUAUUUGCCAUUUCCUAGAAGAAAUAGAGGACUGCAGGCGGAUGAGCAGUUUGGUAAGUUUGUAGAGGUCAUUCAGAAAUUAUAUGUCAACGUACCUCUGCUCGAUGCCAUACAGGUACCUACAUAUGCAAAGUACAUCAGAGAUAUUCUUAACAAGAAGAGACCACUGCCCACCACUGAGGUUAUCAAGCUGACAGAAGAAUGUAGUGCGGCCAUCCUCAAUAAACCACCAAAGAAGAAGGAAGAUUCCAGAUGUGCCACUAUUGAUUGCUCGAUUGGAAAACAACACUUCAACAAUGCACUUUGUGAUCUCAGAGCAAGUGUCAGUGUGAUGCCAGCAUCAGUCUACAAAAAGCUUGAGCAUGCGACCCUAGAACCAACAUCAAUCUGCCUGCAACUAGCGGAUCAAUCGGUUCGACACCCGUUGGGCAUCGCCGAGAACAUUCCAGUCAAGAUCAGAGAUUUCCUGGUGCCAGUAGACUUCGUAGUACUGGACAUGAGUCCUGACUCAAAAGUGUCCAUCAUCCUUGAAAGGCCAUUUUUGAGCACUGUCAAUGCCCACAUUGAUGUCGGGAAGGGAGAAAUCAAGUUCAACAUAAACGGACAAGAAGAACACUUCACAUUCAAACCCAGACCAGAGAGAGACUCUACAGUGAAGGAAGUUCAUGAAGAAGCACUGGAGACACCAUCUCCGGAGGAAGGUAACUCAGAAGAUUAAAAGAUUUGGAGGUCCAGCUUGGGGGACCUAAAAAUCCCAAACCCUCACCGGGAGGUAAAUCGGUAUUUAUCCACAUUAUUAAUUUUCUCAUGUUUAAAUUCUUGCAUAAUUAAUUCUUGCAUUAGCAUAUAUAUUCAUAGAAUAAUUAUAAUAAUCAAAAAGCCCCCAUAUAAAUAAUAUUCAUGGAGUGUAACAACCCAUAUUUAUUAAUUAUUGUGGAGGCACAAAAAUAUUUUCCAUUAUCAUUAAGUUUCAAUUCUCAUAGAUUUUUUCUGCAUUAUAUUUAAUUAUAUUAAUCUUCUAGAAGCAUGACCCACACUCCUUGGGUCCCACAUGUCAUACACUUCACCUCACAUACAUCCCAUCACAUAAUUUCAUCCACCAAUAUGUUUCCACUUACCUGACAUCUUUCCACCGUCCAACCACCACCAACUCAAUAUUAUUCUGCGUGAGAUCAAAGCAAGGAAGCUAGUGGAGGAGGCACACCCAGGAUGGGCAUCACAAGUGGGCGCCCGCCCACCUACCAAGGGCGCCUGCCCUGCCCCUCUUCCUCCUAUAAAUAGCCACAUUCUACCUCCAUCUUCUUCACACAAACACUCCACAAAACCACACAAGUUUCCGUUUCCCGAGAAGGAGCUCUUGUAGUGAAGAGAAGAGAGUAGAGAGAAAGAGAAGAGUGGAAGAGAAGGUUGGGAGUACUUUUGAGAGAGUGAUUAUCACCUAGCAAGUAGUGAUCCCGUUGUCUAGCGGAAGUUGUUUAGGGAGGCUCUACCAAAAUAGAAAUUUGUUUUGAACAAAUAACCCCUGGACUACUGACAUUCCGGACAGCUGACCACUAACAUUUUCUCUCAUAUUUUCCACUAGUUGUGUUUUUGCCAACUUUUGUUUGCAGGAUGUUCAAGAAGGUGAAGAAUGCAGGGAAGGCUCUCAAGAACAUUGGUACAAGGAGUUCAGCCCGACACUCCUCACAGCCAUUAGAGAUGAGCGUUGACCCAACACCCACAUAAGCUCCGUCAUCUUCAUCAGGUCAGCAAGUCAAGGUCCUUCUCAAGAUAGAAGACCUUGGACUAAAGACCCGAAGAGAGAAAGAAGUCUAUCAACAAUUGAAAAACAAAGAUUUUAUUCACACCCCUACUCUUGAUCCAAUCUUACUACAAGAAACAGGUAUGGACACUGAAUUCGACUUAAUUUUCCAGAUGAUAGGUUGGAUAAAUUUUUGGAAUAUAACUGAGCUGGGUUCUCGUCUUCUCACCCUCGAAUUUCUUUGCACCUUACAAUAUUAUGAGGGGGAAAUUGUUUUUCGGAUGUUCAAACAGGAGAUUAUGUUGUCUUGGAGAAAGCUGAGCGACCAUCUUGGUUUCUCUUCAAGAUGCAUCCUGAACAUUGACUCCGAUUUACCUAAUUUUGAGAGACACCAGUUUUAGAGAGAAAUAUCUAGAGAUAAUUUUUAUAGUCAAGCCCGAACCAGCGAUAUGGAACACCCCACCCUUAGGAUGUUCCACAAAUGGCUUGGGUACAAUCUUUUCUAUCGUGAUGAUAUUAGGAAAGUAAGAGUAGGAGAUUUACAACUUUUAUAUGCUGCUAUUAGUAAAGUACCCACUUCACCUGUUACACUAUUUGGCUUAGUGUACCUAGUCUUCAGGGACCAGUAGGAUGUACUUCACUUAUCACUCGUCUAGCCUUUAAUCUUCACUUACUAGAAAACUCGUCAUUGGACUUCAUAUAUGAGUUAAGAAUUUAUCAUGGCUAUGACAUAUUUAGACAAGCUCGGAUGUUUAACAAAGAGGGGAAUGUAAUGUAUAUGCUCUAUGUUGAUAAAGGCAAGAUUCGGUUACCUAACCCGAACCUUGGCCUCUACGUUCUGCAAAACUUUUUGAUUGAGAUGGCAGCAACACUAGUGAACCAGAAAACUCCACAGCGAGUGGCAUCUGAAAGGAUGACCACUCACCGAGAACGCACCUGGUAUGGAGCUAACCCUGGACCAGAAGAAGCAGCGCACCUGCAUUAUUGCGAUUACAACCCCCGAGUCCUUCGAGACCCAUGGGUUCGUCAUGCGCAACCACAAGAGCCAACAGAGGAGACAUGGCCGGAGAGCCAAGAUCACCAGUGGACAAACCCGCCUUUUCAUACGGGCAGGUACUCCACUGAUCCAUAUGGAGCUUCAGGAUCUAGACCUCCGCCCCAAUUUGAUGCAGGACGAUACUCCGAUGCCUCCUACGCUUUCACGAAUGACUACUACCAAGAGGCCGGUGCUUUCUUCACUCGUACCGACAACACCCUCCUCGACAUCCAAAACACGCAAACAGAACAUGGAAGACUCCUGGAAGAACAACAAAAAUGGAACCAGGACCAUGCCGCUGCAGUACAAGAGCUGAGACAAGAUACAACAACAAUGAACGACAACAUCACAACCAUUAUGCGGUUCUGGAACAUCGGGUAAGACCGACGUCAACAUCCAGCUUGGGGGAGUUCCUCCCCAAUCUAUCAAGUAAGUUUUUAUUUGCUCUUCUUAUUUAUUCUAUUUUGUCUUAGUGUUUUAUUUAUCUUAUAAAGAAAAAAAAUAGAAAACCCAAUAAAUAUUUUCUUGCUUUAAUUUACUGCACUUUAUAAACAUGAAAGCAAAAUAAAAAGAGUGUGUAGAUAAGUGUGCUUUAUUUUCCUGCGAAGUUUAAUCUCUAGAAAAAAUAAAAAGACCAAAAAGAUGCAUGAUGGAAAUGAUGAACAGUUGCUCUGUUUGCUUACUUUCAAGUACCUAGCUUUUAUAUUAGAGUUCUUCCAGGAAUUACUAAAACAAAAAUUACUAUCUUUGGGAAGCAUAAAACUAAAGUCUAGGUAAGAGAAAGGCAUAAUACAAAGUUUGAGCUGCUGUUUAUCUUGUUUCUACUACACUGAGUUCUAGAGAUUUAUUUUGGAAACUUGCAAAUCACAUGAUGAGUUCCUAGCAUAAGAAAACUACCUACCACAGCCAUACUUGCUAUAACAUCUUUUACUAUAUUUACAUUGAGUUUGAUCGAGCUGUGUAGACCCUUAGGAGCUUUUCAUGUGGUUAAAUUAAGAUAUUCACUUGCACACAUCUACUACACUAUCCAUCACUAUUCAUUAAAAUUGCUAAAAAUAUUAUCACUCACUGUCCCGAAUAUUGUUAUUCUCUCUCUCUAAAAAGAUUCAAUGCAGAAGAGGCAUGGGUUAUGCAAAAAUAUGCGAGGAAAUAAAAAGGGGCAAGUGCCCGGAACCUCGAUAAAAGAAAAAGAGUAAGACGAGAGGUAAAAAUGGACAAGUGUCCGAAGUAGAAUUAGGGGUACAAAGAUGCCCACUUGAGCGGAAAAAAAUGGACAAGUGUCCGACAGUAGAAUUAGGGGUAUCUACUACCCACCUGAAAAAAAAAGAGAGAAGAAAAAGAUAGCCCAUGUUCUCCCAAAGCAAAGAUCAAAGAAGAGAAGAGAUAGCAAUAUGAGGAGUAAUGAAAAGUAAGUUUUAUUAUCACUUAUAUAUCUUCACCAUCACUAUCAUUGAUUCCAUCACACAUGCACAUCUUGAUUUAAUUAUAUGCUGAGUUCCUUUGGAUCCAUAGCUCGAUUAGACAACAUAUGUAUGAGCUGUUCUUCACCCCUAUGAGCUCCACUUAAAUAUUUCAUUAGCUAUAGGUAAGUGAUAUUAUGGUAAGGAUCCACAAAUACCACAUAUAGAGAGACUUGAGAGAAUCAUUGCUAGGAACUCUGAGUUUUAUUUUGAAAACUUAUGAAAAACUCUGGAACAAAGGUGAAGUAUAGACAGGAGGGAUAGUGCUUGACUUAACUAUUUUGUCUUUCGAUUACUUAAGAUUUAAGUGCAGACACUAAGCUCCAUAACACUUCACUCUAAUCUGGAAGAAUUUUUAUGUAAAAGCAUGUGUGCCUGUCAGGAAAGAAAACAUCGAAGCAACUUCUGAUUUGUCUAAGUUUAGCUAUUUGCUCAGGGACGAGCAAAGGGUAAGCUUGGGGGAGUUUGUUGACGGUCCUUAAGUACUAAAAUUAAUAAUCAAAUAAACAUGGAAAAGGAUCAAUAUGAAACAAACAUCUAGAACUAGGGUUUUAUCUGACAGAAUUCCACGAGCUUUGGUGUUUAUCUAUUUCUGCAGGGGGUUAUCAGAGAAUAUGGAGAGAAGGCCCACAUGUCAUGUUUACAACGAGAUAAUUAUGUGCCGCGCAAUUUUCCUCAAUCUAGAAGAGUCCAGAAGCCACAGGAACGAACGAGAGCACGAUCAGGCUCGGGGGCAGGGCGGCCGCCAACCCCCCUUGGGCGCCCGCCCAGGGUUGGAACCCAAUCGGGACUCUGCUUCGGGACUACGCUCCACCGACCUAAAGGAUCAAUCUAAACCAUACAAUCAAUGUCGGUUUGAUCUGACGGCCCAAAUUCACUUGAAGGGACUAUAAAACCAAGGCCUACCCCCCUAGAGAGGAGAAGAGAAGAAAUCAUUAUUCAGAGGUAGCCAUCAAAGUUAGGGUUUAGAGCUUCUCUCCCACAGAGAAUUAGAAUUAGCUACUCCCUAAUCCUUCAAGUUUAGAGGUUUGAUUAGAUAGCAAUUAGAGAAGUAGAGCACUACGCUGUGGAUUCGGAUCUUCGGUAAUAAAGAUUGGUAUUAUUCAUAUCUUUCUCUAAUUCUUUGUUCUAAUUGUAUUAUGUCUCUAAUUAUUAUGUUCUUAGUUUGCUCUAGUUCUAUAUUUGAUAUAGUUCUAAUUGAUAAUGAGUUUAUGUAUAAGUUUGCAAAGCGCUUAGCUCUUGACGCGAGGGAGUUAGGUGAUAGAUCACAUGUGAGCGUGGUGCUUAGAUGUUAUUUAUCAGCAAAUGUAUCCUAUUGGCCGGGUCGUGUGGUAGUUCGCGAUAGUGAUUUACUUUAUCAAUGUUCCUUAUACAUGAAUGAAGAGUCUUUUAUGCUAUAUAUGAUCUUGUAGAUAACUAGAGUAGAUUAUGACUUAGUAGUUAGUAGAUAACUUAGAAUCCAUUCUCUAGCUAAUCCGACAUCACCUACAUAUAUGAGGAGUAGUCUAUUUUCUAAUCGCUGUGUUAUCUACCCACGAACUUAUAAUUCAUUAUCAUUAUCUUUAUGGUUUACCCCCUGCUAAAGUAAGUUUCUCAUUAGUAAUCAUGUUCUUGCAAGUUUAUCUCUAGUCUAUGCCUUGAUAGAUUUUGCCCCUUACUUUAAUUUCAUCCCUUGAGCAAAAUUAUAAAUAACGAUACCUGGAAUACUUAUCCUGGUGAAAUGCUAUAAUGAGGUGUUUUAUCUGUGCGCUUGCGGAUAGAAUAGAUUAUUUUCUAGAGAGCCUUUACAUUUAUAAAUACCUUUUGUACACUCUGGCACCAUGCUGGGGAUGACAACCUAGUAUCUAAGUGGUGUUAGCUAGUGUCAACACACAGGAAAUUUGAGCUUAAACAAGUGAAAGACGUGACAUGUGGAAACUUUUGAAAAUUGCGAAAAAUAUGAAAAAAACUUUUGGAGGUGAAAACUCAAACUUUAGAGGUGAAUUUGGGGACUCUAAAAUUGUCAAACCCGCACACGGCAGGGAUAGACAGAUAUAAAAAAUUGGUUUGAUAGAUUUUGAUAUAUGGAACGUCAAAAUCGGAGUUCGUAUGCGAAAAUUGUGGUUGUUUUACGAACGGACACCGAAUUAGAGGACAAAACAGUCCGGAAGUGGGAAAAAUUUGCGCAGUGGCUAUAAAUUGAUGGAAACGGUGGGAAGAAACACACAAACUGGACUCUAACAAGACCUAACCAGUAACAAGAUCUCGACCAGGACACAAACUCAAUACUACGGACUCUGAAACUGAAAUAUGCAAAGGUUAUGGCGCGGAUGGGUUGUAGGAUAUGAAAACAAUUUGGCACUAGACUUAUGGGACGAACACAAGGACACUCGAAACUAAGGAUAGAUGUGAACCUAACGGUAUGUCUGAAGCUCUGAUUAACACUUGAGGAGAACAAGUGUGGCCCGAUCUUCCGAAAGGUUCUAGUAACUAUCAAUUUGGUGGAAACGAGACCCAAAUCAAUCCACCUUGCGAACAACGUGGUUCGUAUCCCUGCAAUUCUUUUUAUUUUUUUUGAUAUGUUUCUUUUACUUAGGAGCACUCAAGAAGUAACCACAGGAAAUUUGAGCUUAAACAAGUGAAAGACGUGGCCUGUGGAAUUUUUUGAAGAUUGCGAAAAAUAUAAAAAAAACUUUAGGAGGUGAAAACUCAAACUUUAGGGGCGAAUUUGGGGAUUCUAAAAUUAUCGAACCCGCCUCCAGCGGAGAUAGACAGAUCCAAAAAUUUGUUCUCAUCGAUUUUGAUAUAUGGAACAUCAAAAUCGGAGUUCGUAUGCGAAAGUUAUGGCUGUUUUACGAACGGACUCCGAAUUAGAGGAAAAAACGGUCCGGAAGUGGAAAAAAUUUGCGGUGGUGGCUAGAAAUUGAUGGAAACGGUCGGAAAAACACACAAACUGUACUCUAAUAAGACCAAAUCAGUAACAAGACCUCGACCAGAACAUAAACUCAACACUACGGAGAACAAGUGUGAACCUAACGAUACGUCUGAAGCUCUGAUUAACACUUGAGGAGAACAAGGCCCGAUCUUCCGAAAAGUUCUGGUAACUAUCAAUUUGGUGGAAACGAGACACAAAUCAAACCAGUUUGCAAACAACACGAUUCGAAACCCUGCAAUUCUUUUUUUUUGAUAUUUUUCUAUUACUUAGGAGCACUCAAGAAGUAACCACAGGAAAUUUGAGCUUAAACAAGUGAAGGACGUGGCCUGUGGAAUUUUUUGAAGAUUGCGAAAAAUAUGAAAAUAAAGUUUAGGAGGUGAAAACUCAAAUUUUCAGAGGUGGGUUGGGAAUUCUAAAUUUGUCGCACCCGCCUAUGGCGGGGAUAGACAGAUCCAAAAAUUUUUCUGAUUGAUUUUGAUAUAUGGAACGUCAAAAUUGGAGUUCGUAGGCGAAAGUUAUCGCUGUUUUACGAACGGACUCUGAAUGAGAGGACAAAACGGUCCGGAAGUGGGAAAAAUUUGCGGUGGUGGCUAGAAAUUGAUGGAAGCGGUGGGAAAAAACACACAAACUUGACUCAAACAAGACCUAAUCAGUAACAAGACCUCGACCAGGACACAAACUCAACACUACGGACUCUGAAAAUGAAAUAUGCAAAGGCUAUGGCGCGGAUGGGUUGUAGGACAUGAAAAGAAUAUGGCACCAGACUUAUGGGACGAACACAAGGACACUCGAAACUAAGGGUAGAUGUGAACCUAACGGUAUGCCUGAAGCUUUGAUUACCACUUGAGGAGAAUAAGUGUGUCCCGAUCUUCCGAAAGGUUCUGGUAACUAUCGAUUUGGUGGAAACGAGACACAAAUCAAUCCAGCUUGCGAACAGCACGGUUCGAAACCCUACAAUUCUUUUUAUUUUUUUUGAUAUUUUUCUUUUACUUAGGAGCACUCAAGAAGUAACCAUAGGAAAUUUGAGCUUAAACAAUUGAAAGACGUGGCCUGUGGAAUUUUUUGAAGAUUGCGAAAAAUAUAAAAAAAAACUUUAAGAGGUGAAAACUCAAACUUUAGGAGUGAAUUUGGGGAUUCUAAAAUUAUCGAACCCGCCUCUAGCGGAGAUAGACAGAUCCAAAAAUUUGUUCUGAUCGAUUUUGAUAUAUGGAACGUCAAAAUCGGAGUUCAUAUGCGAAAGAUAUGGCUGUUUUACGAACGGACUCCGAAUUAGAGGACAAAACGGUCCGGAAGUGGGAAAAAUUUGCGGUGGUGGCUAGAAAUUGAUGGAAACGGUGGGAAAAAACACACAAACUGGACUCUAACAAGACCAAAUUGGUAACAAGACCUCGACCACGACACAAACUCAACACUACGGACUCUGAAACUGAAAUAUGCAAAGGUUAUGGCGCGGAUGGGUUGUAGGACAUGAAAACAAUUUGGCACUAGACUUAUGGGACGAACACAAGGACACUCGAAACUAAGGGUACAUGUGAACCUAACUAUACGUCUGAAGCUUUGAUUACCACUUGAGGAGAACAAGGCCCGAUCUUCCGAAAGGUUCUGGUAACUAUCAAUUUGGUGGAAACGAGACACAAAUCAUUCCAGUUUGCGAACAACACGAUUCGAAACCCUGCAAUUCUUUUUAUAUUUUUUGAUAUUUUUCUUUUACUUAGGAGCACUCAAGAAGUAACCACAGGAAAUUUGAGCUUAAACAAGUGAAGGACGUGACCUGUGGAAUUUUUUGAAGAUUGCGAAAAAUAUGAAAAUAAAGUUUAGGAGGUGAAAACUCAAAAUUUCAGAGGCGAGUUUGGGAAUUGUAAAUUUGUUCCACCGCCUUUGGCGGGGAUAGACAGAUCCAAAAAUUUUUCUGAUUGAUUUUGAUAUAUGGAACGUCAAAAUUGGAGUUCGUAGGCGAAAGUUAUCGCUGUUUUACGAACGGACUCUGAAUGAGAGGACAAAACGGUCCGGAAGUGGGAAAAAUUUGCGGUGGUGGCUAGAAAUUGAUGGAAGCGGUGGGAAAAAACACACAAACUUGACUCAAACAAGACCUAAUCAGUAACAAGACCUCGACCAGGACACAAACUCAACACUACGGACUCUGAAAAUGAAAUAUGCAAAGGCUAUGGCGCGGAUGGGUUGUAGGACAUGAAAAGAAUAUGGCACCAGACUUAUGGGACGAACACAAGGACACUCGAAACUAAGGGUAGAUGUGAACCUAACGGUAUGUCUGAAGCUUUGAUUACCACUUGAGGAGAAUAAGUGUGUCCCGAUCUUCCGAAAGGUUCUGGUAACUAUCGAUUUGGUGGAAACGAGACACAAAUCAAUCCAGCUUGCGAACAGCACGGUUCGAAACCCUGCAAUUCUUUUUAUUUUGUUUGAUAUUUUUCUUUUACUUAGGAGCACUCAAGAAGUAACCAUAGGAAAUUUGAGCUUAAACAAUUGAAAGACGUGGCCUGUGGAAUUUUUUGAAGAUUGCGAAAAAUAUAAAAAAAAACUUUAAGAGGUGAAAACUCAAACUUUAGGAGUGAAUUUGGGGAUUCUAAAAUUAUGGAACCCGCCUUUAGCGGAGAUAGACAUAUCCAAAAAUUUGUUCUGAUCGAUUUUGAUAUAUGGAACGUCAAAAUCGGAGUUCAUAUGCGAAAGUUAUGGCUGUUUUACGAACGGACUCCGAAUUAGAGGACAAAACGGUCCGGAAUUCGGAAAAAAUUUGCGGUGGUGGCUAGAAAUUGAUCGAAACGGUGGGAAAAAACACACAAACUGGACUCUAACAAGACCAAAUUGGUAACAAGACCUCGACCACGACACAAACUCAACACUACGGACUCUGAAACUGAAAUAUGCAAAGGUUAUGGCGCGGAUGGGUUGUAGGACAUGAAAACAAUUUGGCACUAGACUUAUGGGACGAACACAAGGACACUCAAAACUAAGGGUACAUGUGAACCUAACUAUACGUCUGAAGCUUUGAUUACCACUUGAGGAGAACAAGGCCCGAUCUUCCGAAAGGUUCUGGUAACUAUCAAUUUGGUGGAAACGAGACACAAAUCAUUCCAGUUUGCGAACAACACGAUUCGAAACCCUGCAAUUCUUUUUAUAUUUUUUGAUAUUUUUCUUUUACUUAGGAGCACUCAAGAAGUAACCACAGGAAAUUUGAGCUUAAACAAGUGAAGGACGUGACCUGUGGAAUUUUUUGAAGAUUGCGAAAAAUAUGAAAAUAAAGUUUAGGAGGUGAAAACUCAAAAUUUCAGAGGCGAGUUUGGGAAUUGUAAAUUUGUUCCACCGCCUAUGGCGGGGAUAGACAGAUCCAAAAAUUUUUCUGAUUGAUUUUGAUAUAUGGAACGUCAAAAUUGGAGUUCGUAGGCGAAAGUUAUCGCUGUUUUACGAACGGACUCUGAAUGAGAGGACAAAACGGUCCGGAAGUGGGAAAAAUUUGCGGUGGUGGCUAGAAAUUGAUGGAAGCGGUGGGAAAAAACACACAAACUUGACUCAAACAAGACCUAAUCAGUAACAAGAUCUCGACCAGGACACAAACUCAACACUACGGACUCUGAAAAUGAAAUAUGCAAAGGCUAUGGCGCGGAUGGGUUGUAGGACAUGAAAAGAAUAUGGCACCAGACUUAUGGGACGAACACAAGGACACUCGAAACUAAGGGUAGAUGUGAACCUAACGGUAUGCCUGAAGCUUUGAUUACCACUUGAGGAGAAUAAGUGUGUCCCGAUCUUCCGAAAGGUUCUGGUAACUAUCGAUUUGGUGGAAACGAGACACAAAUCAAUCCAGCUUGCGAACAGCACGGUUCGAAACCCUGCAAUUCUUUUUAUUUUGUUUGAUAUUUUUCUUUUACUUAGGAGCACUCAAGAAGUAACCAUAGGAAAUUUGAGCUUAAACAAUUGAAAGACGUGGCCUGUGGAAUUUUUUGAAGAUUGCGAAAAAUAUAAAAAAAACUUUAAGAGGUGAAAACUCAAACUUUAGGAGUGAAUUUGGGGAUUCUAAAAUUAUCGAACCCGCCUUUAGCGGAGAUAGACAUAUCCAAAAAUUUGUUCUGAUCGAUUUUGAUAUAUGGAACGUCAAAAUCGGAGUUCAUAUGCGAAAGUUAUGGCUGUUUUACGAACGGACUCCGAAUUAGAGGACAAAACGGUCCGGAAGUCGGAAAAAUUUGCGGUGCUGGCUAGAAAUUGAUGGAAACGGUGGGAAAAAACACACAAACUGGACUCUAACAAGACCAAAUUGGUAACAAGACCUCGACCACGACACAAACUCAACACUACGGACUCUGAAACAGAAAUAUGCAAAGGUUAUGGCGCGGAUGGGUUGUAGGACAUGAAAACAAUUUGGCACUAGACUUAUGGGACGAACACAAGGACACUCGAAACUAAGGGUACAUGUGAACCUAACUAUACGUCUGAAGCUUUGAUUACCACUUGAGGAGAACAAGGCCCGAUCUUCCGAAAGGUUCUGGUAACUAUCAAUUUGGUGGAAACGAGACACAAAUCAUUCCAGUUUGCGAACAACAUGAUUCGAAACCCUGCAAUUCUUUUUAUAUUUUUUGAUAUUUUUCUUUUACUUAGGAGCACUCAAGAAGUAACCACAGGAAAUUUGAGCUUAAACAAGUGAAGGACGUGACCUGUGGAAUUUUUUGAAGAUUGCGAAAAAUAUGAAAAUAAAGUUUAGGAGGUGAAAACUUAAAAUUUCAGAGGCGAGUUUGGGAAUUGUAAAUUUGUUGCACCGCCUAUGGCGGGGAUAGACAGAUCUAAAAAAAUUUUCUGAUCGAUUUUGAAAUAUGGAACGUCAAAAUCAGAGUUCGUAGGCGAAAGUUAUGGCUGUUUUACGAACGGACUCCGAAUUAGAGGAUAAAACGGUCCGGAAGUGGAAAAAAUUUGCGGUGGUGGCUAGAAAUUAAUGGAAACGGUGGGAAAAACACACAAACUAGACUCUAACAAGACCUAACCAGUAACAAGAUCUCGACCAGGACACAAACUCAACACUACGGACUCUGAAAAUGAAAUAUGCAAAGGCUAUGGCGCGGAUGGGUUGUAGGACAUGAAAAGAAUAUGGCACCAGACUUAUGGGACGAACACAAGGACACUCGAAACUAAAGGUAGAUGUGAACCUAACGGUAUGUCUGAAGCUUUGAUUACCACUUGAGGAGAAUAAGUGUGUCCCGAUCUUCCGAAAGGUUCUGGUAACUAUCGAUUUGGUGGAAACGAGACACAAAUCAAUCCAGCUUGCGAACAGCACGGUUUGAAACCCUGCAAUUCUUUUUAUUUUUUUUUGAUAUUUUUUUUACUUAGGAGCACUCAAGAAGUAACCAUAGGAAAUUUGAGCUUAAACAAUUGAAAGACGUGGCCUGUGGAAUUUUUUGAAGAUUGCGAAAAAUAUAAAAAAAACUUUAAGAGGUGAAAACUCAAACUUUAGGAGUGAAUUUGGGAUUCUAAAAUUAUCGAACCCACCUCUAGCGGAGAUAGACAGAUCCAUAAAUUUGUUCUGAUCGAUUUGGAUAUAUGGAACGUCAAAAUCGGAGUUCAUAUGCGAAAGAUAUGGCUGUUUUACGAACGGACUCCGAAUUAGAGGACAAAACGGUCCGGAAGUGGGAAAAAUUUGCGGUGGUGGCUAGAAAUUGAUGGAAACGGUGGAAAAAAACACACAAACUGGACUCUAACAAGACCAAAUCGGUAACAAGACCUCGACCACGACACAAACUCAACACUACGGACUCUGAAACUGAAAUAUGCAAAGGUUAUGGCGCGGAUGGGUUGUAGGACAUGAAAACAAUUUGGCACUAGACUUAUGGGACGAACACAAGGACACUCGAAACUAAGGGUACAUGUGAACCUAACUAUACGUCUGAAGCUUUGAUUACCACUUGAGGAGAACAAGGCCCGAUCUUCCGAAAGGUUCUGGUAACUAUCAAUUUGGUGGAAACGAGACACAAAUCAUUCCAGUUUGCGAACAACACGAUUCGAAAUCCUGCAAUUCUUUUUAUAUUUUUUGAUAUUUUUCUUUUACUUAGGAGCACUCAAGAAGUAACCACAGGAAAUUUGAGCUUAAACAAGUGAAGGACGUGACCUGUGGAAUUUUUUGAAGAUUGCGAAAAAUAUGAAAAUAAAGUUUAGGAGGUGAAAACUCAAAAUUUCAGAGGCGAGUUUGGGAAUUGUAAAUUUGUUGCACCGCCUAUGGCGGGGAUAGACAGAUCCAAAAAAUUUUUCUGAUCGAUUUUGAAAUAUGGAACGUCAAAAUCAGAGUUCGUAGGCGAAAGUUAUGGCUGUUUUACGAACGGACUCCGAAUUAGAGGAUAAAACGGUCCGGAAGUGGGAAAAAUUUGCGGUGGUGGCUAGAAAUUAAUGGAAAUGGUGGGAAAAACACACAAACUAGACUCUAACAAGACCUAACCAGUAACAAGAUCUCGACCAGGACACAAACUCAACACUACGGACUCUGAAAAUGAAAUAUGCAAAGGCUAUGGCGCGGAUGGGUUGUAGGACAUGAAAAGAAUAUGGCACCAGACUUAUGGGACGAACACAAGGACACUCAAAACUAAAGGUAGAUGUGAACCUAACGGUAUGUCUGAAGCUUUGAUUACCACUUGAGGAGAAUAAGUGUGUCCCGAUCUUCCGAAAGGUUCUGGUAACUAUCGAUUUGGUGGAAACGAGACACAAAUCAAUCCAGCUUGCGAACAGCACGGUUCGAAACCCUGCAAUUCUUUUUAUUUUUUUUUUGAUAUUUUUCUUUUACUUAGAAGCACUCAAGAAGUAACCAUAGGAAAUUUGAGCUUAAACAAUUGAAAGACGUGGCCUGUGGAAUUUUUUGAAGAUUGCGAAAAAUAUAAAAAAAACUUUAAGAGGUGAAAACUCAAACUUUAGGAGUGAAUUUGGGAUUCUAAAAUUAUCGAACCCACCUCUAGCGGAGAUAGACAGAUCCAUAAAUUUGUUCUGAUCGAUUUGGAUAUAUGGAAUGUCAAAAUCGGAGUUCAUAUGCGAAAGUUAUGGCUGUUUUACGAACGGACUCCGAAUUAGAGGACAAAACGGUCCGGAAGUGGGAAAAAUUUGCGGUGGUGGCUAGAAAUUGAUGGAAACGGUGGAAAAAAACACACAAACUGGACUCUAACAAGACCAAAUCGGUAACAAGACCUCGACCACGACACAAACUCAACACUACGGACUGUGAAACUGAAAUAUGCAAAGGUUAUGGCGCGGAUGGGUUGUAGGACAUGAAAACAAUUUGGCACUAGACUUAUGGGACGAACACAAGGACACUCGAAACUAAGGGUACAUGUGAACCUAACUAUACGUCUGAAGCUUUGAUUACCACUUGAGGAGAACAAGGCCCGAUCUUCCGAAAGGUUCUGGUAACUAUCAAUUUGGUGGAAACGAGACACAAAUCAUUCCAGUUUGCGAACAACAUGAUUCGAAACCCUGCAAUUCUUUUUAUAUUUUUUGAUAUUUUUCUUUUACUUAGGAGCACUCAAGAAGUAACCACAGGAAAUUUGAGCUUAAACAAGUGAAGGACGUGACCUGUGGAAUUUUUUGAAGAUUGCGAAAAAUAUGAAAAUAAAGUUUAGGAGGUGAAAACUCAAAAUUUCAGAGGCGAGUUUGGGAAUUGUAAAUUUGUUGCACCGCCUAUGGCGGGGAUAGACAGAUCCAAAAAAUUUUUCUGAUCGAUUUUGAAAUAUGGAACGUCAAAAUCAGAGUUCGUAGGCGAAAGUUAUGGCUGUUUUACGAACGGACUCCGAAUUAGAGGAUAAAACGGUCCGGAAGUGGGAAAAAUUUGCGGUGGUGGCUAGAAAUUAAUGGAAAUGGUGGGAAAAACACACAAACUAGACUCUAACAAGACCUAACCAGUAACAAGAUCUCGACCAGGACACAAACUCAACACUACGGACUCUGAAAAUGAAAUAUGCAAAGGCUAUGGCGCGGAUGGGUUGUAGGACAUGAAAAGAAUAUGGCACCAGACUUAUGGGACGAACACAAGGACACUCGAAACUAAAGGUAGAUGUGAACCUAACGGUAUGUCUGAAGCUUUGAUUAUCACUUGAGGAGAAUAAGUGUGUCCCGAUCUUCCGAAAGGUUCUGGUAACUAUCGAUUUGGUGGAAACGAGACACAAAUCAAUCCAGCUUGCGAACAGCACGGUUUGAAACCCUGCAAUUCUUUUUAUUUUUUUUUGAUAUUUUUUUUACUUAGGAGCACUCAAGAAGUAACCAUAGGAAAUUUGAGCUUAAACAAUUGAAAGACGUGGCCUGUGGAAUUUUUUGAAGAUUGCGAAAAAUAUAAAAAAAACUUUAAGAGGUGAAAACUCAAACUUUAGGAGUGAAUUUGGGAUUCUAAAAUUAUCGAACCCACCUCUAGCGGAGAUAGACAGAUCCAUAAAUUUGUUCUGAUCGAUUUGGAUAUAUGGAAUGUCAAAAUCGGAGUUCAUAUGCGAAAGUUAUGGCUGUUUUACGAACGGACUCCGAAUUAGAGGACAAAACGGUCCGGAAGUGGGAAAAAUUUGCGGUGGUGGCUAGAAAUUGAUGGAAACGGUGGGAAAAAACACACAAACUGGACUCUAACAAGACCAAAUCGGUAACAAGACCUCGACCACGACACAAACUCAACACUACGGACUCUGAAACUGAAAUAUGCAAAGGUUAUGGCGCGGAUGGGUUGUAGGACAUGAAAACAAUUUGGCACUAGACUUAUGGGACGAACACAAGGACACUCGAAACUAAGGGUACAUGUGAACCUAACUAUACGUCUGAAGCUUUGAUUACCACUUGAGGAGAACAAGGCCCGAUCUUCCGAAAGGUUCUGGUAACUAUCAAUUUGGUGGAAACGAGACACAAAUCAUUCCAGUUUGCGAACAACACGAUUCGAAACCCUGCAAUUCUUUUUAUAUUUUUUGAUAUUUUUCUUUUACUUAGGAGCACUCAAGAAGUAACCACAGGAAAUUUGAGCUUAAACAAGUGAAGGACGUGACCUGUGGAAUUUUUUGAAGAUUGCGAAAAAUAUGAAAAUAAAGUUUAGAGGUGAAAACUUAAAAUUUCAGAGGCGAGUUUGGGAAUUGUAAAUUUGUUGCACCGCCUAUGGCGGGGAUAGACAGAUCUAAAAAAUUUUUCUGAUCGAUUUUGAAAUAUGGAACGUCAAAAUCAGAGUUCGUAGGCGAAAGUUAUGGCUGUUUUACGAACGGACUCCGAAUUAGAGGAUAAAACGGUCCGGAAGUGGAAAAAAUUUGCGGUGGUGGCUAGAAAUUAAUGGAAACGGUGGGAAAAACACACAAACUAGACUCUAACAAGACCUAACCAGUAACAAGAUCUCGACCAGGACACAAACUCAACACUACGGACUCUGAAAAUGAAAUAUGCAAAGGCUAUGGCGCGGAUGGGUUGUAGGACAUGAAAAGAAUAUGGCACCAGACUUAUGGGACGAACACAAGGACACUCGAAACUAAAGGUAGAUGUGAACCUAACGGUAUGUCUGAAGCUUUGAUUACCACUUGAGGAGAAUAAGUGUGUCCCGAUCUUUCGAAAGGUUCUAGUAACUAUCGAUUUGGUGGAAACGAGACACAAAUCAAUCCAGCUUGCGAACAGCACGGUUCGAAACCCUGCAAUUCUUUUUAUUUUUUUUUUGAUAUUUUUCUUUUACUUAGGAGCACUCAAGAAGUAACCAUAGGAAAUUUGAGCUUAAACAAUUGAAAGACGUGGCCUGUGGAAUUUUUUGAAGAUUGCGAAAAAUAUAAAAAAAACUUUAAGAGGUGAAAACUCAAACUUUAGGAUUGAAUUUGGGGAUUCUAAAAUUAUCGAACCCACCUCUAGCGGAGAUAGACAGAUCCAAAAAUUUGUUCUGAUCGAUUUGGAUAUAUGGAAUGUCAAAAUCGGAGUUUAUAUGCGAAAGUUAUGGCUGUUUUACGAACGGACUCCGAAUUAGAGGACAAAACGGUCCGGAAGUGGGAAAAAUUUGCGGUGGUGGCUAGAAAUUGAUGGAAACGGUGGGAAAAAACACACAAACUGGACUCUAACAAGACCAAAUCGGUAACAAGACCUCGACCACGACACAAACUCAACACUACGGACUCUGAAACUGAAAUAUGCAAAGGUUAUGGCGCGGAUGGGUUGUAGGACAUGAAAACAAUUUGGCACUAAACUUAUGGGACGAACACAAGGACACUCGAAACUAAGGGUAUAUGUGAACCUAACUAUACGUCUGAAGAUUUGAUUACCACUUGAGGAGAACAAGGCCCGAUCUUCCGAAAGGUUCUGGUAACUAUCAAUUUGGUGGAAACGAAACACAAAUCAUUCCAGUUUGCGAACAACACGAUUCGAAACCCUGCAAUUCUUUUUAUAUUUUUUGAUAUUUUUCUUUUACUUAGGAGCACUCAAGAAGUAACCACAGGAAAUUUGAGCUUAAACAAGUGAAGGACGUGACCUGUGGAAUUUUUUGAAGAUUGCGAAAAAUAUGAAAAUAAAGUUUAGGAGGUGAAAACUCAAAUUUUCAGAGGCGAGUUUGGGAAUUGUAAAUUUGUUGCACCGCCUAUGGCGGGGAUAGACAGAUCUAAAAAAUUUUUCUGAUCGAUUUUGAAAUAUGGAACGUCAAAAUCAGAGUUCGUAGGCGAAAGUUAUGGCUGUUUUACGAACGGACUCCGAAUUAGAGGACAAAACGGUCCGGAAGUGGGAAAAAUUUGCGGUGGUGGCUAGAAAUUAAUGGAAAUGGUGGGAAAAACACACAAACUAGACUCUAACAAGACCUAACCAGUAAAAAGAUAUCGACCAGGACACAAACUCAACACUACGGAAUCUGAAAAUGAAAUAUGCAAAGGCUAUGGCGCGGAUGGGUUGUAGGACAUGAAAAGAAUAUGGCACCAGACUUAUGGGACGAACACAAGGACACUCGAAACUAAAGGUAGAUGUGAACCUAACGGUAUGUCUGAAGCUUUGAUUACCACUUGAGGAGAAUAAGUGUGUCCCGAUCUUCCUAAAGGUUCUGGUAACUAUCGAUUUGGUGGAAACGAGACACAAAUCAAUCCAACUUGCGAACAGCACGGUUCGAAACCCUGCAAUUCUUUUUAUUUUUUUUGAUAUUUUUCUUUUACUUAGGAGCACUCAAGAAGUAACCAUAGGAAAUUUGAGCUUAAACAAUUGAAAGACGUGGCCUGUGGAAUUUUUUGAAGAUUGCGAAAAAUAUAAAAAAAACUUUAAGAGGUGAAAACUCAAACUUUAGGAGUGAAUUUGGGGAUUCUAAAAUUAUCGAACCCACCUCUAGCGGAGAUAGACAGAUCCAAAAAUUUGUUCUGAUCGAUUUGGAUAUAUGGAAUGUCAAAAUCGGAGUUCAUAUGCGAAAGUUAUGGCUGUUUUACGAACAGACUCCGAAUUAGAGGACAAAACGGUCCGGAAGUGGGAAAAAUUUGCGGUGGUGGCUAGAAAUUGAUGGAAACGGUGGGAAAAAACACACAAACUGGACUCUAACAAGACCAAAUCGGUAACAAGACCUCGACCACGACACAAACUCAACACUACGGACUCUGAAACUGAAAUAUGCAAAGGUUAUGGCGCGGAUGGGUUGUAGGACAUGAAAACAAUUUGGCACUAGACUUAUGGGAUGAACACAAGGACACUCGAAACUAAGGGUACAUGUGAACCUAACUAUACGUCUGAAGCUUUGAUUACCACUUGAGGAGAACAAGGCCCGAUCUUCCGAAAGGUUACAAUUUGGUGGAAACGAAACACAAAUCAUUCCAGUUUGCGAACAACACGAUUCGAAACCCUGCAAUUCUUUUUAUAUUUUUUGAUAUUUUUCUUUUCCUUAGGAGCACUCAUGAAGUAACCACAGGAAAUUUGAGCUUAAACAAGUGAAGGACGUGAUCUGUGGAAUUUUUUAAAGAUUGCGAAAAAUAUGAAAAUAAAGUUUAGGAGGUGAAAACUCAAAAUUUUAGAGGCGAAUUUGGGGAUUCUAAAUUUGUCGAACCCGCCCAAGGCGGGGAUAGACAGACCCAAAAUUUUUUUCUAAUUGAUUUUGAUAUAUGCAAUGAUAAAAUCGGAGUUCGUAGGCGAAAGUUAUGGCUGUUUUACGAACGGACUCCGAAUUAGAGGACAAAACGGUCCGGAAGUGGGAAAAAUUUGCGGUGGUGGCUAGAAAUUGAUGGAAACGGUGGGAAAAAACACACAAACUGGACUCGAACAAGACCUAACCAGUAACAAGACCUCAACCAGGACACAAACUCAAAACUACGGAUUCUGAAACUGAAAUAUGCAAAGGCUAUGGCGCGGAUGGGUUGUAGGACAUGAAAACAAUAUUGCACUAGACUUAUGAGACGAACACAAGGACACUCGAAACUAAGGGUAGAUAUGAACCUAACGGUAUGUGUGAUGCUUUGAUUACCACUUGAGGAGAACAAGUCUGGCCCGAUCUUCCGAAAGGUUCUGGUAACUAUCGAUUUGGUGGAAACGACACACAAAUCAAUCCAGCUUGCGAACAACACGGUUCGAAACCCUGCAAUUCUUUUUUUUUUGAUAUUUUCUUUUACUUAGGAGCACUCAAGAAGUAACCAUAGGAAAUUUGAGCUUAAACAAGUGAAAGACGUGGCCUGUGGAAUUUUUUGAAGAUUGCGAAAAAUAUAAAAAAAACUUUAGGAGGUGAAAACUCAAAUUUUAGGGGCGAAUUUGGAGAUUAUAAAAUUAUCGAACCCGCCUCUAGCGGAGAUAGACAGAUCCAAAAAUUUGUUUUGAUCAAUUUUGAUAUAUGGAACGUCAAAAUUGGAGUUCGUAUGCGAAAGUUAUGACUGUUUUACGAACGGACUCCGAAUUAGAGGACAAAACGGUCCGGAAGUGAGAAAAAUUUGCGGUGGUGGCUAGAAAUUGAUGGAAACGGUGGGAAAAAAACAUAAACUGGACUCUAACAAGACCAAAUCAGUAACAAGACCUCGACCAGGACACAAACUCAACACUACGGACUCUGAAACUGAAAUAUGCAAAGGUUAUGACGCGGAUGGGUUGUAGGACAUGAAAACAAUUUGGCACUAGACUUAUGGGACGAACACAAGGACACUCGAAACUAAGGGUACAUGUGAACCUAACUGUACGUCUGAAGCUUUGGUUACCACUUGAGAACAAGGCCCGAUCUUCCGAAAGGUUCUGGUAACUAUCAAUUUGGUGGAAACGAGACACAAAUCAUUCCAAUUUGCGAACAACACGAUUCGAAACCCUGCAAUUCUUUUUAUAUUUUUUGAUAUUUUUCUUUUACUUAGGAGCACUCAAGAAGUAACCACAGGAAAUUUGAGCUUAAACAAGUGAAGUACGUGGGCUGUGGAAUUUUUUGAGGAUUGCGAAAAAUAUGAAAAUAAUGUUUAGGAGGUGAAAACUCAAAAAUUCAGAGGUGAGUUUGGGAAUUGUAAAUUUGUUGCACCGCCUAUGGCGGGGAUAGACAGAUCCAAAAAUUUUAUCUGAUUGAUUUUGAUAUAUGGAACGUCAAAAUCGGAGUUCAUAUGCGAAAGUUAUGGCUGUUUUACGAACGGACUCCGAAUUAGAGGACAAAACGGUCUGGAAGUGGGAAAAAUUUGCGGUGGUGGCUAGAAAUUGAUGGAAACGGUGGGAAAAAACACACAAACUGGACUCUAACAAGACCAAAUCGGUAUCAAGACCUCGACCACGACACAAACUCAACACUACGGACUCUGAAACUGAAAUAUGCAAAGGUUAUGACGCGGAUGGGUUGUAGGACAUGAAAACAAUUUGGCACUAGACUUAUGGGACGAACACAAGGACACUCGAAACUAAGGGUACAUGUGAACCUAACUAUACGUCUGAAGCUUUGAUUACCACUUGAGGAGAACAAGGCCCGAUCUUCCGAAAGGUUCUGGUAACUAUCAAUUUGGUGGAAACGAAACACAAAACAUUCCAGUUUGCGAACAACACGAUUCGAAACCCUGCAAUUCUUUUUAUAUUUUUUGAUAUUUUUCUUUUCCUUAGGAGCACUCAAGAAGUAACCACAGGAAAUUUGAGCUUAAACAAGUGAAGUACGUGACCUGUGGAAUUUUUUGAAGAUUGCGAAAAAUAUAAAAAUAAAGUUUAGGAGGUGAAAACUCAAAAUUUCAGAGGCGAAUUUGGGGAUUCUAAAUUUAUCGAACCCGCCCAGGGCGGGGAUAGACAGACCCAAAAUUUUUUUCUAAUUGAUUUUGAUAUAUGGAAUGAUAAAAUCGGAGUUCGUAGGCGAAAGUUAUGGCUGUUUUACAAACGGACUCCGAAUUAGAGGACAAAACGGUCCGGAAGUGGGAAAAAUUUGCGGUGGUGGCUAGAAAUUGAUGGAAACGGUGGGAAAAAACACACAAACUGGACUCGAACAAGACCUAACCAGUAACAAGACCUCAACCAGGACACAAACUCAAAACUACGGAUUCUGAAACUGAAAUAUGCAAAGGCUAUGGCGCGGAUGGGUUGUAGGACAUGAAAACAAUAUGACACUAGACUUAUGAGACGAACACAAGGACACUCGAAACUAAGGGUAGAUGUGAACCUAACGGUAUGUGUGAUGCUUUGAUUACCACUUGAGGAGAACAAGUCUGGCCCGAUCUUCCGAAAGGUUCUGGUAACUAUCGAUUUGGUGGAAACGACACACAAAUCAAUCCAGCUUGCGAACAACACGGUUCGAAACCCUGCAAUUCUUUUUAUUUUUUUUUUGAUAUUUUUCUUUUACUUAGGAGCACUCAAGAAGUAACCACAAGAAAUUUGAGCUUAAACAAGUGAAAGACGUGGCCUGUGGAAUUUUUUGAAGAUUGUGAAAAAUAUAAAAAAACUUUAGGAGGUGAAAACUCGAAGUUCAGGGGCGAAGUUUGGGAUUCUAAAAUUAUCGAACCCGCCUCUAGCAGAGAUAAACAGAUCCAAAAAUUUGUUCUGAUCGAUUUUGAUAUAUGGAACGUCCAAAUCGGAGUUCGUAUGCGAAAGUUAUGCCUGUUUUACGAACGGACUCCGAAUUAGAGGACAAAACGGUCCGGAAGUGGGAAUAAUUUGCGAUGGUGGCUAGAAAUUGACGGAAACGGUGGGAAAAACACACAAACUGGACUCUAACAAGACCAAAUUGGUAACAAGACCUCGACCACGAUACAAACUCAACACUACGAACUCUGAAACUGAAAUAUGCAAAGGCUAUGGCGCGGAUGGGUUGUAGGACAUGAAAACAAUUUGGCACUAGACUUAUGGGACGAACAUAAGGACACUCGAAACUAAGGGUACAUGUGAACCUAACUGUACGUCUGAAGCUUUGAUUACCACUUGAGGAGAACAAGGCCAGAUCUUCCGAAAGGUUCUGGUAACUAUCGAUUUGGUGGAAACGAGACACAAAUCAUUCCAGUUUGCGGACAACACGAUUUGAAACCCUGCAAUUCUUUUUAUAUUUUUUGAUAUUUUUCUUUUACUUAGGAGCACUCAAGAAGUAACCCCAGGAAAUUUGAGCUUAAACAAGUGAAGGACGUGGCCUAUGGAAUUUUUUGAAGAUUGCGAAAAAUAUGAAAAUAAUGUUUAGGAGGUGAAAACUCAAAAUUUCAGAGGCGAGUUUGGGAAUUGUAAAUUUGUUGCACUGCCUAUGGUGGGGAUAGACAGAUCCAAAAAUUUUUUCUGAUCGAUUUUGAUAUAUGGAACGUUAAAAUCGGAGUUCGUAGGCGAAAGUUAUGGCUGUUUUACGAACAGACUCCGAAUUAGAGGAGAAAACGGUCCGGAAGUAGGAAAAAUUUACGGUGGUGGCGAGAAAUUGAUGGAAACAGUGAGAAAAAACACACAAACCGGACUCAAACAAGACCUAACUAGUAACAAGCCCUCGACCAGGACUCAAACUCAAAACUACGGAUUCUGAAACUGAAAUAUGCCAAGGCUAUGGCGCGAAUGGGUUGUAGGACAUGAAAACAAUAUGGCACUAGACUUAUCAGACGAACACAAGGACACUCGAAACUAAGGGUAGAUGUGAACCUAACGGUAUGUCUGAUGCUUUGGUUACCACUUGAGGAGAACAAGUGUGGCCCGAUCUUCCGAAAGGUUCUAGUAACUAUCGAUUUGGUGGAAACGAGACACAAAUCAAUCCAACUUGCGAACAACACGAUUCGAAACCCUACAAUUAUUUUUAUUUUUUUUGAUAUUUUUAUUUUACUUAGGAGAACUCAUGAAGUAACCACACGAAAUUUGAGCUUAAACAAGUGAAAGACGUGGCCUGUAGAAUUUUUUGAAGAUUGCAAAAAAUAUAAAAAAACUUUAGGAGGUGAAAACUCAAAUUUCAGGGGCGAAUUUGGGGAUUCUAAAUUAUCGAACCCGCCUCUAGCGGAGAUAUAUAGAUCCAAAAAUUUGUUCCGAUCGAUUUUGAUAUAUGGAACGUCAAAAUCGGAGUUCGUAUGCGAAAGUUAUGGCUGUUUUACGAACGGACUCCGAAUUAGAGGACAAAACGGUCCGGAAGUGGGAAAAAUUUGCGGUGGUGGCUAGAAAUCUAUGGAAAUGGUGGGAAAAAACACACAAACUGGACUCUAACAAGACCAAAUCAGUAACAAGACCUCAACCAGGACACAAACUCAACACUACGGACUCUGAAACUGAAAUAUGCAAAGUUUAUGGCGCUAAUGGGUUGUAGGACAUGAAAACAAUUUGGCACUAGACUUAUGGGACGAACACAAGGACACUCGAAACUGAGGGUAGAUGUGAACCUAAUGGUACGUCUAAAGCUUUGAUUACCACUUGAGGAGAACAAGGCCCGAUCUUCUGAAAGGUUCUGGUAACUAUCGAUUUGGUGGAAACGAGACGCAAAUCAAUCCAGUUUGCGAACAACACUGCAAUUCUUUUUAUUUUUUAUGAUAUUUUUCUUUUACUUAGGAGCACUCAAGAAGUAACCAUAGGAAAUUUGAACUUAAACAAGUGAAUGACGUGGCCUGUGGAAUUUUUUGAAGAUUGCGAAAAAUAUGAAAAUAAAGUUUAGGAGGUGAAAACUCAAAUUUUCAGAGGCGAGUUUGGGAAUUCUAAAUUUGUCGCACCCGCCUAUGGCAGGGAUAGACAAAUUGAAAAAUUUUUUCUGAUUGAUUUUGAUAUUUGGAACGUCAAAAUCGGAGUUCGUAUGUGAAAAUUAUGGUUGUUUUACGUAGGUACACCGAAUUAGAGGACAAAACAGUGCGGAAGUGGUAAAAUUUUGCGCGGUGGCUAUAAAUUGAUGGAAACAGUGGGAAGAAACACACAAAUUGGACUCUAACAGGACCUAACCAGUAACAAGAUCUCGACCAGGACACAAACUCAACACUACGAACUCUGAAACUGAAAUAUGCAAAGGCUAUGGCGCGGAUGGGUUGUAGGACAUGAAAACAAUGUAGCACUAGACUUUUGGGACGAAAACAAGGACACUCGAAACUAAGGAUAGAUGUGAACCUAACGGUACGUCUGAAGCUUAAGGAUAGAUGUGAACGUAACGGUAUGUCUGAUGCUUUGAUUACCACUUGAGGAGAACAAGUGUGGCCCGAUCUUCCGAAAGGUUCUGGUAACUAUCGAUUUGGUGAAAACGAGACACAAAUCAAUCCAGCUUACGAACAACACGAUUCGAAACCCUACAAUUCUUUUUUUUUGAUAUUUUUCUUUUACUUAGGAGCACUCAAGAAGUAAGCACAGAAAAUUUGAGCAUAAACAAGUGAAAGACGUGACCUGUGGAAACUUUUGAAAAUUGCGAAAAAUAUGAAAAAAACUUUUGGAGGUGAAAACUCAAACUUUAGAGGCGAAUUUGGGGAUUCUAAAAUUGUCAAACCCGCACACGGCGGGGAUAGACAUAUCCAAAAAUUUGGUUUGAUCGAUUUUGAUAUAUGGAACGUCAACAUCAGAGUUCGUAUGUGAAAAUUAUGGUUGUUUUACGUACGUACACCGAAUUAGAGGACAAAACAGUGCGGAAGUGGGAAAAUUUUGCGCGGUGGCUAUACAUUGAUGGAAACAGUGGGAAGAAACACACAAAUUGGACUCUAACAAGACCUAACGAGUAACAAGAUCUCGACCAGGACACAAACUCAACACUACGGACUCUGAAACUGAAAUAUGCAAAGGCUAUGGCGCGGAUGGGUUGUAGGACAUGAAAACAAUGUAGCACUAGACUUAGGGGACGAAAACAAGGACACUCAAAACUAAGGAUAGAUGUGAACCUAACGGUACGUCUGAAGCUUUGAUUACCACUUGAGGAGAACAAGUGUGGCCCGAUCUUCCGAAAGGUUCUGGUAACUAUCGAUUUGGUGGAAACGAGACCCAAAUCAGUCCACCUUGCGAACAACACGAUUCGAAACCCUGCAAUUCUUUUUAUUUUUUUAUUUGAUAUUUUUCUUUUACUUAGGAGCACCGAAGAAGUAGCCACAGGAAAUUUGAGCUUAAACAAGUGAAAGACGUGGCCUAUGGAAUUUUUUGUAGAUUGUGAAAAAUAUGAAAAUAAACUUUAGGAGGUGAAAACUCAAACUUUAGAGGCGAAUUUGGGGAUUCUAAAUUUGUCGGACCCGCCAAAGGCGGGGAUAGACAGACCCAAAAUUUUUUUCUAAUUGAUUUUGAUAUAUGGAAUGAUAAAAUCGGAGUUCGUAGGCGAAAGUUAUGGCUGUUUUACGAACGGACUCCGAAUUAGAGGACAAAACGGUCCGGAAGUGGGAAAAAUUUGCGGUGGUGGCUAGAAAUUGAUGGAAACGGUGGGAAAAAACACACAAACUGGACUCGAACAAGACCUAACCAGUAACAAGACCUCAACCAAGACACAAACUCAAAACUACGGAUUCUGAAACUGAAAUAUGCAAAGGCUAUGGCGCGGAUGGGUUGUAGGACAUGAAAACAAUAUGGCACUAGACUUAUGAGACGAACACAAGGACACUCAAAACUAAGGGUAGAUGUGAACCUAACGGUAUGUGUGAUGCUUUGAUUACCACUUGAGGAGAACAAGUCUGGCCCGUUCUUCCGAAUGGUUCUGGUAACUAUCGAUUUGGUGGAAACAACACACAAAUCAAUCCAGCUUGCGAACAACACGGUUCGAAACCCUGCAAUUCUUUUUAUAUUUUUUGAUAUUUUUCUUUUACUUAGGAGCACUCAAGAAGUAACCACAGGAAAUUUGAGCUUAAACAAGUGAAGUACGCGGGCUGUGGAAUUUUUUGAGGAUUGCGAAAAAUAUGAAAAUAAUGUUUAGGAGGUGAAAACUCAAAAAUUCAGAGGUGAGUUUGGGAAUUGUAAAUUUGUUGCACCGCCUAUGGCGGGGAUAGACAGAUCCAAAAAUUUUAUCUGAUUGAUUUUGAUAUAUGGAACGUCAAAAUCGGAGUUCGUAGGCGAAAGUUAUGGCUGUUUUACGAACGGACUUCGAAUUAGAGGACAAAACGGUGCGGAAGUGGGAAAAAUUUGCGGUGGUGGCUAGAAAUUGAUGGAAACGGUGGGAAAAAACACACAAACUGGACACAAACAAGACCUAACUAGUAACAAGACCUCGACCAGGACACAAACUCAAAACUACGGAGGCUAUGGCGCGGAUGGGUUGUAGGACAUGAAAACAAUAUGGCACUAGACUUAUGAGACGAACACAAGGACACUCGAAACUAAGGGUAGAUGUGAACCUAACGGUAUGUCUGAUCUUUGGUUACCACUUGAGGAGAACAAGUGUGGCCCAUCUUCCGAAAGGUUCUGGUAACUAUCCAUUUGGUGGAAACGAGACACAAAUCAAUCCAGCUUGCGAACAACACGAUUCGAAACCCUACAAUUCUUUUUAUUUUUUUUGAUAUUUUUCUUUUACUUAGGAGCACUCAAGAAGUAACCACAGGAAAUUUGAGCUUAAACAAGUGAAAGACAUGACCUGUGGAAAGUUUUGAACAUUGCUAAAAAUAUGAAAAAAAGUUUUGGAGGUGAAAACUCAAACUUUAGAGGCGAAUUUGGGGAUUCUAAAAUUGUCAAACCCGCACACGGUGGGGAUAGACAGAUCUAAAAAUUUGGUUUGAUCGAUUUUAAUAUAUGGAACGUCAAAAUCAGAGUUCGUAUGCGAAAAUUAUGGCUGUUUUACGAACGGACACCGAAUUAGAAGACAAAAUAGUCCGGAAGUGGGAAAAAUUUGCGGCGGUGGCUAGAAAUUGAUGGAAACGGUGGGAAGAAACACACAAAUUGGACUCUAACAAGACCUAACCCGUAACAAGACCUCGACCAGGACACAAACUCAACACUACGGACUAUGAAAAUGAAAUAUGCAAAGGCUAUGGCACGGAUGGGUUGUAGGACAUGAAAAGAAUAUGGCCCCAAACUUGUGGGACGAACACAAGGACACUCGAAACUAAGGGUAGAUGUGAACCUAACGGUAUGUCUGAAGCUUUGAUUACCACUUGAGGAGAAUAAGUGUGGCCCGAUCUUCCGAAAGGUUCUGGUAACUAUCGAUUUGGUGGAAACGAUACACAAAUCAAUCCAGCUUGCGAACAACACGGUUCGAAACCCUGCAAUUCUUUUUAUUUUUUUGAUAUUUUUCUUUUACUUAGGAGCACUCAAGAAGUAACCACAAGAAAUUUGAGCUUAAACAAGUGAAAGACGUGGCCUGUGGAAUUUUUUGAAGAUUGCGAAAAAUAUAAAAAAAACUUUAGGAGGUGAAAACUCGAACUUCAGGGGCGAAUUUCGGGAUUCUAAAAUUAUCGAACCCGCCUCUAGCAGAGAUAGACAGAUCCAAAAAUUUGUUCUGAUCGAUUUUGAUGUAUGGAACGUCAAAAUCGGAGUUCGUAUGCGAAAGUUAUGGCUGUUUUACGAACGGACUCCGAAUUAGAGGACAAAACGGUCCGGAAGUGGGAAUAAUUUGCGGUGGUGGCUAGAAAUUGAUGGAAACGGUGGGAAAAACACACAAACUGGACUCUAACAAGACCAAAUUGGUAACAAGACCUCGACCAGGAUACAAACUCAACACUACGGACUCUGAAACUGAAAUAUGCAAAGGCUAUGGCGCGGAUGGGUUGUAGGACAUGAAAACAAUUUGGCACUAGACUUAUGGGACGAACAUAAGGACACUCGAAACUAAGGGUACAUGUGAACCUAACUGUACGUCUGAAGCUUUGAUUACCACUUGAGGAGAACAAGGCCCGAUCUUCCGAAAGGUUCUGGUAACUAUCGAUUUGGUGGAAACGAGACACAAAUCAUUCCAGUUUGCGAACAACACGAUUUGAAACCCUGCAAUUCUUUUUAUAUUUUUUGAUAUUUUUCUUUUACUUAGGAGCACUCAAGAAGUAACCACAGGAAAUUUGAGCUUAAACAAGUGAUGGACGUGGCCUGUGGAAUUUUUUGAAGAUUGCGAAAAAUAUGAAAAUAAAGUUUAGGAGGUGAAAACUCAAAAUUUCAGAGGCGAGUUUGGGAAUUGUAAAUUUGUUGCACUGCCUAUGGUGGGGGUAGACAGAUCCAAAAAUUUUUUCUGAUCGAUUUUGAUAUAUGGAACGUCAAAAUCGGAGUUCGUAGGCGAAAGUUAUGGCUGUUUUACGAUCAGACUACGAAUUAGAGGACAAAACGGUCCGGAAGUAGGAAAAAUUUGCGGUGGUGGCGAGAAAUUGAUGGAAACAGUGAGAAAAAACACACAAACUGGACUCAAACAAGACCUAACUAGUAACAAGCCCUCGGCCAGGACACAAACUCAAAACUACGGAUUCUGAAACUGAAAUAUGCCAAGGCUAUGGCGCGAAUGGGUUGUAGGACAUGAAAACAAUAUGGCACUAGACUUAUCAGACGAACACAAGGACACUCGAAAAUAAGGGUAGAUGUGAACCUAACGGUAUGUCUGAUGCUUUGAUUACCAAUUGAGGAGAACAAGUGUGGCCCGAUAUUCCGAAAGGUUCUGGUAACUAUCGAUUUGGUGGAAACGAGACACAAAUCAAUCCAGCUUGCGAACAACACGAUUCGAAACCCUACAAUUCUUUUUAUUUUUUUUGAUAUUUUUCUUUUACUUAGGAGCACUCAAGAAGUAACCACAGGAAAUUUGAGCUUAAACAAGUGAAAGACCUGACCUGUGGAAAGUUUUGAAAAUUGCUAAAAAUAUGAAAAAAAGUUUUGGAGGUGAAAACUCAAACUUUAGAGGCGAAUUUGGGGAUUCUAAAAUUGUCAAACCCGCACACGGUGGGGAUAGACAGAUCAGAAAAUUUGGUUUGAUCGAUUUUAAUAUAUGGAACGUCAAAAUCGGAGCUCGUAUGCGAAAAUUAUGGCUGUUUUACGAACGGACACCGAAUUAGAAGACAAAACGGUCCGGAUGUGGGAAAAACUUGCGGCGGUGGCUAGAAAUUGAUGGAAACGGUGGGAAGAAACACACAAAUUGGACUCUAACAAGACCUAACCAGUAACAAGACCUCGACCAGGACACAAACUCAACACUACGGACUCAGAAACUGAAAUAUGCAAAGGCUAUGGCGCGGAUGGGUUGUAGGAUAUGAAAACAAUAUGGCACUAGACUUGUGAGACGAACACAAGGACACUCGAAACUAAGUGUAGAUGUGAACCUAACGGUAUGUCUGAUGCUUUGGUUACCACUUGAGGAGAACAAGUGUGGCCCGAUCUUCCGAAAGGUUCUAGUAACUAUCGAUUUGGUGGAAACGAGACACAAAUCAAUCCAGCUUGCGAACAACACGAUUCGAAACCCUACAAUUAUUUUUAUUUUUUUUUGAUAUUUUUCUUUUACUUAGGAAACUCAUGAAGUAACCACACGAAAUUUGAGCUUAAACAAGUGAAAGACGUGGCCUGUAGAAUUUUUUGAAGAUUGCAAAAAAUAUAAAAAAACUUUAGGAGGUGAAAACUCAAAUUUCAGGGGCAAAUUUGGGGAUUCUAAAUUAUCGAACCCGCCUCUAGCGGAGAUAUAUAGAUCCAAAAAUUUGUUCCGAUCGAUUUUGAUAUAUGGAACGUCAAAAUCGGAGUUCGUAUGCGAAAGUUAUGGCUGUUUUACGAACGGACUCCGAAUUAGAGGACAAAACGGUCCGGAAGUGGGAAAAAUUUGCGGUGGUGGCUAGAAAUUGAUGGAAAUGGUGGGAAAAAACACACAAACUGGACUCUAACAAGACCAAAUCAGUAACAAGACCUCAACCAGGACAGAAACUUAACACUACGGACUCUGAAACUGAAAUAUGCAAAGUUUAUGGCGUGGAUGGGUUGUAGGACAUGAAAACAAUUUGGCACUAGACUUAUGGGACGAACACAAGGACACUCGAAACUGAGGGUAGAUGUGAACCUAAUGGUACGUCUAAAGCUUUGAUUACCACUUGAGGAGAACAAGGCCCGAUCUUGUGAAAGGUUCUGGUAACUAUCGAUUUGGUGGAAACGAGACGCAAAUCAAUCCAGUUUGCGAACAACACGAUUCGAAACACUGCAAUUCUUUUUAUUUUUUAUGAUAUUUUUCUUUUACUUAGGAGCACUCAAGAAGUAACCACAGGAAAUUUGAACUUAAACAAGUGAAGGACGUGGCCUGUGGAAUUUUUUGAAGAUUGCGAAAAAUAUGAAAAUAAAGUUUAGGAGGUGAAAACUCAAAUUUUCAGAGGCAAGUUUGGGAAUUCUAAAUUUGUCGCACCCGCCUAUGGCAGGGAUAGACAAAUCCAAAAAUUUUUUCUGAUUGAUUUUGAUAUUUGGAACGUCAAAAUCGGAGUUCGUAUGCGAAAGUUAUGGCUGUUUUACGAACGGACUCCGAAUUAGAGGACAAAACAGUGCGGAAGUGAGAAAAAUUUGAGGCGGUGGCUAUAAAUUGAUGGAAACGGUGGGAAGAAACACACAAAUUGGACUCUAACAACAAAUAACCAGUAACAACACCUCGACCAGGGCACAAACUCAACACUACGGACUCUGAAAACUGAAAUAUGCAAAGGCUAUGGCGCGGAUGGGUUGUAGGACAUGAAAACAAUAUAGCACCGGACUUAUGGGACGAACACAAGGGCACUCGAAACUAAGGGUAGAUGUGAACCUAACGGUAUGUCUGAAGCUUUGAUUACCACUUGAGGAGAAUAAGUGUGGCCCGAUCUUCCGAAAGGUUCUGGUAACUAUCAAUUUGGUGGAAACGAGACACAAAUCAAUCCAGCUUGCGAACAACACGGUUCGAAAACUUGCAAUUAUUUUUAUUUUUUUUGAUAUUUUUCUUUUACUUAGGAGAACUCAAGAAGUAACCACACGAAAUUUAAGCUUAAACAAGUGAAAGACGUGGCCUGUGGGAUUUUUUGAAGAUUGCGAAAAAUAUAAAAAAAACUUUAGGAGGUGAAAACUCAAAUUUCAGGGGGGAAUUUGGGGAUUCAAAAAUUAUCGAACCCGCCUCUAGCGGUGAUAGACAGAUCCAAAAAUUUGUUUUGAUCGAUUUUGAUAUAUGGAACGUCAAAAUCAGAGUUCGUAAGGAAAAGUUAUGGCUGUUUUACGAACGGACUCCGAAUUAGAGGACAAAACGGUCCGGAAGUGGGAAAAAUUUGCGGUGGUGGCUAGAAAUUGAUGGAAACGGUAGGAAAAAACACACAAACUGGACUCUAACAAGACCAAAUCAGUAACAAGACCUCAACCAGGACACAAACUCAACACUACGGACUCUGAAACUGAAAUAUGCAAAGGCUAUGGCGCGGAUGGGUUGUAGGACAUGAAAACAAUAUGGCACUAGACUUAUGAGACGAACACAAGGACACUCGAAACUAAGGGUAGAUGUGAACCUAACGAUAUGUCUGAUGAAUUGAUUACCACUUGAGGAGAUGCCCCUGCUUCACCAACUCCGAAGCCCUAGAUCAUCUUCCUUGUGACGAGAUGGCCAUCAACUUCACCGUUCCUGAGGUCAGUUCUUCAUCCCACCUUUUGUGCCUUUUCUCGCAUCCCUGUUCAUCCGCAAUUCAUUUUACUAAACAUUUUCCUUUUUUCUUUUUGUUCUUGUUCUUCCUUAUAUACCCAAAACCAUUAGGAUUUGUCCAACAAAAUUGUCAUCACCACCGAUCAACCACACCUCCAAUGCCCUGGCCUGUUAGGGAAUCCAGAUCCAACCGACCUCAUUAACGCAGAAACCAACAGGAUCCCUUUUAGAGCCGAAAACUUUUCUUUGGAUCUAUGGAAGGAUACUUUCCGUUCUUGGCCCAGUCCUACCGUGGGAUGGACGGAUUGGUUCUUGAGGGUCAGCCACUCAAAUGAAGUCCAGUGGGGGGAGAGAAAACUAGACCAAUGCAUCAGGCUGUCUAUUGCCGAUAUGCAUAGAAAUGAGUCAUUGCUGGUAGCUGCAUCAUACUUCUGGUCAGACAUGCUCAACGCCUUUGUCUUUGGCCAUGGCCCUACUUCCCCUACUCUUGCCGAUGUAGCUCUGCACACUGGCCUAGAUGUAUCUUCUGCCGAUAGCACCCAUUUUUUCGACACCAAGCCCAGUGCCAAGGUAGAAACUCGUUCCAUCGGCGGUUGGUCAGGGUAUAUUCAGAAAUAUAAACGAACUGGCCCUGUAAACAUAAAGGAGCAGACCAACUUUCUGAACAUGUGGCGGGACAAAUUCGUGUUUUGCGGCCGAUCGGCAGGACCAUCCUCCGUCUAUUUAGCAGCAGCAGAAAACUUAGCUAAUGGUGGCCGAUUUCCCCUCGGCCGAUACCUGCUUGGUGCAGCCUACCACCUCCUUCACCAAGUGACUAGGAAACUCUUACUCGGCCGAUACCCUAAACCCUAAACCCUAAACCUUGUAUGAAGGCUUGACCAAAGAGGAACGAGCAUGGUUGGCUUAUGACGAUCCAGACACCAUGUUUCCUCUAGUUUUCAACCCGUUCAAUGAUGCUCUUGACACGGAUCACGAAGUGAAGAUGGCACUGGUCACUCCCAGAGCUAUACCAGUGAAUUUCUUUGGUAGUGGGAAAACCUCCAUCCAGACCUAUGAGUUUUAUAACACAUCGGCAUUAGCUCGUCAAUUAGCUUUCGGCCAGCUGCCGAUUGCACUCUGUUAUGCCGAUGUGAUAAAACCCAGGGAAGCCAUCACUAGCCUUCAUGAAUGGAUUCGAGUGGCCCAACUGCCAUCAAGUGCCAAUACAGAUGUAGACCUGUCAGAGUGGGUUCCAGCCGCCUUCAUCACUCAGGCAUACAAGCAAUGGUGGGCAGAAUGGAAGGAACAUCUGUUCUGCAGAUCGGAUCUCACGUAUCGCGGAAUGAUCGACCCCGAGUACAAGGUUCCCGAUGACACUGUAAGUAUCUUUGAACCGAUGUUUCAAUUUUCUCAUUUUUACUUUCAUCGGUGAUUUACCUUUGCAUCAUCUUGCAGGUUGACAACACCCCUCCAUCGGUCAGCAGGAGUGGCAAGCCGAUUGACCUGUUUCCAUCAGGCCCAAUCUCCUUAAUCGGCAACAACGCUCCUACCCUGGCCGCCAUCAUGCAUCGAGGUGUACGCCUCAAGAAGGUCAUCACUAGGAGGACUCAGAUAUCUCCAUCGGUAGCUGCUUCCACCUUGGCACAGGCAUUCAAGGUAAUUGUUAAACCUUUUCAUUCAUACCGAUUCUUAUCACUGGGCGUGCCAAAAGAUGUGUUGGUGCAAAAGCUGAUCUGCAAACACAAAGGGCUAAUACCCGAUUUAAACGUUAAGGCGUGCCAACCGAUUUGACCUUACUAUCGGCAAAGGUAGUAACUCGAAUACUUUGGUCCCGACAACAGCGAUGCGCUCGGAUGUCACGGCCAAGAGGUAUUCACGCGGAACUUGAGAAUACGCCGAGCUUAAGUCGACGAAUUCCUAAGAACUCGUAACGAAAAGGAAAAAGUAUGACGAAGUCGUCGAAAAAGUAGAUGAAUGGAAUAUGAGUAAAAAUGUGUGUUUGAUUGAUUGAUUGAUAUCUUCAUUACAAGGAGACACGACUAGAAUUCGAAUUCAAAUUUAAACAGAAUCCGUGUACAAAACGAUCUAAAUAACUAAGGAAAACAUAAAACCAUCCUCACGUGACAAACCAGAACAUCCCCACCAGCCGAUCGGCAAUUUCCAGGUUCUCCCUCUGUAUCACCGGCAGACUCCUUUGUCAUAGCCAUCGGCACAAACACAUCAUCACCUAUGGACUUGGUCACGUUCAACCAUCCUUCCAUCGGCAACCAUCUUCAUCGGCAACUCACCCUGUAGAUCAAGCACCACCGUCCUAUUUUGACGAUUUACACUUUACCGAUCAUGGACACGUGCCCAAAAACGGUGUCAACACAUGCCCCCCAAUUUCGGAGUAUGAGAUCAUUAAUGCUCCGAAAUUCUCUGCAGUAAUGAUGCCUUUUCCGCAAUUAGUGCUCCCAAUCUGGUAACCGACAUCCUUAAUCUGAACAACUCUGAUCCUAUUCCUCUGCAGGUUCCUCGAAAUCCUCAACUUCCCCAAACGGACAUUUCCACUUUAGUCGCACAUCGGCAAUAUUACCGUUACAGGGACUUGCCGAUGGACGUCCAUAUCUUAUCCUUUCAAACGGCUAUCUCCACGUUACUCGCCCAUCGGCAAUAUGACCGUUACAAGGCGCUGCCGAUGGACCGACUAGGAGAUCUCGCACAGUGAAAUAUCUAUGGAUAAUGACCGCUUCCUGUCAAAUCGGCUGCACAAUCCCUUGAUUACCGUGCGAACAGUUACCAUAUCUACCUGAGUACCCUCAGAUUUCACGGAUACGGCGAAGAGAUAAGUCAGAUUUGCCCUUGCCCGUUUUGUCCUAUAAAUAGUUCCUUCUCGGGUACUCCUUCUCCAUCACAUCAUUCCACGGUUCCAACUCCACUCUCCCGGCGACGGCGCUGUCCAAGAGCUCAAAGAUCUCCAACGAAGCCCCUGCUUCACCAACUCCGAAGCCCUAGAUCAUCUUCCUCGUGACGAGAUGGCCAUCAACUUCACCGUUCCUGAGAUCAGUUCUUCAUCCCAACUUUUGUGCCUUUUCUCGCAUCCCUGUUCAUCCGCAAUUCAUUUUACUGAACAUUUUCCUUUUUUCUUUUUUGUUCUUGUUCUUCCUUAUAUACCCAGAACCAUUAGGAUUUGUCCAACAAAAUUAUCAUCCCCACCAAUCAACCACACCUCCAAUGCCUUGGCUCGUUAGGGAAUCCAGAUCCAACCGACCUCAUUAACGCAGAAACCACCAGGAUCCCUUUUAGAGUCGAAAACUUUUCUUUGGAUCUAUGGAAGGAUACUUUCCGUUCUUGGCCCAGUCCUACCGUGGGAUGGACGGAUUGGUUCUUGAGGGUCAGCCACUCAAAUGAAGUCCAGUGGGGGGAGAGAAAACUAGACCAAUGCAUCAGGCUGUCUAUUGCCGAUAUGCAUAGAAAUGAGUCAUUGCUGAUAGCUGCAUCAUACUUCUGGUCAGACACGCUCAACACCUUUGUCUUUGGCCACGGCCCUACUUCCCCUACUCUUGCCGAUGGAGCUAUGCUCACUGGCCUAGAUGUAUCUUCUGCCGAUAGCACCCAUUUUUUCGACACCAAGCCCAGUGCCAAGGUAGAAACUCGUUCCAUCGGCAGUUGGUCAGGGUAUAUUCAGAAAUAUAAAUGAACUGGCCCUGUUAACAUAAAGGCGCAGACCAGUUUUCUGAACAUGUGGCUGGACAAAUUCGUGUUUUGCGGCCGAUCGGUAGGACCAACCUCCGUCUAUUUAGCAGCAGCAGAAAACUUAGCUAAUGGUGGCCGAUUUCCCCUCGGCCGAUACCUGCUUGGUGCAGCCUACCACCUCCUUCACCAAGUGACUAGGAAACUCUUACUCGGCCAGUCUAUCGGCAACUUGGGAUGUCCUUGGUUGUUCAUCAACAUGUGGCUCAGUCUCCACAUGCACAAGCGUCUUGAGUUUGACCUUUUUGCACAGCGUUUCCCAAGGGACAUAGCCGAGAACUAUGAUCUGGAUGAAGAAGAAUCGACAACACGCCCUCCCCUAAACUUCGGUGAGGCUGUCAUAGUUUUACCUGGUACAGGGGGUAAUGCAGACCAGGUCAGCCGAUUCUUCCAAACCUUGUAUGAAGGCUUGACCAGAGAGGAGCGAGCAUGGUUGGCUUAUGACGAUCCAGACACCAUGUUUCCUCUAGUUUUCAACCCAUUCAAUGAUGCUCUUGACACGGAUCACGAAGUGAAGAUGGCACCGGUCACUCCCAGAGCUAUACCAGUGAAUUUCUUUGGAAGUGGGAAAACCUCCAUCCAGACCUAUGAGUUUUAUAACCCAUCGGCAUUAGCUCGUCAAUUAGCUUUUGGCCAGCUGCCGAUUGCACUUUGUUAUGCCGAUGUGAUAAAACCUAGGGAAGCCAUCACUAGCCUUCUUGAAUGGAUUCGAGUGGCCCAACUGCCAUCAAGUGCCGAUACAGAUGUAGACCUGUCAGAGUGGGUUCCAGCCAUCUUGAUCACUCAGGCAUACAAGCAAUGGUGGGCAGAAUGGAAGGAACAUCUGUUCUGCAGAUCGGCUCUCACGUAUCGCGGCAUGAUCGACCCCGAGUACAAGGUUCCCGAUGACACUGUAAGUAUCUUUGAACUGAUGUUUCAAUUUUGUCAUUUUUACUUUCAUCGUUGAUUUACCUUUGCGUCAUCUUGCAGGUUGACAACACCCCUCCAUUGGUCAGCAGGAGUGGCAAGCCGAUUGACCUGUUUCCAUCAGGCCCAAUCUCCUCAAUCGGCAACAAUGCUCCUACCCUGGCCGCCAUCAUGCAUCGAGGUGUACGCCUCAAGAAGGUCACCACUAGGAGGACUCAGAUAUCUCCAUCGGUAGCUGCUUCCACCUUGGCACAGGUGUUCAAGGUAAUUGUUAAACCUUUUCAUUCAUACUGAUUCUUAUUUUACAUCUGCCACACUUGUACUCAUAAAUCUUUUCCAUAUCAUCAGACCGGCGCAUCGGCAAAGACCAGAAGCAAAGGUGCCGAUGCCCCUCAGUCUAGCCAGCAGAAGAGAAGAGGUGCCAAGAGUACAAGGGCACAAGCAAAGCGCCAAAACGUAGCAAUGCCUUCUCCUCCCCCGGUAUCUCCAAUCCCGGUAGAAUCUUCUCCUUCUCCUCCAGAAGCCCAGAUGCAACAAGUGCCAUCUCCACCUCCAAUGCAAGAAGCACCACAAGUGGGAGAACCCCAACCAGAAGAGCCUCAACCAGAAGUACCUCAACCAGAAGACACAUCGGCUGAUGUGCAUGAACAAACUACCGAUCCAGCAGGUUCCAUUAUAGCACUGGUGGUCUCUUCCGUCCAGACAAGCACUGCUCUUCCCCAAGGUAACACAUUUUUAUAAUAUUACUGCCAAUGAACUUAUUCUUUUUUGGCCUUAUAACCCCUUCUGUUAAUUUUCAGCUGACGUAGUUCCAUCGGCAACUCUGGCCGAUCAACCCGUGGCUCCAUCGGCAUCUUCCAGUCAAAGGCGAGAGAUUGCCUUGAAGCAAGUAAGCCAUCCAAUCUCCAUCAGUAAUAUUUGCCGAUGCUCUGACCAUAGAAUGACUCACUUCGUUUUCCUUUUCAGGAACAGGAUUCUCCCGAUAGCCUAUUCUCCUUUCCAUUGAUAUCUCCGAAGAUGAAGGUGAGGAAGCAAGUUCCUCCCGGGCAGUUGGGAUCGCAUCGGCAGAGAUCAGGGCAAAGCUCGAAGAACUGUCGGCUCUCCUCCAUCAAGACACGGCUCAAUUGGUCGAUGACUCUGACCCGACCAAGGCUCUGUUCAAGGCUCUCAGAGGCUAGAUUCCUGCUGAUGUUGAUGAAAUCCUCUUCCAGGCCGCACAUCUGGAGAGCCAUCAGCUGCAGUACCAGAAAGCUGCCCAGCGCCUUGCCGAUAGAGCGGCUCAUGCCCAACUCUCCAAGGAGACGAUGAAGGUGAAACUCCUUGCCGAUGAGAAGCACAAGAACAUCGGCAUUUUACAGUCCUCGGGAGAUGUAUUGAAGCAGAAGAUUUCCGAUCUAUCGGCGAGAAGAGAAGCCCUGCUGGCAGAACUCAAGCAAGUAGAGGAUGCUCUGUCCCAAGCCCGACAAGAAGAAAGCCAACUGCCAGAGACAAUUAAGCUUCUCGAGCAAGAACGAAACACCCAUGGCCGCAAGGCGCUGCAGAUGAAAAAGAAGCUGAAGCUAGUGGAAGGCUCUGCCGAUGACGACGUGAAGGAGAUAGAGGAAGCCAACCAGAUUUGACUGCGCGCCAUAUCGGCGAUCCAGGCGCUGUUGAGCACAUGAACCCUUCAUUGGCAACACAUCCUUGCCCCUCUGCACUUUCCAGCUCUCUUGUUGUUUAGUCUAGCCAAUACGACUGUUAUCGGCAUCUUUUGAAACAUUAAGUCCGGCCCCAGAUACACUUCAAUCUAGCCGAUAGGAGUGUUAUCGGCAUUUAAACCUUUUAUGCAUCGACCCAUAUACUUCGGUAGUACUUUUUCAGAUAUUUGCCAUUUAAUGCUCUGGAAAAUUCAACUCCUUCGAGAGUUUCUAGAAUAUAGGCAUUACCAGGAGCCGACCGACUUAUCCGAUAGGGACCCUCCCAAUUGGGAGACCACUUCCCAAAUUUUGAACUUUUAGUCCCGAUCGGCAAGACCAACUUCCAUACCAAGUCAUCAUCGGCAAAUUCCUUAGCCUUUACUUUCUUAUCAUACCAUCUAGCAACUCUCUUCUUAUUUUCUUCUAUACUCAUUAAAGCCUUUAACCGAUGUCCUGCUAGAUCAGGUCAUCAAAGUAGCAUAAUCAUCGGCAGCCAAUUAAUCCUGAAAAGAUAGUCGCCUAGAUCCAGCCUUAAUUUCCCAAGGCAACACUGCAUCAUGUCCAUACACCAACUGAUAAGGUGAAACCUUGGUUGAUCCAUGACAAGCCAUUCGAUAGGACCAUAAAGCUUCAUUUAACAAUGUGUGCCACCGCUUAGGAUUUUCUUCAAUUUUUAGUUUGAUAAGCUUGAUAAUUCCCUUGUUAGAUGCCUCGGCUUGCCCAUUAGCUUGAGCAUAAUAAGGAGAAGAGUUUAACACCUUAAUUCCCAUACCGAUUGUGAAUUCAUCAAAUUCCCCUGAUGUGAACAUAGUACCUUGGUCGGUAGUAAUUGUCUGAGGAAUCCCAAAUCGGUAAAUAAUGUGCUCCUUCACAAAAUCAAUCAUAUUGGCUGAGGUAACUUUCUUCAAAGGAAUAGCCUCAACCCAUUUGGUGAAAUAAUAGGUGGCAACCAUGAUAAACUUAUGCCCUUUGCGAGAUGGCGGAUAAAUCUGACCGAUUAAGUCAAUAGCCCAUCCCCGGAACGGCCAAGGUUUGAUAAUAGGAUUCAUGGCCGAUGCGGGUGCUCUUUGAAUAUUACCAAAUUUCUGACAUCCUUGACAUCCCUUGAAAUAUUUAAAGCAAUCUUCAUGUAUGGUCGGCCAAUAAUACCCGUUCCUCCUAAUCAUCCACUUCAUCUUAAAAGCCGACUGAUGUGCUCCACAUACUCCUUCAUGGAUUUCUCCCAUCAAACUCUUAGCUUCAUCAUCACCCAAGCAUCGGAGAAGAAUCCCAUCAAUAGUUCGAUAAUAUAAUUCAUCUUCGAGGAGCACAUACUUGGUGGCUUGAAACCGAAUUCGUCUUUCAACUUUCUUAGAUGGAUCUUUCAAAUAAUCAAAGAUUUCUUUUCUCCAAUCAUCGGCACCAAUUGCCGAUAUUGCAUUAAUCAUAGGCUGAUAUCCCGAGGCAUGCUGAGCCAACCGAUUGGCCUCUUCAUUAUGCAAUCGAGGAACAUACUCUAAUUGGAAAUCCUUGAAUUCCUUCAACAAUUGCAUACUCCGCUCGUAAUAAGUUAUGAGAACUUCACUUUGGCAUUCAUAGCUUCCAGUCAAUUGAUUUAUAACCAGCAUAGAAUCUCCGAAGACCUCGACAGCAUUAGCAUGAACUUCCCUUAACAAUUCCAAUCCCUUUAUUAAAGCUUGAUACUCAGCCUGAUUAUUCGUCGACGUGGCAACAAUCGGCAAGGAAAACUCAUACUUCCUUCCCUGAGGUGAAAUUAAUACUAUACCGAUUCCUGCCCCCCGGUCACAUGUAGAUCCAUCAAAGAAAAGUGUCCAAGGUAUAAUUUCCAAAGCCUCCACUGCACCGCGAUGUUGAGUUACAAAAUCGGCCAUAACCUGCCCUUUAACUGCCUUAGCCGAUUCAUAACGCAGAUCGAACUCCGACAGCGCCAAAAUCCAUUUACCGAUCCUGCCACUCAUAAUCGGCAUGGAUAGCAUGUACCGGACUACAUCAUCCUUGCAAAUAACAGUGCAUUCGGCCGAUAACAAGUAAUGCCUUAACUUGACACAAGAGAAAUAUAAGCACAAGCAUAGUUUCUUAAUAGCCGAAUACCUGGUCUCAGCAUCAAUCAACCUUUUGCUUAAGUAAUAAAUUACACGCUCCUUCCCCUCAAACUCUUGAAUUAAAGCCGAACCGAUGACCAUCCCAUCGGUAGACAAAUACAAUCUGAAGGGCUUCCCUUGCUGAGGUGGAAUCAGAACUGGAGGAUUCACUAAAUAAUUCUUGAUUUCAUCCAGAGCCAACUGCUGUUCCUUCCCCCAAACAAACUCUUGAUCAGCCUUUAACUUAAGAAGAGGACUGAAAGCACGAAUCUUACCAGACAAAUUAAAUAUAAACCUUAUGAUAAAAUUUACCUUGCCGAUCAAGGACUGGAGCUCGGUCUUGUUGGUUGGGGCCACUAUUUUAUUGAUGGCGUCAAUAGAUCUUCGACUGAUUUCAAUCCCCCUUUGGUGUACAAUGAAACCAAGAAAUUGUCCUGCCGAUACACCAAAUGCACACUUAUUGGGGUUCAUUUUCAAACCAUGGUUCCUUGUGCACUCCAACACCUUUCGUAAAUCAGCAAGAUGCUUUGUGAAGUCUCCAGACUUAACCACCACAUCAUCAAUAUAAAUCUCCACCAGCUUGCCGAUGAACUCAUGAAAUAUAAAAUUCAUGGCCCUUUGAUAAGUAGCACCAGCAUUCUUUAAGCCAAAGGUCAUGACUAUCCAUUCAAACAAUCCAACGUGACCAGGGCAUCUGAACGCGGUCUUUGGAAUAUCCUCUUCAGCCAUGAAUAUUUGAUUGUAUCCUGUAUUGUCAUCCAUAAAGCUAAUAAUCCGAUGCCCAGCCGCAGCGUCAACUAGCAGAUUGGCAACUGGCAUUGGGUAUCCAUCCAUCGGUGUAGCUAUGUUAAGAUUCCUGAAAUCAAUGCAGACCCGAAGCUUCCCGUUCUUCUUGUAGACCGGAACAACAUUGGAAAUCUACUCGGCAUACCGACAUUGCCGAAUAAACUUGGCUUCAAUAAGUUUGGUUAUUUCAGCCUUAAUAUCAGGGAGAAUAUUAGGAUUACAUCGGCGAGCCGGUUGCUGAUGUGGCCGAAAUCCAGACUUGAUAGGUAACCGAUGUUCAAUAAUUGAUCGGUCCAAACUAGGCAUCUCAGUAUAAUCCCAAGCAAAGCAAUCUUUAAAUUCCUUUAACAAAUCGGUUAACUGUUCCUUACACUCAGAAUCUAAUUUAGCACUAAUAAAAGUGGGUCUAGGCUUAUCACCACUACCUAUAUCUACUUCUACUAGAUCAUCGGCCCAUGUGAAUCCCUGGCCUAACUUUCCAUCAUCGGCGAACCUAUCCAUUAAAAACCUUCAUCAGAACUGACUGCUUGGAUCGGUGGAAUGUCGUAAUCGGCAACCUUGAGAAAAUCCUUUUCCCAAAUUUCUCCUGAAAUACACCUAGUCCUUUCGUAGGUGUCUGCCUCUGCCGAUGCGAUGGCAUAAGAAGAAUCUCCUGGGACAAUUUCAAUCUUGUCACCUACCCACUGGACCAAGCAUUGGUGCAUUGUAGACGGGAUGCAACAAUUAGCAUGAAUCCAAUCUCUUCCUAACACUAAGUUGUAAGCACCCUUUCCACUGAUCACGAAGAAGGUUGUCGGCAAGGUCUUACUGCCGAUGGUCAACUCUACGCAUAUUGCUCCCUUGACCGGAGACACAUUUCCUUCAAAAUCCUUAAGCAUCAUAUCAGUCUUGGUUAAAUCCUGAUCCCCUUUUCCAAGCUUCCGAUACACUGCAUAUGGCAUGAUAUUAAUGGCGGCUCCACCAUCAAUUAGAAUCUUGGUCAUCGGCUGACCAUCCACUUUUCCUUUAACAAACAGGGCCUUGUGGUGCUGCCUUUCAUCAUCGGCGGGCUUCUCGAAGAUAGCCGUCAUCGGAUCUAGAGCCAACUGAGCUAUUUGGUCGGAAAACUCCACCUCAUCAUCACUGGAUGGUGCAAGGAACUCCAUCGGCAACAUAAAUACCAUGUUGACAUCUGCCGAUGGACCUUUCCCCUUAGGAUCUGAUUGUUGCUGAUCCCUAGACUGUCUGGAGUUUUCCCCCUUGCUCAACUCUUCACGCCUUUCGCGCUGCAGUCUUCUCUUCUGAGUCCUGGUCAACCCCUCCGGACACCAUGGAGGAAGCUGCUGUUGCCUUACCGAUGGGCGGCGAUUUUCUCCUGACUCAAUUCGGUAAGUAUUGGCAUCUCGGCAGAAGAUGAACUCAUCGGGAACCCGUGCAUUAGCCAUCUCUUCGAGUUCUUCCUGGUUCCUGGGAAAAUAUUGAACACGAUCACCAAGCCUGUCAUGCACGCUGAGCCUGCCCCCCAACCGAUCGUGAACGGACGCUCUUCCUCUAAUCGGCCCAUUAGACCGCCGAUUGUCGUCGUGGUAGCGCCGAUCGGAUCUAUCAUACUGAUCAUAACCGUUGCACUCAGGGCAAUCUAUGACAGUGGGAAGCUUGACAUUCUCCUCCCAAAAAUAAAUGAAGAACGGGCAAUUCCAGUGAUCCCUAUGUCGAUUCCAUUCUUGUCGGCGUCUUUCCUCUUCUAGAUGAUAAUCCUCUUGCUAGCGCCGGUACCGAUCUUCUCGUUGUUGCCAAGUCUCCCGAGGCCUCCUGUGAGUUAUCACAAUACCAGAUCGGGGAGGCCUUCCUGAGUUAGCUCCCUCCUGGAUCAAGCCUUUUCCUUUGGCAUCGGCAGUAGUGACCUGAUGCUGAGGAUCCACCGAUGCACUUCUUUCAGCUGCUUCCGACGUCAAGACCUUGGCCUUUCCCUUAGCAUCCAACAUGUUCGUUGGGAAACGAUGUUGAUCAAUCUUCAUCGGCUUUUGGGUCUUGGAAGUGUCGAAUUUGAUUCUUCCAGACUCUAUAGCCAAUUGCAGCUGCUGUCUGAAAACCUUGCACUCAUUAGUGUCGUGAGAAGUUGCAUUGUGCCACUUGCAAUACUUCAUCCUUUUUAAUUCUUCAGCCGAUGGGAUCACAUGAUUAGGUGACAGCUUGAUCUGACCUUCCUGAAGUAGAAAGUCUAAUAUCCUAUCGGCCUUAGUGGUGUCAAACGCGAACUUCUCUGGUUCUUUAUGUCCAAAAGGACAAGACAUCGGCUUUUUAUUUUUCACCCAUUCUGCCAAGCCGAUGACUGGUUCUUCAUCAGAGUCCGAGCUUACCGCUUCAUCCACAAAUGAUACCUUUUUAUUCCAUGCUCUCUUGGGUUCAAACGGCUUGAUAUCUUGAUCAGAGAUUCUCUGCACCAGAUGACUUAAGCUUUCAAACUCUUGAGAUGCAUAUUUGUCCCUUAUGUGUGGCAACAAACCCUAGAAAGCCAAAUCAGCUAGCUGCCGAUCAUCCAGAACCGGGCUAUAGCAUUUGUUCUUAACCUCCCGUAUCCUCUGCACAAAACUCUCAACCGAUUCAUCAUUGCGUUGCCUUAAUUUGACCAAAUCGGUGAUUUUCUUUUCAUGGACCCCCGAAAAGAAAUAUUUGUGGAAUUGUUUCUCCAAAUCGGCCCAAGUAAUCACUGAGUUGGGAGGCAAUGAUAUAAACCACGUGAAAGCCGAUCUAGACAACGAUGACGAGAAUAAGCGAACCCUUAACUCGUCCCUGUUACCAGCUUCCCCGCAUUGAAUGAUGAACCUGUUGACGUGCUCCAUGGUUGACGUGUCAUCCUGCCCAGAAAACUUAGUAAAAUCCAGUACCUUGUACCGAUUCGGAGGCAGGAUCAAAUCGUAUGCGGGAGGAUACGGUGUCCGAUAAGAGUAAGUGUUGACUUUGGGUUUUAUCCCAAAUUGGUCCCUCAUUACUUCAGCAAUCUUAUCAGCCCAAUAAGCAUCGGCAUCUUGCUGAUGAGGUGGUUGUGGAUCUGGCACCUACUGGUAAGCUUCCACGUGUCUGUGCGGCACACGAUCUGCAUGAAAUAUUGGAUUAAUCAUUUGGCCCUCAAUCUGCGGACUACCAAGCUGUUGCCCGCCAAUCUGCUACCCGAGAUUCAUUGGCUGGUUAGGGAUCCCCUGAUUCUGGAACCCGGGAUAGAUCUGUCCUUGCUAGAACCUGGUAGCUUGAUGACUCUGUUGGGGCGUUUGCGGAAAGACUUGCUGCCCAAGCCAUCCAGUAUUGGCAUUCAUCGGCAUAGGUCCUGCCGAUGACUGAUAAUUGGGCAUUAUCAUUGAAUUGACAUACCCUGGUUGAGUCAAAGACCUCUGUUGCAUCAGCAUUGAGUCUGCCGAUGCGUUAGGCAUCUGGAACGUUAGAGCUUGAGAAUUCCCAGUGUAAGGUCUUGGAGUAGUAGUCGUAGUAUACUGGGGACUCUGGUUCAUCGACAUACUUGGAGGUGCCGAUGCCAUAGGAGCCUUGCCUCUCAUAUCAGUUGCCUGAGAUGUGCCAGGUGUCUUCAUGUUUUCCGGGGGCAUACCAUAACCCCACCAGUUGGGAGGAGGGACCAGUGCUGACAUUGCCGACGCCAAUAAAUCUGUAGUGAGCCUAAUCUGCUCAUCUGAAGUCGGCGGAUUGGUUGUCAUCGGCGUAGAUUGUGCAUUGGUGACUCCCAACGUGCUUGGAGGAACGGUAGUCUGUGUUCCCACAGCGGCUGUAGUGGCCGAUGGUGCUGUGACCAUCGGCGACCCUGGCUAGUGAUAAGAGGGGCCCACAUAAUCUGGUGGCAAUUGUCCUUCCUUCAAGGUUCGGGCCACAGCAUUGAAGACCGUAUUAGACAGUACACCAUCUUGGUUGAUCAAAGCACGGUUGAUAGCACUAUCAACCAUCUCCUGAAGUUUACCAGGAUUGGCUUCAAAAGUAACCUGCCGAGGCGUCGGCAAUGCAUCCUUCUGGAUCACUUCGCCGCUCCUGUUCAUACUGAAGGAUCUCAGGCACUGCUGUUUGUAAUCCUCCAUGGCUUUAGCAAUAGCUCGCUUCUGCUCAUCCUUGAGAUUGGCUUCCGUCACGGGGAUGACGUUCUCUUGAUCAAACUCAGAAGUCGACAUGAUGAUCUUGAUCUUGAAUCUGUCCCACUGGGCGUGCCAAAAGAUGUGUUGGUGCAAAAGCUGAUCUGCAAACACAAAGGGCUAAUACCCGAUUUAAACGUUAAGGCGUGCCAGCCGAUUUGACCUUACUAUCGGCAAAGGUAGUAACUCGAAUACUUUGGUCCCGACAACAGGGAUGUACCCGGAUGUCACGGCCAAGAGGUAUUCACGCGGAACUUGAGAAUACGCCGAGCUUAAGUCGACGAAUUCCUAAGAACUCGUAACGAAAAGGAAAAAGUAUGACGAAGUCGUCGAAAAAGUAGAUGCUUGGAAUAUGAGUAAAAACGUGUGUUUGUUUGAUUGAUUGAUAUCUUCAUUACAAGGCCCUAGGGUCUACAUUUAUACCCUGCUCAAAGAGCUACAACCAGACACGACUAGAAUUUGAAUUCCAAAUUUAAACAGAAUCCGUGUACAAAACGAUCUAAAUAACUAAGGAAAACGUAAAACCAUCCUCACGUGACAAACCAGAACAUCCCCACCAGCCGAUCGGCAAAUUCCAGGUUCUCCCUCCGUAUCAUCGGCAGACUCCUUUGUCAUAGCCAUCGGCACAAACACAUCAUCACCUAUGGACUUGGUCACGUUCAACCAUCCUUCCAUCAGCAACCAUCUUCAUCGGCAACUCACCCUGUAGAUCAAGCACCACCGUCCUAUUUUGCCGAUCUACACUUUACCGAUCAUGGACACGUGCCCAAAAACGGUGUCAACAUAACCACAGGAAAUUUGAGCUUAAACAAGUGAAAGACGUGGCCUGUGGAAAUUUUUGAAAAUUGCAAAAAAUAUGAAAAAAACUUUUGGAGGUGAAAACUCAAACUUCAGAGGCGCAUUUGGGGAUUCUAAAAUUGUCAAACCCGGAUACGGUGGGGAUAGACUGAUCCAAAAAUUUGGUUUGAUCGAUUUUGAUAUAUGCAACGUCAAAAUCGGAGUUCGUAUGCGAAAACUAUGGUUGUUUUACGAACGGACUCCGAAUUGGAAGACAAAACAGUCCGGAAGUGGCAAAAAUUUGCGGCGGUGGCUAGAAAUUGAUGGAAACGGUGGGAAAAAAUACACAAACUAGACUCAAACAAGACCUAACCAGUAACAAGACAUCGACCAGGACACAAACUCAACACUACGGACUCUGAAACUGAAAUAUGCAAAGGCUAUGGCGCGGAUGGGUUGUAGGACAUGAAAACAAUAUGGCACUGGACUUAUGGGAGGAACACAAGGACACUCGAAACUAAGGGUAGAUGUGAACCUAACGGUAUGUCUCAUGCUUUGAUUACCACUUGAGGAGAACAAGUGUGGCCCGAUCUUCCGAAAGGUUUAGGUAACUAUCGAUUUGGUGGAAACGAGACACAAAUCAAUCCAGCUUGCGAACAACACGAUUCGAAACACUACAAUUCAUUUUAUUUUUUUUAUAUUUUUCUUUUACUUAGGAGCAAUCAACAAGUAACCACAGGAAAUUUGAGCUUAAACAAGUGAAAGACUUGGCCUGUGGAAAUUUUUGAAAAUGGCGAAAAAUAUGAAAAAAACUUUUGGAGGUGAAAACUCAAACUACAGAUGCGAAUUUGGAGAUUCUAAAAUUUUCAAACCCGCACACUACGGGGAUAGACAGAUCCAAAAAUUUGGUUUGAUCGAUUUUGAUAUAUGGAACGUCAAAAUCGGAGUUCGUAUGCGAAAAUUAUGGCUGUUUUACGAACGGACUCCAAAUUAGAAGACAAAACGGUCCGGAAGUGGGAAAAAUUUGCGGCGGUGGCUAGAAAUUGAUGGAAACGGUGGGAAGAAGCACACAAAUUGGACUCUGACAAGACCUAACCAGUAACAAGACCUCGACUAGGACACAAACUCAACACUACGGACUCUGAAACUCAAAUAUGCAAAGGCUAUGGCACAGAUGGGUUGUAGGACAUGAAAACAAUAUGGCACUAGACUUAUGAGACGAACACAAGGACACUCGAAACUAAGGGUAGAUGUGAACCUAAUGGUAUGUCUCAUGCUUUGAUUACCACUUGAGGAGAACAAGUGUGGCCCGAUCUUGCGAAAGGUUCUGGUAACUAUCGAUUUGGUGGAAUCGAGACACAAAUCAAUCCAGCUUGCGAACCACACGAUUCGAAACCCUACAAUUAUUUUUAUUUUUUUAUAUUUUUCUUUUACUUAGGAGCACUCAAGAAGUAACCACAGGAAAUUUGAGCUUAAACAAGUGAAAGACGUGGCCUGUGGAAAUUUUUGAAAAUUGCGAAAAAUUUGAAAAAAACUUUUGGAGGUGAAAACUCAAACUUUAGAGGCGAAUUUGGGGAUUCUAAAAUUGUCAAACCCGCACACAACCAGGAUAGACUGAUCCAAAAAUUUGGUUUGAUCGAUUUUGAUAUAUGGAACGUCAAAAUCGGAGUUCGUAUGCGAAAAUUAUGGCUGUUUUACGAACGGACUCCGAAUAAGAAGACAAAACGGUCCGCAAGUGGGAAAAAUUUGCGGCGGUGGCUAGAAAUUGAUGAAAACGGUGGGAAAAAACACACAAACUGAACUCAAACAAGACCUAACCAGUAACAAGACCUCGACCAGGACACAAACUCAACACUACGGACAAAGGCUAUGGCGCGGAUGGGUUGUAGGACAUGAAAACAAUAUGGCACUAGACUUAUGGGACGAACACAAAGAUACUCGAAACUAAGGGUAGAUGUGAACCUAACGGUAUGUCUCAUGCUUUGAUUACCACUUGAGAAGAACAAGUGUGUCCCGAUCUUCCGAAAGGUUCCGGUAACUAUCGAUUUGGUGGAAACGAGACACAAAUCAAUCCAGCUUACGAACAACACGGUUUGAAACCCUGCAAUUCUUUUUAUUUUUUUUUGAUAUUUUGCUUUUACUUAGGAGCAUUCAAGAAGUAAGCACAGGAAAUUUGAGCUUAAACAAGUGAAAGACGUGGCUUGUGGAAUUUUUUGAAGAUUGCGAAAAAUAUAAAAAAAUUAGGAGGUGAAAACUCAAACUUCAGAGGCGAAUUUGGGGAUUCUAAAAUUACCGAACCUGCCUUUGGCUGAAAUAUGCAAAGACUAUGGUGCGGAUGGGUUGUAGGACAUGAAAACAAUAUGGCACUAGACUUAUGGGACGAACACAAGGACACUCGAAACUAAGGGUAGAUGUGAACCUAAUGGUAUGUCUCAUGCUUUGAUUACCACUUGAGGAGAACAAGUGUGGCCCGAUCUUCCGAAAGGUUCUGGUAAAUAUCGAUAUGGUGGAAACGAGACACAAAUCAAUCCAGCUUGCAAACAACACGAUUCGAAACCCUACAAUUCUUUUUAUUUUUUUAUAUUUUUCUUUUACUUAGGAGCACUCAAGAAGUAACCACAUGAAAUUUGAGCUUAAACAAGUGAAAGACGUGGCAUGUGGAAAUUUUUGAAAAUUACAAAAAAUAUGAAAAAAACUUUUAGAGGUGAAAACUCAAACUUCAGAGGCAAAUUUGGGGAUUCUAAAAUUGUCAAACCCGCACACGGCGGGGAUAAACUAAUCCAAAAAUUUGGUUUGAUCGAUUUGGAUAUAUGGAAAGAAAUUGAUGAAAACGGUGGGAAAAAACACACAAACUGGACUCAAACAAGACCUAACCAGUAACAAGACCUCGACCAGGACACAAACUCAACACUACGGACAAAGGCUAUGGCGCGAAUGGGUUGUAGGACAUGAAAACAAUAUGGCACUAGACUUAUGGGACGAACACAAAGACACUCGAAACUAAGGGUAGAUGUGAACCUAACGGUAUGUCUCAUGCUUUGAUUACCACUUGAGGAGAACAAGUGGUUCUGGUAACUAUCGAUUUGGUGGAAACGAGACACAAAUCAAUCCAGCUUGCGAACAACACGAUACGAAACCCUACAAUUCUUUUUAUUUUUUUAUAUUUUUCUUUUACUUAGGAGCACUCAAUAAGUAACCACAGGAAAUUUGAGCUUAAACAAGUGAAAGACGUGGCCUGUGGAAAUUUUUGAAAAUUGCGAAAAAUUUGAAAAAAGUUUUGGAGGUGAAAACUCAAACUUUAGAGGCGAAUUUGGGGAUUCUAAAAUUGUCAAACCCGCACGCAGCGGGGAUAGACUGAUCCAAAAAUUUGGUUUGAUCGAUUUUGAUAUAUGGAACGUCAAAAUCGGAGUUCGUAUGCGAAAAUUAUGGCUGUUUUACGAACGAACUCCGAAUUAGAAUACAAAACGGUCCGCAAGUGGGAAAAAUUUGCGGCGGUGGCUAGAAACUGAUGGAAACGGUGGGAAAAAACACACAAACUCGACUGAAACAAGACCUAACCAGUAACAAGACCUCAACCACGACACAAACUCAACACUACGGACAAAGGCUAUGGCGCGGAUGGGUUGUAGGACAUGAAAACAAUAUGCCACUAGACUUAUGGGAUGAACACAAGGACACUCGAAACUAAGGGUAGAUGUGAACCUAACGGUAUGUGUCAUGCUUUGAUUACCACUUGAGGAGAACAAGUGUGGCCCGAUCUUCCGAAAGGUUCUGGUAACUAUCGAUUUGGUGGAAUCGAGACACAAAUCAAUCCAGCUUGCGAACAACACGAUUCGAAACCCAACAAUUCUUUUUUAUUUUUUUUAUAUUUUUCUUUCACUUAGGAGCACUCAAGAAGUAACCAUAGGAAAUUUGAGCUUAAACAAGUGAAAGACGUGGCCUGUGGAAAUUUUUGGAAAUUGUGAAAAAUAUGAAAAAAACUUUUGGAGGUGAAAACUCAAACUUCAGAGGCGAAUUUGGGGAUUCUAAAAUUGUCAAACCCGUACACGGCGGGGAUAGACAGAUCCAAAAAUUUGGUUUGAUCGAUUUUGAUAUAUGGAACGUCAAAAUCGGAGUUCGUAUGCGGAAAUUAUGGCUGUUUUACGAACGGACUCUGAAUUAGAAGACAAAACGGUCCGGAAGUGGGAAAAAUUUGCGGCGGUGGCUAGAAAUUGAUGGAAACGGUGGGAAGAAGCACACAAAUUGGACUCUAACAAGACCUAACGAGUAACAAGACCUCGACUAGUACACAAACUCAACACUACGGACUGUGAAACUGAAAUAUGCAAAGGCUAUGGCGCGGAUGGGUUGUAGGACAUGAAAACAAUAUGGCACCAGACUUAUGGGACGAACACAAGGACACUCGAAAUUAAGGAUAGAUGUGAACCUAAUGGUAUGUAUAAAGCUUUGAUUACCACUUGAGGAGAAUAAGUGUGGCCCGAUCUUCCGAAAGGUUCUCAUAACUAUCGAUUUGGUGGAAACGAGACACAAAUCAAUCCAGCAUACGAACAACACGGUUUGAAACCCUGCAAUUCUUUUUAUUUAUUUUUUUUGAUAUUUUGCUUUUACUUAGGAGCACUCAAGAAGUAAGCACAGGAAAUUUGAGCUUAAACAAGUGAAAGACGUGGCUUGUGGAAUUUUUUGAAGAUUGCGAAAAAUAUAAAAAAAUUAGGAGGUGAAAACUCAAACUUCAGAGGCGAAUUUGGGGAUUCUAAAAUUACCGAACUAGCCUUUGGCUGAAAUAUGCGAAGGCUAUGGCGCGGAUGGGUUGUAGGACAUGAAAACAAUAUGCCACUAGACUUAUGGGACGAACACAAGGACACUCGAAACUAAGGGUAGAUGUGAACCUAAUGGUAUGUCUCAUGCUUUGAUUACCACUUGAGGAGAACAAGUGUGGCCUGAUCUUCCGAAAGGUUGUGGUAAAUAUCGAUCUGGUGGAAACGAGACACAAAACAAUCCAGCUUGCGGACAACACGAUUAAAAACCCUACAAUUCUUUUUAUUUUUUUAUAUUUUUCUUUUACUUAGGUGCACUCAAGAAGUAACCACAUGAAAUUUGAGCAUAAACAAGUGAAAGACGUGGCAUGUGGAAAUUUUUGAAAAUUACAAAAAAUAUGAAAAAAACUUUUAGAGGUGAAAACUCAAACUUCAGAGGCAAAUUUGGGGAUUCUAAAAUUGUCAAACCCGCACACGGCGAGGAUAGACUGAUCCAAAAAUUUGGUUUGAUCGAUUUGGAUAUAUGGAACGUCAAAAUCGGAGUUCGUAUGCAAAAAUUAUGGUUGUUUUACGAACGGACUCCGAAUAAGAAGACAAAACGGUCCGCAAGUGGGAAAAAUUUGCGGCGGUGGCUAGAAAUUGAUGAAAACGGUGGGAAAAAACACACAAACUGAACUCAAACAAGACCUAACCAGUAACAAGACCUCGACCAGGACACAAACUCAAAACUACGGACAAAGGCUAUGGCGCGGAUGGGUUGUAGGACAUGAAAACAAUAUGCCACUAGACUUAUGGGAUGAACACAAGGACACUCGAAACUAAGGGUAGAUGUGAACCUAACGGUAUGUCUCAUGCUUUGAUUACCACUUGAGGAGAACAAGUGUGGCCCGAUCUUCCGAAAGGUUCUGGUAACAAUCGAUUUGGUGGAAACGAGACACAAAUCAAUCCAGCUUGCAAACAACAUGAUUCGAAACCCUACAAUUCUUUUUAUUUUUUUAUAUUUUUCUUUUACUUAGGAGCACUCAAGAAGUAACCACAGGAAAUUGGAGCUUAAACAAGUGAAAGACGUGGCCUGUGGAAAUUUUUGAAAAUUGCGAAAAAUUUGAAAAAAACUUUUGGAGGUGAAAACUCAAACUUUAGAGGCGAAUUUGGGGAUUCUAAAAUUGUCAAACCCGCACACAGCGGGGAUAGACUGAUCCAAAAAUUUGGUUUGAUCGAUUUUGAUAUAUGGAACGUCAAAAUCGGAGUUCGUAUGCGAAAAUUAUGGCUGUUUUACGAACGAACUCCGAAUUAGAAUACAAAACGGUCCGCAAGUGGGAAAAAUUUGCGGCGGUGGCUAGAAAUUAAUGGAAACGGUGGGAAAAAACACACAAACUCGACUGAAACAAGACCUAACCAGUAACAAGACCUCGACCAGGACACAAACUCAACACUACGGACAAAGGCUAUGGCGCGGAUGGGUUGUAGGACAUGAAAACAAUAUGCCACUAGACUUAUGGGAUGAACACAAGGACACUCGAAACUAAGGGUAGAUGUGAACCUAACGGUAUGUGUCAUGCUUUGAUUACCACUUGAGGAGAACAAGUGUGGCCCGAUCUUCCGAAAGGUUCUGGUAACUAUCGAUUUGGUGGAAUCGAGACACAAAUCAAUCCAGCUUGCGAACAACACGAUUCGAAACCCAACAAUUCUUUUUUAUUUUUUUUAUAUUUUUCUUUCACUUAGGAGCACUCAAGAAGUAACCAUAGGAAAUUAGAGCUUAAACAAGUGAAAGACGUGGCCUGUGGAAAUUUUUGGAAAUUGUGAAAAAUAUGAAAAAAACUUUUGGAGGUGAAAACUCAAACUUCAGAGGCGAAUUUGGGGAUUCUAAAAUUGUCAAACCCGCACACGGCGGGGAUAGACAGAUCCAAAAAUUUGGUUUGAUCGAUUUUGAUAUAUGGAACGUCAAAAUCGGAGUUCGUAUGCGGAAAUUAUGGCUGUUUUACGAACGGACUCUGAAUUAGAAGACAAAACGGUCCGGAAGUGGAUAAAAUUUGCGGCGGUGGCUAGAAAUUGAUGGAAACGGUGGGAAGAAGCACACAAAUUGGACUCUAACAAGACCUAACGAGUAACAAGACCUCGACUAGUACACAAAUUCAACACUACGGACUGUGAAACUGAAAUAUGCAAAGGCUAUGGCGCGGAUGGGUUGUAGGACAUGAAAACAAUAUGCCACUAGACUUAUGGGACGAACACAAAGACACUCGAAACUAAGGGUAGAUGUGAACCUAACGGUAUGUCUCAUGCUUUGAUUACCACUUGAGGAGAACAAGUGUGGCCCGAUCUUCCGAAAGGUUCUCAUAACUAUCGAUUUGGUGGAAACGAGACACAAAUCAAUCCAGCUUACGAACAACACGGUUUGAAACCCUACAAUUCUUUUUUUUUUGAUAUUUUCCUUUUACUUAGGAGCACUCAAGAAGUAAGCACAGAAAAUUUGAGCUUAAACAAGUGAAAGACGUGGCUUGUGGAAUUUUUUGAAGAUUGCGAAAAAUAUAAAAAAAUUAGGAGGUGAAAACUCAAACUUCAGAGGCGAAUUUGGGGAUUCUAAAAUUACUGAACCUGCCUUUGGCUGAAAUAUGCGAAGGCUAUGGUGCGGAUGGGUUGUAGGACAUGAAAACAAUAUGGCACUAGACUUAUGGGACGAACACAAGGACACUCGAAACUAAGGGUAGAUGUGAACCUAAUGGUAUGUCUCAUGCUUUGAUUACCACUUGAGGAGAACAAGUGUGGCCCGAUCUUCCGAAAGGUUCUGGUAAAUAUCGAUCUGGUGGAAACGAGACACAAAUCAAUCCAGGUUGCAAACAACACGAUUCGAAACCCUACAAUUCUUUUUAUUUUUUUAUAUUUUUCUUUUACUUAGGAGCACUCAAGAAGUAACCACAUGAAAUUUGAGCUUAAACAAGUGAAAGACGUGGCAUGUGGAAAUUUUUGAAAAUUACAAAAAAUAUGAAAAAAACUUUUAGAGGUGAAAACUCAAACUUCAGAGGCAAAUUUGGGGACUAUAAAAUUGUCAAACCCACACACGGCGGGGAUAAACUGAUCCAAAAAUUUGGUUUGAUCGAUUUGGAUAUAUGGAACGUCAAAAUCGGAGUUCGUAUGCGAAAAUUAUGGUUGUUUUACGAACGGACUCCGAAUUAGAAGACAAAACGGUCCGCAAGUGGGAAAAAUUUGCGGCGGUGGCUAGAAAUUGAUGAAAACGGUGGGAAAAAACACACAAACUGGACUCAAACAAGACCUAACCAGUAACAAGACCUCGACCAGGACACAAACUCAACACUACGGACAAAGGCUAUGGCGCGGAUGGGUUGUAGGACAUGAAAACAAUAUGGCACUAGACUUAUGGGACGAACACAAAGACACUCGAAACUAAGGGUAGAUGUGAACCUAACGGUAUGUCUCAUGCUUUGAAUACCACUUGAGGAGAACAAGUGUGGCCCGAUCUUCCGAAAGGUUCUGGUAACUAUCGAUUUGGUGGAAACGAGACACAAAUCAAUCCAGCUUGCCAACAACACGAUUCGAAACCCUACAAUUCUUUUUAUUUUUUUAUAUUUUUCUUUUACUUAGGAGCACUCAAGAAGUAACCACAGGAAAUUGGAGCUUAAACAAGUGAAAGACGUGGCCUGUGGAAAUUUUUUAAAAUUGCGAAAAAUAUGAAAAAAAUUUUUGAGGUGAAAACUGAAACUUCAGAGAUGAAUUUGGGGAUUCAAAAAUUGUCAAACCCGCAUACGGCAGGGAUAGAUAGAUCCAAAAAUUUGUUCUGCUCGAUUUUGAUAUAUGGAACGUCAAAAUCGGAGUUCGUAUGCGAAAGUUAUGGCUGUUUUACGAACGGACUCCGAAUUAGAGGACAAAACGGUCCGGAAGUGGGAAAAUUUUGCGGUGGUGGCUAGAAAUUGAUGGAAACGGUGGGAAAAAACACAUAAAGUGGACUCAAACAAGACCUAACCAGUAACAAGACCUCGACCAGGACACAAACUCAACACUACAGACUCUGAAAUAUGCAAAAACUAUGGCGCGGAUGGUUUGUAGGACAUGAAAACAAUAUGGCACUAGACUUAUGGGAUGAACACAAGGACACUCGAAACUAAGGGUAGAUGUGAACCUAACGGUAUGUCUCAUCCUUUGAUUACCACUUGAGGAGAACAAGUGUGGCCCAAUCUUCCGAAAGGUUCUGGUAACCAUCGAUUUGGUGGAAACGAGACACAAAUCAAUCCAGCUUGCGAACAACACCAUUCGAAACCCUACAAUUCUUUUUAUUUUUUUUAUAUUUUUCUUUUACUUAGGAGCACUCAAGAAGUAACCAUAGGAAAUUUGAGCUUAAACAAGUGAAAGACGUGGCCUGUGAAAAUUUUUGAAAAUUGCGAAAAAUCUGAAAAAAAACUUUUGGAGGUGAAAACUCAAACUUCAGAGGUGAAUUUGGGGAUUCUAAAAUUGUCAAACCCGCAAACGUCGGGGAUAGACAGAUCCAAAAAUUUGGUUUGAUCGAUUUUGAUAUAUGGAACGUCAAAAUCAGAGUUCGUAUGCGAAAAUUAUGGCUGUUUUACGAACGGACUCUGAAUUAGAAGACAAAACGGUCCGGAAGUGGGAAAAAUUUGCGGCGGUGGCUAGAAAUUGAUGGAAACGGUGGGAAGAAGCACAAAAAUUGGACUCUAACAAGACCUAACGAGUAACAAGACCUCGACUAGGACACAAACUCAACACUACGGACUGUGAAACUGAAAUAUGCAAAGGCUAUGGCGCAGAUGGGUUGUAGGACAUGAAAACAAUAUGGCACCAGACUUAUGGGACGAACACAAGGACACUCGAAAUUAAGGGUAGAUGUGAACCUAAUGGUAUGUAUAAAGCUUUGAUUACCACUUGAGGAGAAUAAGUGUGGCCCCAUCUUCCGAAAGGUUCUCAUAACUAUCGAUUUAUUGGAAACGAGACACAAAUCAAUCCAGCUUACGAACAACACGGUUUGAAACCCUGCAAUUCUUUUUAUUUUUUUUGAUAUUUUGCUUUUACUUAGGAGCACUCUAGAAGUAAGCACAAGAAAUUUGAGCUUAAACAAGUGAAAGACGUGGCUUGUGGAAUUUUUUGAAGAUUGCGAAAAAUAUAAAAAAAUUAGGAGGUGAAAACUCAAACUUCAGAGGCGAAUUUGGGGAUUCUAAAAUUACCGAACCUGCCUUUGGCGGAGAUAGACAGAUCCGUUCUGAUCCAUUUUGAUAUAUGGAACGUCAAAAUCGGAGUUCGUAUGCGAAAGUUAUGGCUGUUUUACGAACGGACUCCGAAUUAGAGGACAAAACGGUCCGGAAGUGGGAAAAAUUUGUGGUGGUGGCUAGAAAUUGAUGGAAACGGUUGGAAAAAACACACAAACUGGACUCAAACAAGACCUAACCAGUAACAUGACCUCGACCAGGACACAAACUCAACACUACGGACUCUGAAACUGAAAUAUGCGAAGGCUAUGGCACGGAUGGGUUGUAGGACAUGAAAACAAUAUGGCACUAGACUUAUGGGAUGAACACAAGGACACUCGAAACUAAGGGUAGAUGUGAACCUAAUGGUAUGUCUCAUGCUUUGAUUACCACUUGCGGAGAACAAGUGUGGCCCGAUAUUUCGAAAGGUUCUGGUAAAUAUCGAUCAGUUGGAAACGAGACACAAAUCAAUCCAGCUUGCGAACAACACGAUUCGAAACCCUACAAUUCUUUUUAUUUUUUUUAUAUUUUUCUUUUACUUAGGAGCACUCGAGAAGUAACCACACAAAAUUUGAGCUUAAACAAGUGAAAGACGUGGUGAAAACUCAAAUUUUCAGAGGCCAAUUUGGGGAUUCUUUAUUUCUCGAACCCGCCUAUGGCAGGGAUAGACAGAUCCAGAAAAAAAUUCUGAUCGAUUUUGAUAUAUGGAACGUUAAAAUCGGAGUUCGUAUGCGAAAGUUAUGACUGUUUUACGAACGGAUUCCGAAUUAGAGGAGAAAACGGUGCGGAAGUGGGAAAAAUUUGCGGUGGUGGCUAGAAAUUGAUGGAAACGGUGGGAAAAAACACAGAAACUGGACCUAACCAGUAACAAGACCUCGACCAGGACACAAACUCAACACUACGGACUCUGAUACUAAAAUAUGCAAAGGCUAUGGCGCGGAUGGGUUGUACGACAUGAAAACAAUAUGGCACUAGACUUAUGGGACGAACACAAGGACACUCGAAACUAAGGGUAGAUGUGAACCUAACGGUAUGUUUGAUGCUUUGAUUACCACUUGAGGAGAACAAGUGUGGCCCGAUCUUCCGAAAGGUUCUGGUAACUAUUGAUUUACUGGAAACGAGACACAAAUCAAUCCAGCUUGCGAACAACACGAUUCGAAACCCUACCAUUCUUUUUAUUUUUUUGAUAUUUUUCUUUUACUUAGGAGCACUCAAGAAGUAACCAUAGGAUAUUUGAGGUUAAACAAGUGAAAGAUGUGGCAUGUGGAAUUUUUUGAAGAUUGCAAAAAAUAUGAAAAAAAACUUUAGGAGGUGAAAACUCAAACUUCAGAGGCGAAUUUGGGGAUUCUAAAAUUAUCAAACCUGCCCAUGGCGGGGAUAGAUAGAUCCAAAUUUUUUUUGAUCCAUUUUGAUAAAUGUAACGUUAAAAUCAGAGUUCGUAUGUGAAAGUUAUGGCUGUUUUACGAACGGACUCCGAGUUAGAGGACAAAAUGGUCCGAAAGUGGGUAAAAUUUGCGGCAGUGGCUAGAAAUUGAUGGAAACGGUGGGAAGAAACACACAAAUAGGACUCUAACAAGACUGUUGAUAGUCCUUAAGUAUCAAAUUUAAUUAUCAAAUAAACAAAGAAAAGGAUCCAAAUGAAAUCAACAUCUAGACUUAGGGUUUUAUCUGACAGAAUUCCACGAGUUUUGGUUUUUGUCUAUUUCUGCAGGGGGUUAUGAGGAAAUACGGAAGAAAGGCCCACACAUCGGGAUUACAUAGAGAUAUCAAUGUGCCGCACUAUUAUCUUACAUCUAUAAGACUCCAGAAGCCACGGGAAGGAAGCGGAGGCCGAACGGGGCCAGGCACUGGGCGCCCGCCCAGUUGACCUGGGCGCCCGCCCCCUCCUGGAGUCCAAACAGGACUCUCUUUUGGGAAAGAUCUCCAUCGACCUAAAGGAUCAAGGAUAACCGUUCAAUCUAUGUCGGUUUGAUCCAACGACCCAUAUUCACUUGAAGGGACUAUAAAACCAGACCCCCUGGCCCCUGGAGGAGAGAGCCUCUCAACCCUAAUUCAUUAUUCCUCAAGGGAGAAGAAGCCACUGAUCAAGAUUAGAGCCACCACAUCAAUUAGACAUCUAGAUUAGCAUAGCUACAUAGGAUUAGAACUAGAAGGAGUCAAUCUUUGAUUCGUUUCCGGAUCUGUCAAAAAGAUUCUUGGUAAUUCUCUAAUUGUGCUUCUAAUUGUUCUUCUAAUUAUCUUUGUUCUUCAAUAUUAUGAAUAUGACUUUGUUCUACUUCAAUAUAUUGCUUAUGACUUUGCUCUACUUGUUUAUAUUCAAGAUUAUAUUGUUCUUAGUUUAUCAUAGUUAUAUACUUGGCUUAGUUAGAUUGGAUCUGUAUAAAUGUUUAUGAUCCAUGGGUAAAUGAUAGAUAUUGUGUAGGCGUGGUGCUUAUACCGUAUUUAUCUACGAUUGUACCCAAUAUGACAGAUCGUGGGGUAGUUCGUGAUAGUUACAGCUUCAUUGAUUCUUAUAUAGUUCCCCUCUCGUGUAUAAUACAGGGGAGUGAUUGCUAUGUUUUUCAUUUACCUUGCAAAUAUCACUAUGCAUGGGCAUAGUCUUGUCUCGCAAUGAUUGCUAAGUAUGCUUGCACUAACUAUGAUAAUGCUAGACUAUAUAGUUGAGAAUAACUUAGGAAAUAUUCUUGUAGUUCGUUCUAAUACCAUGCUAAUGACUUUCUAGAGUAUCUAAUUGAGGUGCUUAUCAUAUUUAUAUGUGGCUAAGUUAUGCUGAUCAGAUUAAUUAUCUUUGUCACUAUUCAUUACUUCAUAUAUCUUUUAUGUGACACUUAUCCCUGUAUGAAAGAGUUAGAUAAAUGUUCUCAAUUAUACAUGCAAUGAUAGAUACUCAAUCUCAUAUUCCAUUCUGUAAUCAAUAUUGAUGAUUGUUAAUCCUUCCCAGUGGUAAAAAUAUAAAUAACGAUACCUGGACUACUUCCCGGUUAAAAUGCUACCUCGGUAUUAAUCUGUGCGCAUGCAGAUCCCAUUCAUUAUUUAUUUAGAAGAGCAAUUGCAUAUUUCAAUACCGCUCUCUUAUAUCAUGCUGGGGAUGACAGCUUGGCUUAAGUGGUAUGAGAGAUAGGUUUGGCAUUUUUGGCACCGUUAUCAGAAUUAGAAAACUAAGUCUACUUUUGGUAAUGAUGUUAAGAAUACCCAACAAGCAUUUUUGGCGCCGUUGCCGGGGAAGGUUGAUUACUAAUCAGGAAUGAAUUUAAGAUUUCGAGUUAUCAUUCGCAUCACUAAUAUGAUUGAGCUUAUCAAUUCUCUCAUACAGUUUUACCCCGAUAUUUUCUAUUUUAUCUUAUGCAGGGGAAUGUAUGAAUAGAAGACAUCUUCCAGGAAAUUUUGUUGAUAAUCCCGAAGCCUUAUUCAGAAAAAACUAGAGCCAAGCUCAAGAAGAGAUCAUCAACACUACAGCAAGAAGCUUCAUCCAAUCAAGAAGAUCACCGGAACUUGUCUUCAGAGUUCGAAGCCAUGGCGAACAAAUCAAUCUGCGAGUUCUCAGCUCCCACUACGGACAACAUCCGCACUGGACCUGCUGCAGAGAUCGAUGGCAACUUUGAGCUCAAGCCUAGACUUAUCAACAUGGUGCAAUCCAACCAGUUCUGUGGGAAGGCACACGAAGAUGCUAGUGCUCAUCUCCAACACUUCCUGGAGAUAUGCAGCACAUUUACCAUAUCAGGAGUUUCCAGAGAUGCUAUACUACUUCGCAUCUUCCCAUUCUCACUGUUAGGAAGAGCGAAGCAGUGGUUUUACGCUACAAAGGAGAAGAAUACUACAUGGGCACUCUGCUCAACAAACUUCCUGGCUAAGUUCUUUCCCAUGGGCAAGACCAAUGCUCUUCGUGGGAAGAUUACAAGUUUUCAGCAACAAAAUGAUGAAUCCGUUCCAGAAGCAUGGGAGCGCUUCCAAGACUACAUCCUAGAAUGUCCCCAUCAUGGAAUGGAGAGUUGGCUACUGAUGCAAACAUUUUAUCAUGGGCUCGGCAACAGUGCCCGAGAGACCAUGGAUGCUGCAGCUGGAGGAGCAUUCCUAUCACUUACCAUAUCACAAGCCACAGCUCUUGUGGAGAAGAUGGCGUCCAACCAAAGCUGGAAUGAAGAAAGGACCCAGACACGCAAGAGAGGUGGAGGUAUGCAUCAGCUCAAGGAGGUAGACAUGCUAUCUGCAAAGCUAGACCUGCUCAUGAAGAAGCUCGAUGAUAGAGCUGGAGAUAAGAAAGAAGUUAUGCACAUCUACGACUCUCACAUGACUUGUGAGGAGUGUGGAGACACUAGGCACUCAGGCAAUCACUGCCCUGAGAUGCUUGAGGAUGUGAAUUACAUCAUCAUCAUCAUCAACAACAACAACAACAACUACAACCGUCCUCAACAAAAUCAAGGUUCGAAUCAACAGAGGCCUAACUACUCAGGUAAUUAUCAAGGUAACAAUUCUUACAACAAUAAUAAUAAUUUUCCACCUCUGAGAGAGUUAGUGUCUAAUCAAGGAAAGCUAAUGGACAACCUGUCUAAGAAAUUGGCAUCUAAUGAUAAAAUGCUGGAAAAUAUAAAUAAUAGAAUGGAUAAUUUCUCUACUGCCAUCAAGAAUCAAAUUAGCUUUAAUAAAAUGAUUGAAUCUCAGUUAAAUCAAAUAGCUGCUGCUAUUCCUACUACUAACCUCGGUAUACCAUCACAAUCGGAAGGAUUAGAACCUGCAAAUCUUGUAGACAUGUUUGAUGCAGGUAGUAACUGGAGUAACCCCGUCACUGAGUUCACUACUGACCUUCUGCUGGUCAAGAGAGGCGAUCCAGGACGCCCCGUCAUCCCGAUCUCCAUCGGCAUGGUGGACGUCCCAGAAGCACUCUGCGACUUUGGCUCUAGCGUCAACAUUAUACCCAGAGUACUCUAUGAAAAAUUCUACACAUAUCCUUUAUUAUAGACAACCAUGUGUUUGUAGUUUGCAGAUCGGGCAUUAAGUUUUCCAAAAGGAAUAUUGAAGAACCUUUGCGUUCGAGUUGGUACCUUAUAUGCCCCAGCAGACUUCAUGGUGAUAGAGACCGGUAAUGAUGAAAGGGCACCCAUCAUCUUAGGGAGGCCAUUCUUAAACACCUCAGGAGCUGUCAUCUACGCUAGUGCUGCCAAGAUUAGUUUCUACAUUAAAGGGAGGAAGGAGACAUUUUCCUUCAAGAACAAGACUACACAAAUCCCAGAUCAAUCUAGAUGUGAAUCAAGGAAGAGGACCAACAGGAGGAACAGGAACAAGCAAGUGUGGACCGAGUCAGCCAAGAUGGUCACUGCAAUUCAAGGAGGUCAAGAUCAUCAAAUUAAGUCACUGUUUUUGACCAAGAAGGACGACCCAGGAAUGCCAAGCAUCUAUUGCUCCAUAAAUGGAUACAACUUCUACAAGACGACUUGCGACACCGGAUCGAGCGUCAACAUAAUGGCCGCAGUCACCUAUCGGCUCUUUUUCGGAACCAUGCCAUUAAAACCAACAUACAUUCAACUCCAGAUGGCAGAUCAGACAUUUCGAGAAGUUAAAGGAACAGUAACUGAUGUCCCUGUCAAAAUAGACGAUCAUUUUGUCUACACAGACUUUCAGGUUAUUGACAUGGGAGAAGACGAGUACGAUCCACCCAUCAUCCUUGGAAGACCGUUCCUCAGCACCGUUAAAGCAAUCAUCUACAUUGGAACCAGAGAAGUCCAUAUGCACUUCCCCUGAGAGAAGGUACGCCGCUAUUUUACUGACCCUAACUAUAUCGUUGAAGACUCUAAGCAGGUCAGAAAACGACGCAAUCGCAACCAGAGGAGGGAAAUCAUCAAGGACGGAUGGGCAGACUAUGAAGGAGAAGUUGUAAGGUCAGAAGACGUACAGUUUAAACAGAAUUAUCCUGAGGAGACCGUAGCACCGAGUCAGGUGUGGAAAGAAAAGAUAACUAUACAUGAAGAAGAGGCGCCGCCAGAAGUACCGACUACGCCACCCAACGAAUCCCAGGACAAUUGAGAAAACGGAGAGUCCCGUUCGGAGGACUUAAAAACACUGAACGCCUUGCCAAGAGGUAAACUUGGUAGUUAUCCUUUUCCUUUCAAUUAUUUUAAAAUAGUUUGCUUAGUUAAUUAUGUUAAUACCAUCCUAAAAAGAAAAUAAAAAUGUUAAAAAACAGUAAGCCCCAUGUGAGUAUAUGAGUGGCAUGAAACCUAUAAGUACAUUCACUGUGGUGGCAUAAAAAUUAAAAUAAAUAUUUCUUUUCUGCUUUAUAAAAUGAAAAUAUAAAAAAGGGAGUAAUAUUUAUUAAGGAGCCUCAACAUGAUAAAGGCUAGAUAUUUAUGCUAACACUUAAUCAGUUCCACAAAGCUUUGUUGUCUAUUUGAGCUCCACAGAAUUUAAGAAUCGGGAAGACUAGCAGACGGAGGACAUUCUAAUCGCUGUCAAGAUACUGCCGACUUUCAAAUACACCUCUGCCACCUGCUAGCUACAUCAAGAGAAAUUACAUCAAAAUUCAGCUUGGGGGAGAGCACCCCCAUUUAUCUCGCUAAGUAUUUCUAACUAUCUUUAUACUUAUAUUAUAUGAAAAUAUAAAUAUACAUAGUUAUGGAAAACCAAAUAAAGAUUUUAUGCUUAUAUAUAUAUAGCUUUUGCUUAGUGUGUUUAAUAAAUAAAUAAAGUGGCUAUGCUAAUCUGAAUCUUAAUAAUAAAACUCUAGCAUGGGUAUAAUGAAUAGUUGCUCUGCCUAAUUUUUAAAAUUUUGAAGUUCUCUCUCAAGUUUAGACAUAAUUGUUAUAAUUUAAAUCUUGCUCUAAACCUAAACUUGUGGGAAGAAAACUUGAUCUGAAGUCUAAGUUGUUAACAGAUAUGAUAUGGGAAGGUUGAGCUGCUGUUUCUGUUCCUAGAAAUGCUAGAAUUCUGGAGAAUUUUAUCUUUGAAAAAUCUUUAAAAUAUUGCAUGAUGAGUUCCUGUAUGAUGAGAGUUUAAAUUCCUACCACAGCCAUAUAUACAUGCUUGCUAGACUUUGAGCCACACAUUUACUUUUUACUGCUUAUGAGCAUUGAGUGUGGUCAAGCUGUUUAGACCCUUAGGAACUUGUCAUGUGGUUUAAAUCAAGAUUCACUUGCACGUUCACUCACAUAUGCUACUUCUACUCCGGAAGUACCAUCCACAUAUAUCCAGUCAUUUCCUUCUCCAUAACCACCCAAAAACACUCUACUCCUAAUCCGGGAGAGAAUAGCCAAAAACAUUUCUGUUUUCCCCUGUGAAAUAAAUGCUCAAAUUAUCUUGUUACUACCACUUGCUAUAUUAUCUCAAGAGAUGAGUGCUCUAAAAAGAGAAAAGAAAAGAUACGAGGAAAUAAAAAGGGGCAAGUGCCCGGAACCUCGAAAGAAAAGAAAAGUGAGACGAGAGGUAACAAUGGAUAAGUGUCUGACAGUAGAAUUAGGGGUACAAGAUACCUACCUGAGAGGAAAGAAAAAGAAAAAUAUAAAGCAUCUCAUUCUCCUCACAAAGUUUCAAAAAGCAAGGAAGGUAUGUAUCCCCUCAAAGAGCAAAAGUAGAAUUAGACUUUCACCAUUGUUAUCACCAUCAUCACCAUACACCAUUCAUUCACCACACAUGCACAUCUUGAUUUGACUUAUUGAUUUGUUUCUUUGGAUCCAUGGUUUGACUAUGUAAUAAAUGUCUUGUAAGUAUGUAUACUUUAUCUCCCACCUAUGAGCUCCAGAUAUCAAAAGCCUUAUUAGAGUAGGGUGAGAGAGAAGGCAAUGUCACUAUGCUUUAUACUACAAAUACCACAUAUUUGGAGAGAAGGCAUAUACCAUCACUGCCUUGGUAAGGAUCCAGAAAUACUACAAAAGAGAGUUAUGAGAGAGUCAUACAAGGAAUCUCUGAGUUUUAUUUGAAAAUCUGCAAAAACUCCAGAGCUAUAGCUGAUCAAGAAUAAGAGACAUGGCACUUGACUAGACUGUUCUAUCUUUUAACUACUCAAGACAGAAGAGACGAUUACAAGUCCCAUGGUGAAAGGUAAAGUAAGUAAGUUUUAAGUCUUGACAGUUUACUCUAACUCAGAGAUGGGAUCUUAUUUAGAAGCAUGUGUACCGACAACUUUUAAAGAUAUUGCAACAACUUCUGAUCCAUCACUGAGUCUAUCCUUGCUCAGGGACGAGCAAGAGGUAAGCAUGGGGGAGUUUGUUGACGGUCCUUAAGUAUCAAAUUUAAUUAUCAAAUAAACAAAGAAAAGGUUCCAAAUGAAAUCAACAUCUAGACUUAGGUUUUAUCUGACAGAAUUCCACGAGUUUUGGUGUUUGUCUAUUUCUGCAGGGGGUUAUCAGGAAAUACGGAAGAAAGGCCCACACGUCGGGAUUACAUAGAGAUAUCAAUGUGCCGCACAAUUAGCUUACAUCUAGAAGACUACAGAAGCCACGGGAAGGAAGCGGAGGCCGAACGGGGCCAGGCACUGGGCGCCCGCCCAGUUGACCUGGGCGCCCGCCCCUCCUGGAGUCCAAACAGGACUCUCUUUCGGGAAAGAUCUCCACCGACCCAUGUUCAAGGAUAACUGUUCAAUCUAUCUCGGUUUGAUCCAACGGCCCAUAUUCACUUGAAGGGACUAUAAAACCAGACCCCCUAGCCCCUGGAGGAGAGAGCCUCUUAACCCUAAUUCAUUAUUCCUCAAGGGAGAAGAAGCCUCUGAUCAAGAUUAGAGCCACCACAUCAAUUAGACAUCUAGAUUAGCAUAGCUACAUAGGAUUAGAACUAGAAGGAGUCAAUCUUCGAUUGGUUUCCGGAUCUAUCAAGAGGAUUCUUGGUAAUUCUCUAAUUGUGCUUCUAAUUGUUCUUCUAAUUAUCUUUGUUCUUCAAUAUUAUGAAUAUGACUUUGUUCUACUUCAAUAUAUUGCUUAUGACUUUGCUCUACUUGUUUAUAUUCAAGAUUAUAUUGUUCUUAGUUUAUCAUAGUUAUAUACUUGGCUUAGUUAGAUUGGAUCUAUAUACAUGUUUAGGAUCCAUGGGUAAAUGAUAGAUAUUGUGUAGGCGUGGUGCUUAUACCGUAUUUAUCUGCGAUUGUACCCAAUAUGCCAGAUCGUGGGGUAGUUCGUGCUAGUGACAGCUUCAUUGAUUCUUAUAUAGUCCCCCUCUCGUGUAUUGGGCUGGCAGAGCAACAUUAUUACAAGAGAGUGAUUGCUAUGUUUCUCAUUUACCUUGCUAAUAUCACUAUGCAUGGGCGUAGUCUUGUCUCGCAAUGAUUGCUAAGUAUGCUUGCACUAACUAUGAUAAUGCUAGACUAUAUAGUUGAGAAUAACUUAGGAAAUAUUCUUGUAGUUCGUUCUAAUACCAUGCUAAUGACUUUCUAGAGUAUCUAAUUGAGGUGCUUACCAUAUUUAUAUGUGGCUAAGUUAUGCUGAUCAGAUUAAUUAUCUUUGUCACUAUUCAUUACUUCAUAUAUCUUUUAUGUGACACUUAUCCCUGUAUGAAAGAGUUAGAUAAAUGUUCUCAAUUAUACAUGCAAUGAUAGAUACUCAAUCUCAUAUUCCAUUCUAUAAUCAAUAUUGAUGAUUGUUAAUCCCUUCCCAGUGGUAAAAAUAUAAAUAACGAUACCUGGAAUACUUCCCAGUUAAAAUGCUACAUCGGUAUUAAUCUGUGUGCUUGCAGAUCCCAUUCAUUAUUUAUUUAGAAGAGCAAUUGCAUAUUUCAAUACCGCGUCUCUUAUGUCAUGAUGGGGAUGACAACUUGGCUUAAGUGGUAUGAGAGAUAGGUUUGGCAUUUUUGGCACCGUUAUCAGAAUUAGAAAACUGAGUCUACUUUUGGUAAUGAUGUUAAGAAUACCCAACAAAAACCUAACCAGUAACAAGACCUCGAUCAGGACACAAACUCAACACUACGGACUCUGAAACUAAAAUAUGCAAAAGCUAUGGCGCGGAUGGGUUGUAGGACAUGAAAACAAUAUGGCACUAGACUUAUGGGACGAACACAAGGACACUCGAAACUAAGGGCAGAUGUGAACCUAAUAGUAUGUCUGAAGCUUUGAUUACCACUUGAGGAGAACAAGUUUGGCCCGAUCUUCUAAAAGGUUCUGGUAACUAUCGAUUUGGUGGAAACGAGACACAAAUCAAUCCAGCUUGCAAACAACAUGAUUCGAAACCCUACAAUUCUUUUUAUUUUUUUUUAUAUUCUUCUUUAUUUAGGAGCACUCAAGAAGUAACCACAGGAGAUUUGAGCUUAAAACAAAGAAAGACGUGGCCUGUGGAAUUUUUUGAAGAUUGCGAAAAAUAUGAAAAUAAAGUUUAGGAGGUGAAAACUCAAAUUUUCUGAGGCGAGUUUGGGAAUUCAAAUUUGUCAAACCCGCCUAAGGCGGGGAUAGACAGAUCCAAAAUUUUUUUCUAAUCUAUUUUGAUAUAUGGAAUGUCAAAAUCGGAGUUCGUAUGCGAAAGUUAUGGCUGUUUUACGAACAGACUCUGAAUUAGAGGACAAAACGGUGCGGAAGUGGGAAAAAAUUUGCGGCGGUGGCUAGAAAUUGAUGGAGACAGUGGGAAGAAACACACAAAUUGGACUCUAACAAGACCUAACCAGUAACAAGACCUCGACCAGGACACAAACUCAACACUACGGAUCUGAAACUGAAAUAUGCAAAGGCUAUGGCGCGGAUGGGUUGUAGGACAUGAAAACAAUAUGACACUAGACUUAUGGGACAAACACAAGGACACUCAAAACUAAGGGUAGAUGUGAACCUAACGGUACGUCUGAUGCUUUGAUUACCACUUGAGGAGAACAAGUGUGGCCCGAUCUUCCAAAAGGUUCCGGUAACUAUCGAUUUGGUGGAAACGAGACACAAAUCAAUCCAGCUUGAGAACAACACGAUUCAAAACCCUACAAUUCUUUUUAUUUUUUUCUGAUAUUUUUCUUUUACUUAGGAGCACUCAAGAAGUAACCAAAGGAAAUGAGCUUAAACAAGUGAAAGAUGUGGCUUGUGGAAUUUUUUGAAGAUUGCAAAAAAUAUGAAAAAAAAACUUUAGGAGGUGAAAACUCAAACUUCAGAGGCGAAUUUGGGGAUUCUAAAAUUGUCGAACCCGCCCGUGACAGGGAUAGACAGAUCCAAAUUUUUUUUGAUCGAUUUUGAUAUACGGAACGUAAAAAUUGGAGUUCUUAUGUGAAAGUUAUGGCUGUUUUACGAACGGACUCCGAAUUAGAGGACAAAACGGUCCGGAAGUGAGAAACAUUUGUGGCGGUGGAUAGAAAUUGAUGGAAAUGGUGGGAAGAAACACACAAAUUGGACUCUAACAAGACCUAACCAGUAACAAGACCUCGACCAGGACACAGACUCAACACUACGGUCUCUGAAACUGAAAUAUGCAAAGGCUAUGCCGCGGAUGGGUUGUAGGACAUGAAAACAAUAUGGCACUAGACUUAUAGGGCGAACACAAGGACACUCGAAACUAAAGGUAGAUGUGAACCUAACGGUAUGCCUGAAGCUUUGACGUGGCCCGAUCUUCUGAAAGGUUCUGCUAACUAUCGAUUUGGUAGAAACGAGACACAAAUGAAUCCAGCUUGUGAACAACACGAUUCGAAACCCUACAAUUCUUUUUAUUUUUUUAUAUUUUUAUUUUACUUAGGAGCACUCAAGAAGUAACCACAGGAAAUUUGAGCUUAAACAAGUGAAAGACGUGGCCUGUGGAAUUUUUUGAAGAUUGCGAAAAGUAUGAAAAAAAACUUUAAGAGGUGAAAACCCAAACUUCAGAGGUGAAUUUGGGGAUUCCAAAAUUGUCGAACCCGCCUAUGGUGGAGACAGACAGAUCCAAAAAAAAUUUUCUGAUCGAUUUUGAUAUAUAGAAUGUAAAAAUCGGAGUUCAUAUGCGAAAGUUAUGGCUGUUUUACGAACGGACUCUGAAUUAGAGGAAAAAAUGGUCUGGAAGUGGGAAAAAUUUGCGGCGGUGGCUAGAAAUUGAUGGAAACGUGUCAACGAAAGCUAGUCGGCAGUCUACCUUGGGGUAUACCCACGGUAGUAGUUUAUCGGUAGACGGUGCGCAAGCUACGAACUUGAUGGUGACGCAAGACACGGACAAGGUUUUUAUCUUGGUUCGGCCGCCGUGAGGGCGUAAUACCUACGUCCUGCGUCUGAUUGUAUUGGAUUGUGUUGAGAGAAUAAUCUAUCCUAAGGGGGGUCCCUUGCCCUCCUUAUAUAGUCCGGAGGGCAGGGUUACAGAUCUAGAAACCAAUCCUAGUCGGUUACAAUUGCCAUAGAUAGUACGAUAUCAAUUCCUAUUCUAACCCACCAGAAUCCGGCUUGAUCUCCACGUCCUGUUUCCUUGCGCAAAACUCCAAGCAGUUGGAUCAAGCCUCGAACUGUCCUCGUGAUGGGCCAAGCCUUCUGGCCCAAGACUAGCCGUAAGGGUAUAAGGGUUUAUACCCCCACAGCUAGUCCCCGAGCACCAUGUAUUAUGAUGUUACACGUCGUCUUGAGCUUCUUCGAUCAGUGAGGCUUGACGUCUUCAAUAGGAAGGAAAGUCGCCAAAUAGUUGCAACGGUAUUUUGACCAACUCAAAAGACAGUUGAUCAACAUUGACAUCGAAGAAGCAGGUUUUUCGAAGAAUGCAUGGUGCUCUAAAUUAAAAAAGAUUUAUUUCCUAGUGAAGUGUGCCCACUUUACUUUUCUGAAAAGUAUAGACCUCAAAAAAGCAAGCAUAUUCACCGCAAGGUGAAGUGUGCCCACUUAGUCUCCGAGCCUGAUAGUAGGUGGCGUAGACACAUGGUGCCAGGUUCAAAAAGAUCUUCAUAGAAAUUUCAAAACUGUGAUGCAUCGCGAGAUGCAUCGUACCGAUGUAGUCCUUGAGCUUGCUGGAAAGCGAAGCAUGAACCUUGUAGCAAGGUCUAAAAAUUAAAUUUACCAGUCCCUGAGCAUAUUAGGUACGUCUGCGAAUAGACUAAUCGACCAGUCCCCUUACUCUUCAAAUUUGUGUGCUGAUCAACCAGUCCCCGAGCAUACAGUGCUCGGUGGUCGGUACAGUCCCCAUGACUUCAAAUUGAUGGGCUGGUCGACCAGUCCCCGAGCGUACUGUGCUCGGUGGUCGGUACAAUCCCCAGGACUUCAAAUUGAUGGGCUGGUCGACCAGUCCACGAGCGUACUGUGCUUGGUGGUCGGUACAAUCCCCAGGACUUCAAAUUGAUGGGCUGGUCGACCAGUCCCCGAGCGUACUGUGCUCGGUGGUCGGUAUAGGCCCCAGGUGUGUUACGCGUAAUCCUCCACCAAUUAUAUUUGUCUUUUGGAAAAAGUAUCCUGCCACAUUAAUGUGUGAUGUGACAAGACACCCUGACCUAUUGCCAAAUAGUUGCGUGAAAAGGUGCGCCGGGUAACUGUGCAGCCGCUCUUUGCGUUGUUCAAGAAAAAGAAACCAUCAAUUAUAUAGGAAAGCCCCCGUAUUAACUGCCGGUAAUUAUUGAAAACCGAAACGCCGCAUCCGCCGCAGGAGCCGCCCACUUCCCAAGAAUGUGGGAAAUGGAAGAGGUGGAGCCGUUGCCUAUAAAGACUCUACACCACGCCCGUAAUCUUUUACCCUGCCUUGGCCUUCAAACCUUCUAUCCUUGCCAUUUCUGCCUUCUGCAACCUCCAUCUCUAAUCGUCCAACUCACAAUCGCUUCCGCAGCGUCCAUGGCUAAGAGUGACUCGAAGAAGAGGGUUUAACUGAUGGCAAAGGAGUGGAAGAAGUCCCGGAGCAGCACGAGGUCACUCAACGACCUCGUCGGAAUGGGGCUACUUCACAGUCAAGAACUCUAUGGCUGGAGGUCGCCGGAAGGGCAAAGCUACCCCGACCCUCGUGCCGGUGAGAUUGUAGUUUUUGAAGAUUUUUUCAAGAGGGGCUUUGGGAUUCCUGUCCACCCUUUCCUCCAGGGUCUUCUUCUUUACUAUGAGGUCGGGAUCUGCAAUCUGCACCCGAACUCAAUUCUUCAUUUCUCCACCUUUAUUCAUCUGUGCGAGGCCAAUGUUAGAAUAGAGCCGCACUUCGACCUCUUUCGUUACCUUUUUUGUCUGUGGAAGGAAGGAGCAGUUGGAGGCUCCAAGAUUGCAGGUGGAGUAUACCUCAAUCUUCGUGAUGGGAUGAAGAACCGGUAGCUCAACUGCCCAUGGAACACUUCCCUCACUGAAUGGUACAAGAAGUGGUUCUAUAUCAGGGAAGAGCCGGGCAGCUCCACGUUCUGUGACAUGGGCUACAUCCCCGAGAAGAGGGUCAGCUGGACGGACCACCCGGACUUCACUAGUCAGGUGACCGACCCGAUGAAACUGAUCAACUAGUCCCGCUUAGACGGGCCAGGAGUGGUCGGUAACUUUAUUUGUCGUCGGGUGAUGCCCUGCCAGAGGAGGGUACACUCGGCAUACGAGUACGCGGGGAGCCAGGACCCGACCAGGAUGAGCCCUGAUGGUCUAGAGAAGGCAGAGGUGCAGCAGCUGAUGAACGAGUUGUUCAACUUUACAGACGACAACUUCGUUCGAAGCAGUGAUCGUAUGCAUGCCUUCAAGCUAGGGCGACCAGCUCCUAAGGUAAAUAAAUAAUGUUUUUGACUAGUAUUGCUUGUUGAGUACUUGGCCUCCGAAUUGAUGACUUGUCGUUGAUUCUUCUGCAGAUUGGAGACGUUGACCGGUGCGUAGUGUACGUGUCACUGGCACCUGGUAUGGAAAAUCCUGCGGGGAUGGACCCGCUAGAGGAUGACGCUGUCCCGCCCCGACCACCGAGGAUAGGGUAGCGGGGAAAUGGCCACUGGUAGUGGAUCAGUUCCCUACGGAGGCGUUGCCGGCAGAGAGCAGCCAAGCACCGAAGCGUCGUCGGCUAGUCAGGAUCGCCGACAACGAGGAGGAGGAGGAGGCGGCACCCUCUUUGGUUCAAAGGCCGCGCACUCGUCUGGACGUUGCGCCGGUCACCACUGGUCGGAUGACCAGCGAUCCUCCUACCCCACACGCCGAGCCGACGCGUGUUGGAGAGACAAGGGCAGCGGUGGCGACCGGUAGGACCAGGAGGAGGUUCUUUACAGCGACGCACAGGCGCUUCGAUCUGUAAGUUGUCUAAUCUUAAUUUCACACUUCGAUAUAUUUUGCGUUUUGCUGCUGCUACUUCUGACAUUGGUUAAAUGUCGCAUUUUUGUUAGCGCGGCGUCGGACGUUGACCCUGACAACAUUGCUAGCCGGGGGACGGCCAAGCCCGUGGUUGUCGUUGAAGAUACCGCGCCGCAGACUCCCAGGAGCAUGCCGAGGAGCAGCCCACGGUGGGGACCGUGGCGGAGACUGCCGAGGAGCACCCAGCUCCGGUGAGGACUGGAGCGGGCACCCCUACGAGGGAUGGAGAGUCUACGAGGACGCCUCCCCCACGCAGUGUUGCAGAGGAGGACGGAGCUCCAACUCCCCCGCCUGCUGAAGAAGGGAAGGUCCCAACCCCACCCCGAGCAGAGGCCUCAUCACCAAAGGACACCCCUGGCCUGGACCAGGGUCCAGUGAUGGCUGCGACCACGGCUGGGGGUAGUGCGGAGGGUGAAGGGACCCAAGCGGCCUCCGACGAUGAAGUGGAGGAGAUCUAGGGUCCCCCAAGAUGGUCGCCAACACGUUUACAUAUGGCGCCAACGCGGGGACCAUUUCAUUGGUCAUGAAGAACUCGCGGAGACGGAGGAGGCCGCGAGGGUGGAGCGCGCAGCCAAGUGACUUGUUGACGAGGUUAAGGUAAGUGGUCUUUUGCGCUACUCGAAAUGUAUAUGCAGCGUCUCUAGCUUCAAUAUACAUUCUUCCUGUAGGGCGCAAUGAAAACGGUGAAGUACCGGAAGAGGUGCUUCGACCAAAUUGAAGGAAUCGUGGCCGAGAAUAAGACAUUAGACACGGAAGUAGACCGUCUUCGGUCGGAGGCCGAGGAGAAGACGGCCGAGAUGGGUGCUCAGGAAGAGCGCCUGCUCGAUCUCAAUCGGCAAAUAGCCGACAAGGAUCGGGAAAGAAAAGGUUAGUCAUGUAUUCCGAGCAGUUUUAUAACUGCAUAGUCAUUUUUAUUGACCAGAAAUUGCCCCUGCAGACUUGGAGGAGGAGGUUGCACGCCUCCGACAAGAGAGAGAGAAGCUCGACCAGAAGCUUGCCGGGGCGCUGGAGACCGGGCGCCGAGCUGGCGAGGAGCUAAGCAACAAGAGUCGGGAGUUGUCCGGUAAGAACCGUGCUAUCCCUUUUUUCUUUGAUUGCUCAACUUUCCGUUUCUUGUUUGUAUACUGACCUCCCGCUUGGUUUAUAGUGCUCAAAGUAAAUACCAAGAAGCACUUCGACGAGCUGAUCAAGGACCGGGACUCCUAGAAGGCCAACUGCAUCAAACUUUGGAAAGGAGUGGCCCCGGUUCUUGAUUUGAUCAGCCCUGAGCUCCCUGAAGACCAGCCCCGCGCACCGAAGUUGACUCCGGUCGAGAAGGCGCAACGGGUGUGGGACUGGCUCCAGCAGUUUGUCAAGGACGCCGGGGAGUUCGCCGGUGCGCAUGUCCUCAGCAUGGUGCGCACCCACUACCCUCUGGUCGACUUGUCCAUACUGGAGAGGGGGUACCCCAAGGAGGUUGGUCCGCAGGAUGCAGACGACCUUCGUGUUGGUCUGCUUGACCUGUCGUCGACGGUGAUCGGCAACAUCAACCUCUGCGGGACGGCCACUCCCCCCGACCAGCCAGGGUCAGACAGAUUGGCCAGGGAGUUGUCGGGAGCGUCCCUUGCUGGAGAUGGGCGAUCAACGCCUGCGGUCUCGACCAGCCAGGCGCCGGUAGCCCCGACCCCUUCGACUGGGCAGCAAGGCCAAGCGGGUGAUCAGCCCGAGCAGUAGGCCUGUAGAGUAGUCUGUAGCAAUAGACUAGGGACCGCCCAGAGGGGUGUUUAUUGUAAAAUUUGUAUAUAAAGUUUGUAAUAAAGAUUGAUUUGUUGUAACCAUGGUUGUGAGCGCUGUAAUGUUGUCUGAGUGAUGUAUCACUGAAUUGGGUUAAUAAUCCUUAAGGAUUUUGAUCCCGGAGGGAGAUUGUUGUACUUGUCGAAAGCUCUACGUAAAAAAGUAUAUAGCGAAGAAGAGAAAAUUUUAUUAUUGAUAAUCAUAAGAAAUUUACAAACAAAAGGUACUGGAACUUAUGGAUAGAAACGGCGCAGGUUGUCUAUGUGCCAAGAAUUAGGCAGGCGUGUUCCGUCUGGGUACGCCAGUCUGUAAGAUGUAGGGCGUGUGACUUCGGCGACCACGAAGGGUCCUUCCCAAGGCGUGGAUAACUUGUGCGUUCCUUCCUAGCUUGUUUUCCACUUGAGUACCAGAUCACCGACCACGAAGGAGCGGUCUUUGACGUUCCUGUUGUGAUACCGCCUAAUGGCCUCGAGAUACUUUGCUGUUCGAAGGCAUGAGAUUAGGCGUCUUUCCUCCAUGCAGUUGAUUUCGAGCUCCCUGGCGAUGUCAGCCGAAGACUGGUCGAAAUUUUCGACUCUUGGAGAUCCAAAGGUUACGUCGGACGGGAGCACUGCCUCGGUGCCGUAAACCAUGAAGUAGGGUGAUACACCCGUGUUGCGACUAGCCUAUGUCCGGAGACCCCACGCCACGACCGGUAGCUCUUUCAUCCAUCGUCCAGGUGCUCUGUCGUUCUCGGUGUACAACCUUUUCUUUAAAGCAUCGAUAAUCAUUCCGUUCACGCGCUCUACUUGACCAUUAGCCCGUGGGUGAGCUACUGACACGUACUUUAUGACUAUGCCCCUGUCAUCGUAGAAGUCCCAAAAUGUAGUGCCAGUGAACUGAGUGCCCAGGUCGGUGAUUAUACUAUUGGGGAUCCCGAAUCUGUGUAUGAUUUGAUUAAGAAACUCCACAGCCUUCUCGGAGGUUGCUUUGACUAGUGGCAUGAAUUCGAUCAACUUCGAGAAUUUGUCGAUUAGUACGAAGACAAACUUGAAGUUGUCGGGGGCCGACUUAAAUGGCCCGAUCAUGUCGAGACCCCAGCAGGCGAAAGGCCAGGAGGACGGAAUGGUUUGAAUUUUGUGAGCGGGCACGUGGGUCCGCUUGGCAAAGAACUGGCAUCAUUCACAAUGUCGAACCAGUUUCUCAGCGUCGGCGACCGCUGUUGGCCAGUAAAAGCCUGCUCGGAAGGCCUUCCCGACCAGAGUUCUGGAGGCCGCGUGGUUGCCGCAGGACCCGGCGUGUAUGUCAUCUAAGAGCUUGAUGCCGACAUCUUGGGAUAUGCAUUUGAGCAAUACUUUGGAACUUGCGUUCUUUCGCAUAAGUUUGCCAUCCACCAGUAUGUAAUUUCUGGAUCGUCGAAUGAGGCGCUCGUUCUCCGUUUUGUCUUGAAAUUCCGAUCCAUCCGAUAUAUACCUGAUGAAGGGGGUGCGCCAAUCACGGCUGCUGCUUGCCGGAGUGGUGUCAUCUAUGAGCAUUGCCUCAUUGGGUUGCUUUUCGACCAGGUCUGUGCCCACACUUGGCACGUGGAUGUCCUGAACAAAAACGCCUUGCGGAAUCUGGGCCCGAGAUGAUCCUAACUUUGACAGCGCAUCCGCUGCGUGGUUCUUAUCCCGGACCACGUGGAUGUAUUCUAUGCCGUAGAAAUUGGAUUCCCAUUUGCGGAUUUCUUUGCAGUAGAGAUCCAUCUUCUCGUGGGUUGUGUCACAUUCCUUAUUUAGUUGGUUGAUGACUAGGGUGGAGUCGCCGUGGACGUAGAGGCGUUUGACUCCCAGUUCGACGGCCAAUCGUAUGCCGUGUAGGCAUGCUUUGUAUUCGGCGAUGUUGUUCGAUGUCGGGAAGAGGAUCCUAAGGACGUAACGUAGUUUGUCCUUGUUAGGCGACACGAAGAGUAUCCCGGCGCCGGCGCCAUUUAUGUUUAGGGAUCCGUCGAAGAACAUCGACCAGUGGUCAGGGGUGUCGGAGACGGAGGGCUCGUUGAGGUCCGUCCAUUCUGCAAUGAAAUCGACCAGGGCCUGAGACUUGACGGUAGUGCGGCUCUAGAAAUCCAGGGAGAAUGGGCAUAAUUCCAUUGCCCAUUUUACAAUUCUACCAUUGGCAUCUUUGUUGCGCAAAAUGUCCCCCAGGGGGAAACUGGUGGUUACCAAGACCCGAUGACCAUCAAAGUAAUGCUUCAGCUUCCUUGAAGUUAUUAAGAUGGCGUAGAUGAGCUUCUGUAUCUGAGGGUACCUGGUCUUGGACUCAUUUAAGACUUCGCUUAUGAAGUAGACUGGUCCUGCACUUUGUAUACGUGGCCUGGCUCGUCUCGCUCGACCACCAUUGCCGUGGAGACAACCCUAUCGGUUGCUGCGAUGUAAAGGAGUAGGUCUUCAUUGGGCUGAGGUGCUGUGAGAACGGGCGGUGAGGUGAGGAAAGUCUUGAGCUGGGUGAACGCAGCGUGAGCUUUCUCUGUCCAGGAGAAUUUUUCCAAUGCCUUUAAGAGUUUGAAGAAGGGGAGGCCUUUUUCUCCCAGUCUAGAGAUGAAACGGCUGAGAGCAGCCAUACAUCCGGUGAGCUUCUGAAUAUCCUUGACAUUCUUAGGUGGUCGCAUGUCGAGCACUGCUUUUACUUUUGAGGGAUUCGGUCGUAUGCCGUCGCGGCUGACGACGUUGCCAAGUAGUAGACUAGAGGGGACCCAAAAGAUGCACUUUUUGGGGUUAAGCUUCCACUUGUAUUUAUUUAGUGCCUUAAAGGUUCGGUCUAGGUUGUCGAUUAGAGUGCUCGCGUCCCUUGUUUUGACGACGACGUCGUCUACAUAUGCCUCGAUGAGGUCAUCACGAAUCUCGUCGUGGAGGCAUUGCUGAAUAGCCCAUUGAUAAGUGGCCCCAGCAUUUUUGAGCCCGAAGGACAUAGUCGUGUAGCAGUAUGCACCGAAAGGAGUGAUAAAAGAUGUUUUGAUCUUAUCGUCUUCCUUUAGCGAGAUCUGGUGAUAACCAGAGUAGCAGUCUAGAAAGGAGAGGAGUUCGCAUCCAGCCGUUGAGUCGACCACAUCGUCGAUGCGAGGGAGACCAUAGGGAUCUUUAGGACAAUGUUUAUUGAGAUCAGUGUAAUCAACGCAUAUUCUCCAUUCAUUGUUCUUUUUCCUUACAAGAACCGGAUUGGCAAGCCAAUCGGGAUGAUACACUUCUUUAAUGAAUCCGGCUGCUAGAAGCCGUGUUAUUUCUGUCCUAAUAGCCACCUUUUUGUCGCGAGCGAACCGUCGUAGCUUUUGCUUGAUGGGUCUUGCGGUCUUCGAGACGUUUAAGGAGUGCUCGAUCAGGUUUCGUGGGACGCCGGGCAUGUCUGCCGGUUUCCAUGCAAAAACGCUCACAUUGUCCCUUAGAAACCUGACGAGCGCGUCUUCCUAUUUAGUGUCCAGGUUGGCCCCGAUGAGGGCCGUCUUCUCGGGGCUGCCGUCGACCAGCUGUACUUCCUUGUGCUCUUUGGACUUUGAAUUUUUCCUCAGAGUCUCCUGCUCAGGUAGUCGGAGCUGGUCGGGUGGAAUCUACGUGGCUUGAGCUACGGUUUCUGCCAUGCGGAUCGAGAGGUCAAUCGCCUCGGUGAUCUUGAAGCUUUCCUCCUCGCAUGUGUAUGCGGUAUAGACAUUGCCUCUGACAGUUAGGACGCCUUUCUCUGUUGGCAUUUUAAGGACCAGGUAUGAGUAGUGUGGAACUGCCAUGAACUUUGUCAGCCCAGGAUUGCGUGGUAAGUUCCGUCGAAAUCGGCGACCACGAAGUUGACGAACUCUGUUCGAAAGUGGUCGGGCGUUCCAAAUUGGACGGGCAAUGUUAUUUGUCCGAGGGGUAUUGAGCUUUGACCCGGCAGAACUCCCCAGAACUGAGCGUCAUACGGCUUUAGCUGUGCCGGAGUUAUCUUGAGAGCAGGCAAGCUGUUGCGAAAGAGGAUGUCGAUGGAGCUUCCCCCGUCCACGAGCACGCACUCGAAUCUGACGCUGUUGAUGCAAGGAUCCAGGAUUAGAGGGAAACAUCCUGGUUUCGGGAUGGCGGCCCAUUGAUCCUUCCUGUUGAAGGAGAUCUCCCUGUGUGACCAGGGGGGAAAUUUUGGAUCGGCGAUCGGGCCGUCUGUGCUGUCCACGUUGAGGCAGGCUCUCUUCAGGAGCUUUCUUUCGCGCUUAGACUUGAUAGAAACUUUGCCUCCGAAGAUGGAGUGGACCACGUCGGUGGGACUGACAUACUAGUGUCGUGGGUCGCUAUCCUGGUCGUCAUCCUCGUCUUCGUGACCACGCCCGUCCUGCUUCCCGUUAUUCUUAGCAGAAUCUUCUUGAGCGGCCUGCCACGUGUAGAUGCUUUUAAGGACACAGCAUUCUUCCAUCAUGUGAUUGGACUUGGGUUGGAGUUGGCACGGUCCCUUCAACGUCUUGUUGUAGUCUUCCUGGUAGUCCCGCCGCCCAUUGGGGCGUUUGACCGUAUUCACCUCGUGAUCGUGGUCACGAGGGCGCUUGCCCCUGAAGUCAUCACGAUUAUCGCACCGCCUAUCCCAACCUUCUCUGUGGUCGCGGUUGUUAGGGCGACGAUGGUUCCUAUUGUCAAAACGACCAUGACUGUCGUCCCGUCGAGGAGGCUGGUCGGGACCUCUCGCAUCCUCUCGGAUGAGUUUUUCUGCGUCAUCAGCGUCGGCAUAGUUUUUUGCCAUGGCAAGGAGCUCGGCCAUCGUGGUCGGCCUUUUGCGCAGUAGCUUGUUCCUUAGUGCUUCGUGGAAGCGUAGCCCUUUGAUGAAAGCAGAUAUGGCCUCGUCGUGAGAAAUUUUCGGGAUUUUAAGGUGCAUAUCCGAGAAUCGUCGAAUGUAAUCGCGCAGAGGCUCGUUUUUCCUGUCCCUUAUCCUCUCAAGGUCGUACUUGUUCCCAGGCUGCUCACAGGUAGCGAUGAAAUUGUCCAUAAAUGCCUGGCGUAGUUCUUCCCAGGAGUCAAAAGAGUCCUCGGGCAGGCCAAGGAGCCAUUGAUGACCAGCCUGGUCGAGGACAACUGGGACGUAGUUAGCCAUGACGUGCUCAUCUCCUGCUGCUGAACGGACUGCAAUCUGGUAUAGAGUGAUCCAGUUUUCUGGGUUUUCCUUGCUGUCGUAUUUUUUAAGCUUCUCGAGUUUGAAGUUGCGGGGCCAUACGACUUGGCGAAGGUGCGAGGAAAACUGUCUCAGGCCGGGAGGGCCGUGCGCGGCAUCGUACUCAAUGCGCCGCAAGUUUUCAUGCACCGCUCUUUUCGUGGCGUGCCUGUUGAUGCGAUCCCGGUGUCCUUGGGAGGGAUGUUGUAUCGUAGAUCCCUGUCCUAGUUUACUUCCUGACCACGCCCUCGCUUCUGCUUGCGGUAGCCACCGGUGUCCCGACCACCGUCGCCGCGCCCAGCAUCCUUCCUACGAUUAUUGGGGGAGCAGUUGCGGUGGUGCUCGCUGAGUUGUGGUGAAGUCCGGCUGCGAUGAGUCUGGUCGGAAGAUACCUCUGCGUAGGAGAUAGCUUGGACCCUUUUGAGUAAGGUGGCUGUCUGUCCCAUCGCGGCGAUCAGGUGUGCGCGUACGCUGGAUCGGACGCCCUGGCACUCUGGAGUAUCAGGGAGUCAGUCCAGGUUUGCCAUAGCAACAGCCACAUUAGCACUUGGCGUUUUGUAGACUUGCUGAUCUCCGACCAUGUCGAAAGCUUCACUGAGGUUGUGGGGCACGAGUUGCCGUUCCUCAUCCGCGCGUCGCCGAGCACGGUCGGCAUUGCGUUGUUCAUGGAGCUGCUUUUGCUUGUCUGUCUCUGCAUCGACGACCGGUUCGUCGUUGCUGACAUUGAAGAUAAGAUCUCCCCGCCGGGGCGGAAAGAUCGGGAAGCGAGAGAAACCCAGAGGGUACGGUGGUAAAUCCAGGUCGUAAUCUACGUCCUCAGAGUUUAUAACCUCGGUGGGGAUGGCUGGAAGCCUGGUCGUUCGGUAGUUCUUGGAUUGACACCAUGUUGACGUAGUGGCGAGCCGGUCGACCGCUCUGUUUUGGUGACCAUCCCACCCUGUUGAAAAGGGAUUGGAUGUGCCGUGAGUAGUGAACGGCUGAGUUGUUUAGCCCAUAGGGAGGACUCUGGUCUGGGUCUGCCUUGAGUUCGGCGGACCGCCCCGUGGGGGUGGAGGUUAUUGUCAGGACGUCCCCAGUUGUUCGUGUGUGAUGACACGAGUUGGCCGGCGAGAGUCGAAAGAGUCUGUUGGCGCGACUUGAUCAGAUAGGCGUGAGAUCCCAUGUACCAGUCGGGAAGCUUCGAGGAGCCUGAGAUCAGCGCGAUCAAGGGCUCGGAAAAGAUCCGAGCCGUCGACCUUCUUUCCACUAUAACGAGGGAGCGGUGGUCGAGUGCUCGGUGUUAGCGUGAUCGGAGUCGACGCCGCUGUCGUCCCAGAUCGGAUCUUGGUUUCUUCCGAAGUCGCGAUCGCGGGGCCGCCGCCACGAGUCGUCCACGUGAUCUGGCCGAUGGUGAACGUGAGGACUUCAGGUACAGCCACGGAAGCUGGAAUGAUGACCAUCUUGUUCGCCGAGAGAGCUGUACGCACACCCCCUACCUGGCGCGCCACUGUCGACGAAAGCUAUUCAGCAGUCUACCUUGGGGUAUACCCACGGUAGUAGUUUAUCAGUAGACGGUGUGCAAGCUACGAACUUGAUGGUGACGCAAGACACAGACAAGGUUUUUAUCCAGGUUCGGCCGCCGUGUGGGCGUAAUACCUAUGUCCUACGUCUGAUUGUAUUGGAUUGUGUCGAGAGAAUAAUCUAUUCUAAGGGGGGUCCCUUGCCCCUCCUUAUAUAGUCCGGAGGGUAGGGUUACAGAUCUGGAAACCAAUCUAGUCGGUUACAAUUGCCAUAGAUAGUACGAUAUCAAUUCCUAUUCUAACCGACCAGAAUCCGGCUUGAUCUCCACGUCCUGUUUCCUUGCGCAAAACUCCAAGCAGUUGGAUCAAGCCUCGAACUGUCCUCGCGAUGGGCCAAGCCUUCUAGCCCAAGUCUAGCCGUAAGGGUAUAGGGGUUUAUACCCCCACACAAACGAUGGGAAGAAACACACAAAUUAGACUCUAACAAGACCUAACCAGUAACAAGACCUCGACCAGGACACAAACUAAACACUACGGACUCUGAAACUGAAAUAUGCAAAGUCUAUGGCGCGGAUGGGUUGUAGGACAUGAAAACAAUAUGGCACUAGACAUAUAGGGCGAACACAAGGACACUCAAAACUAAAGGUAGAUGUGAACCUAACGGUAUGUCUGAAGCUUUGAUUACCACUUGAGGAGAACAAGUGUGGCCCGAUCUUCCAAAAGGUUCUGCAAACUAUUGAUUUGGUGGAAACAAGACACAAAUCAAUCUAGCUUGCGAACAACACGAUUUGAAACCCUGCAAUUCAUUUUAUUUUUAUUUAUAUUUUUCUUUUACUUAGGAGCACUCAAGAAGUAACCACAGGAAAUUUGAGCUUAAACAAGUGAAAGACGUGGCCUGUGGAAUUUUUUGAAGAUUGCGAAAAAUAUGAAAAUAAAGUUUAGGAGGUGAAAACUCAAACUUCAGAGGCGAAUUUGAGGAUUCUAAAAUUGUCGAACCCCCCCAUGGCGGGGAUAGACAGAUCCAAAUUUUUUUUGAUCGAUUUUGAUAUAUGGAACGUCAAAAUCGGAGUUCGUAUGUGAAAGUUAUGGCUGUUUUACGAACGGACUCUGAAUUAGAGGACAAAACGGUCCGGUAGUGGAAAAAAUUUACGGCGGUGGCUAGAAAUUAAUGGAAAUGGUGGGAAGAAACGCACAAAUUGGACUCUAGCAAGACCUAACCAGUAACAAUACCUUGACCAGGACACAAGCUCAACACUACGGACUCUGAAACUGAAAUAUGCAAAGGCUAUGGCGCGGAUGGGUUGUAGGACAUGAAAACCAUAUGGCACCAGACUUAUGGGACGAACACAAGGAAACUCGAAACUAAGGGUAGAUGUGAACCUAACGGUAUGUCUAAAGCUUUAAUUACCACUUGAGGAGAACAAGUGUGGCCCGAUCUUCCGAAAGGUUCUGGUAACUAUCGAUUUGGUGGAAACGAGACACAAAUCAAUCCAGCUUGCGAACAACACGAUUCGAAACCCUACAAUUCUUUUUAUUUUUUUUGAUAUUUUUGUUUUACUUAGGAGCAAUCAAGAAGUAACCACAAUAAAUUUGAGCUAAAACAAGUGAAAGACGUGGCCUGUGGAAUUUUUUGAAGAUUGCGAAAAAUAUGAAAAUAAAGUUUAGGAGGUGAAAACUCAAAUUUUCAGAGGCCAAUUUGGGGAUUCUUAAUUUCUCGAACACGCCUUUCGUGGGGAUAUACUGAUCCAAAAAAAAUUUUCUGAUCGAUUUUGAUAUAUGGAACGUCAAAAUCGGAGUUCGUAUGCAAAAUUUAUGGCUGUUUUACGAACGGACUCCGAAUUAGAGGACAAAACGGUUCGGAAGUGGGAAAAAUUUGUGGUGGUGGCUAGAAAUUGAUGGAAAUGGUGGGAAAAAACACACAAACUGGACUCAAACAAGACCUCGACCAGGACACAUACUCAACACUACGGACUCUGAAACUGAAAUAUGCAAAGGCUAUAGCGCGGAUGGGUUGUAGGACAUGAAAACAAUAUGGCACUAGACUUAUGGGACGAACACAAGGACACUCAAAACUAAGGGUAGAUGUGAACCUAACGGUAUGUUUGAGGCUUUGAUUACCACUUGAGGAGAACAAGUGUGGCCCGAUCUUCCAAAAGAUUUUGGUAACUAUCGAUUUAUUGGAAACGAGACACAAAUCAAUCCAGCUUGCGAACAACACGAUUCGAAACCCUACAAUUCUUUUUAUUUUUUUGUGAUAUUUUUCUUUUACUUAGGAGCACUCCAGAAGUAACCAUAGGAAAUUUGAGGUUAAACAAGUGAAAGAUGUGGCCUGUGGAAUUUUUUGAAGAUCGUGAAAAAUACAAAAAAAACUUUAGGAGGUGAAAACUCAAGCUUCGGAGGCAAAUUUGGGGAUUCUAAAAUUAUCAAACCUGCCCAUGGUGGGGAUAGAUAGAUCCAAAAUUUUUUUUGAUACAUUUUGAUAAAUGGAACAUUA
rnacentral:lncRNA from 1 species